UGUCUUGUAUAUGUACUUUCUUGAAAGUUUUUUUUUUUUUUUUGUUGAUAUGAGAGUGUUUUUGAAUGAAGAAAAAGGAAGUGUCUUUCUUUAUGAGUACUGUGGAAAGAACAGAGAAAAGAUGAGGGUCUUUCUUAUUAACACCUUGUUUGGAUGGUUGUUAGCGUUGUAUUAUAUUUUUAGUUUAAAUAUAAUGUUUGUUGAUUGUUUUUAAAUUUUAUUGUUAUGUUUAAAAAUCAUCAUUAAGUAACGAUGAUUUUUAUUUUUUUUGUGUAAUGAUUGAUUUGAUGUGAAUUUUUUUUAUCUUGUCUUUACUGUAUCUUUUCAUAGUAUUUCUAUUGUAUACUAUUUUUUUUGUUAAUGUGCAACAUUAUAUAAUAACGAAGAUUAAUACAACCUUUCCAAAUAUUAUAUUUAUUAAAAUAAUACUAUACAAUAUAUUAUGAAGUAAUACUUAUCAACUGUACAAACAGAGUGCAAGUGAUGGUAAGCAAAAGGGUAAGUGUGAAGUGAAGUGACAGAAGCACCCUUUUUAUUUGUCAGCAUCCUACCUAGUCCCUGCAUUUGACUUGGUAGAGUUGAGAUGAUGAAUGGAUAAAUUUUUGUGCUGUUUUUUUUUUUUUUGAUAAAUAAAAUAAUAAUUUGUGUUUGUUUAUGAAUUGAAUUAAAGAAAAUAAUUUUUAAAAUUUUUGUGUAAAAAUAGGAUUAUUUUUUUGAAAGAAAAGGAAGAUAUAAAUUAAAACAGUUUCAUACAGAGAUACCGAAAAAAAAAACUCCCAAAAUCUCCCCUUUUCUUAAGAGUGUUACUCUUCUUCAUAAUAAUAAUAAUUAGGGUAAAAAAUGGAGUGAUAUAUGGUAAAAGCUUAGCAUUUUCUUAAAAAUAUUGAUAAAUUGUGUUUCUAAUAACUUAUACUACCAGUUAUGAAAAGUGGCAAAGUGAUAAGUAGUUAUUUCAUCCUUAAUCAAAGACCUCAUGUUCGAGCCGUGAUAUAAAAUUGCCUUUGGUUAAAGAGCAUUUUAAUAAAUAAGACUCCAUAGAACCUCAAGACGGAUACAUGUGAGAAAUAAAAAAUAAUAAUAAAUUUAUAUUUUAAAAAAUGAGAUGGUGAUUUGCUCUUUUUCUUUAUUUUUGGGUUCAAGGGUCAUGAGAGGGUGAUAAAGGUUGUUACAUAGACGUAAUUAGGAUCACUAGGACAGUAUGACGAACAUUUGUCUUUCCCCACACACACCCCAACCAUUAACCAACCCCUUCUGUCAAUAUAUGUAUAAGAUGAUUUAUGGAGAUAUUUGACGUUGUCUUUUUCUUGACCUCAAAGGUUAAAGUGUUUGAUUGAGUGAAGUUAAAUGAUUAUAAUUAAGAUGAUCAAAGACUAAUUGCAUGAUGAUCAAAGUCAAUAAGCCAUUUAUGGUGUCUUUGAUGAACUCUGGCGGAACCGUAUUGGUGAAUUUAGUACAAAGUCUUCUAAUGAAUUAAUUAGUAUUUGAACCUUAAAACUGAUAACUUUAGUUAGAAAUUAAUUAAACUUAUCUCAUGUAUCAAGAAUUAGUAGUUACGUACUUAGUAGCUUUGAAAACAACAGUGCUUGCUAUUAAUUGAUGUCAAAGAGAAUUCAACAUUUCGCCUAUAAGAACAAAACAUUAGUUUUUACUUUAUUUAAGUAACGUAAUUUUCGAACGAGGAGGAGGGUCAAUUAAACCGCCACUUUGCUGAGUCCCAUAUCCAUCCAUUAUGAUAAAGGAAUAGUUUUGUGUAGUUGUUUUUUUUUUUAAUUAAAAAAUGGAAAAGGCAUAAAUUCCCUCCUCAAUUUGUACCGAAAAGUCAGCUACACACUUCAACUAUUAUGACGACCUAUUACACAUCUAUUCUUGUUCAAAGUGUAAUUAAUACCACCUCAAAACUGACGUGAAAAUAAAAUUUAAAAUAAAAUAAAUUAGGCGCGUCUAAGGUUGAAAAUAAAGUCAAAAAAGUAAAUUUUUUUAACCCUCAGCCCCUGUUUUCUCCUUUUUCAUGUUCCUCGUCUCUUAUUUUCCUUCAAAAAAAUUCUUCUUCAUUUUUUUCUUUGCACAAUUUUUCAAUUUGUCACUUUAUUUCAUUUUUUCUUAUCACAUUUCUACAAUUUUUCACUCAAUUUCAUCAUUAUACCUAAAAAAAUAAUUUUUUAAUUUAAAUUUCACAAUAAUUCUAGAAAUUCGAGACUUUGUUCUCCUAAUCUUUCCACUUUCACCUUCAAAUUUUCAGCAAAAUACAAGCAAAGCCUCCAACCUUAAAACCCCCAAAUAUUCUUGUAGCCUGUAUGCAUGCAUAUACAUACACCCACUUGCCCUUUUUUUUAUAGUUAAAAAUGAUUUCUUUUCAUUUGUGUAUUCAUAUAUUUGUAUGUGCAUAUUCACACGCCCACUUACCUUAUUUAUUGGUUGUUCAGAUUUGGAAGCACAAAGCUUACUCAAACGUCAUGGAUCUGAAAAACAAAGCUCAUUGACACGUCAUUAAAUCCAUGGUUGAAGCUUUGAGCUCGCCAAAACACCUGCAAUAAAAACUAAAAGUAAAAAAAUCGAAAAGGGGUAAGGUAAAGGGGUUCGAUUCGGUGUUCAUCAAUGACUGAUUUGGAGUUUUGGGUGGUUUUUUGUGGUGGCUUAGGUAGUUGUUUGGUGGUUGUUCUUUGUCGGAGAUGGAUUGGCUGUUGGGAACAGAGGAGGGGAUGACGUUUUGGAGGUAGGUUUGUGGUGGUGAUAGGUUGAUUGUUCUUCGCCGGAGAAGACAAAGAGAAUUGUGAUAUAACUUCAAAUGAAUAAUUAUUCUAGUCAGAUUAGGGAUAAAAAUGGGUAGGAUUUAGAUUGGAAAUAUAUGAUUAUUAGAGAAUUUUAAUAAUUUGUUAGGGAUUAAUUAGAGUAAAAUAGAGUUAACAAAAAAAAUUUAAUUAAUAAAGAAAAUAAAAUAAAAAGAAUAUAAAAAAUUAUAAUUUAUAAUGUGGAGCUGACGUGGCACUGACAUGGUGCUGACGUGGCGGCGAGUGUAAUACACCACAUACUGUGAGAGUGGUGUUAUGCGUCUCAAAUGUGGUAUUAAAUUCACUUUUAUAUAGGAAGAGUGUAUAAUAGGUCGUCAUAAUAGUUGAAGUGUGAAACUAACUUUUCGGUACAAGUUUGAGGGGAAAUUUAUGCCUUUUCCCUUAAAAAAUUGGAACCAUAUAACAAAUUCCUGAGUUGGCAAUGAGACUUAAAUAUGCAACAAAAAAGAUACGGAGAAAGUGUCAUGCAUGCAAAUUAAAUAUUAACUAUGAGAGCACCUAACCUAAUUAUAAUUAAGCAACUUUCACAUAUAGCAAACACAAAAUUCAUAUUUGUAUGCUAUAGCAAAAUUUACAUAAUUGCGCUCCAUAGCAAACAUAUAUAUGUAUAAUUCGCUUUACAUAUACAAAAAAAACAGUUGUAUAAUUAGCUAUACAUAUACAAAGAAAGCUGUUAUAUACAAAAGAUCAAUUGUAUAAUAUGUGUAUGUAUACAACGAGAAAGAGAGAAAGGCAAAAAAAACUGGGCAGGAAAUAUUUGUAUUAUAUAAUUAUAAGUGUAUAGGACGAAGAUAUAUGUAUUUGCAUGUGUAUAUACAAUUUUCUCUCGCUUUAUACAAACAGAAGUGCAAUUUAUACAUUUCGUUUCUGUUUGUAUAAAGUGAGAGAGGCGAGUGAGCGAGCGAGAUCUGGGAGAGUGGCGAGCGAGAUCUGGGAGAGAGGAGAGAGGGGAACGAAAAUAUAUGUAUAUAUACAAUUUUCUCUCGCUUUAUACAAACACAAAUGCAUUUUAUACAUUUGCGUUUUUGUAUAAAGUGAGAGAGGCUAGCGAGACUGCCACCAAACUAGAGUGGCGAGCGAGAUUCCACCAGGGAGAGUGGCGAAAAUAGCAAUAGUUUGCUAUAGGGUACAAUUAAAUCAAAGUAUAUUUAUAGCAUUUAAUUUGAAUUAAUAGUUUGCUAUUAUAUACAAUUUUCUCAUUAUAAUUUAGCUCUAUCAUAUAUGUUAUCUUAGGCAAUUCAUAUAUUUUCCCUUAGAAAUGACACGGGAUCAUUUAGUUUGCGAACUAAAUUAUUUUAAAAUUAUAUUUUUAAUUGUAAUUCUGCAAUUAACUUACCUCAUCUAUCUUCGCCGGUUUCCUGAGUCCAUAUAUAUCCAUUAUCGCAAAGGACUAGCUUUAAUUUAUGUAGUGGCUUAUCUUUUUUCAUUUAAAAAUUUGAACUAUAUAACAAAUUCCCAAGUUGUUAAUGAGCCUCAAAUAUGCAAUAAAAGAUAUUGCGAAAGUGUCGUGCAUGCAAAUUAAAUAUUAACUAUGACAGCACCUAACGUCCUAACCUAAUUAUAAUUUAGGACUAUCAUCAUCUAGAUAGGUUGUCUUCCUAGUGUAUUCAAAAUUUUCAUAAAAAGGGUUUAAAAAAUCAAAUCAUUUAAUGCAUAAAAUUUGGACUUGAAACUUCAAAAUAAUUAAUUUUGAAUUCAAAAUAGGGAAAAUUGUAUAUAAUAGCAAACUAUUAAUUCAAAUUAAAUGCUAUAAAUAUAGUUUGAUUUAAUUAUACCUCAUAGCAAACUGUUGCUAUUUCACCUCUCUCCUGGUGAAUCUCGCUCGCCACUCUCGUUCUCUCCCUCGCCUCUCUCGUUUUUUAUACAAACGCAAGUGUAUAAAGUGUGUUUGUGUUUGUAUAAAGCGAGAGAAAAUUGUAUAUAUACAUAUAUUUUCGCUCCCUUCUCUCCCUUCUCCCAGAUCUUGCUCGCCACUCUCCCAGAUCUCGCUCGCUCACUCACCUCUCUCACUUUAUACAANNNNNNNNNNNNNNNNNNNNNNNNNNNNNNNNNNNNNNNNNNNNNNNNNNNNNNNNNNNNNNNNNNNNNNNNNNNNNNNNNNNNNNNNNNNNNNNNNNNNNNNNNNNNNNNNNNNNNNNNNNNNNNNNNNNNNNNNNNNNNNNNNNNNNNNNNNNNNNNNNNNNNNNNNNNNNNNNNNNNNNNNNNNNNNNNNNNNNNNNNNNNNNNNNNNNNNNNNNNNNNNNNNNNNNNNNNNNNNNNNNNNNNNNNNNNNNNNNNNNNNNNNNNNNNNNNNNNNNNNNNNNNNNNNNNNNNNNNNNNNNNNNNNNNNNNNNNNNNNNNNNNNNNNNNNNNNNNNNNNNNNNNNNNNNNNNNNNNNNNNNNNNNNNNNNNNNNNNNNNNNNNNNNNNNNNNNNNNNNNNNNNUAAAAUGCGUGAAAAUUGUAUAUAUACAUAUAUUUUCGUUCCCCUCUCUCCCCUCUCCCAGAUCUCGCUCGCCACUCUCCCAGAUCUCGCUCGCUCAUUCGUCUCUCUCACUUUAUACAAUUGAUCUUUUUGUAUAUGUAUACCAAAGCAGAUUAUACAACUGUUUUUUUUUGUAUAUGUAUAGCGAAUUAUACAUAUAUAUGUUUGCUAUGGAGCGCAAAUAUGCAAACUUUGCUAUAGCAUACAAAUAUGAAUUUUGUGUUUGCUAUAUGUGAAAGUUGCUCUUCAAAAUAUCUCUAUCUAUACUGAUUUUUUUUUAAACCUUAUAUAUAACUUCAUUUUUUGUUGAAGAGAUACGGGUGAACACCCCUCUAAACCCGCCCCUGAUUGUCUUUGGCCAUAUCCUUAUUAAGAAAUGACCCUCUUAUAAAGAUACAUGAGAAUUUUUCUUUUCAAAUUUUAAAUUGGUGAAAGUACAUACUACAUAAAUUAAAAUUAGCGAUAAAUAAAUUUGUUAGUAAAUUUAUUAUUAAUUCUAUUUAAUGACAAAUUAGCCAUAUUUUAUCAAAAUAAAUUGUUUGCUGUAAAUAAUUUAGCACGGAGUUCGUACGUAGUGGUGGAAGUGAUUAUUAUAUUUCACACAAUAAAAAAUAUUGAAGGUUUUGCAAAAUACAAAAUGUAAUAUUAUAUUAGCUACGCAUAUAUCCAAGCAUAAUGUCCAUUUAUUUGUAAAAGCUAACACAACGGGGUAGAUAAUUUUUCCAAAUAUCUAUAAAGAUUCAUUUGUUUAUUGGAAGUCGAUGUGGGCUUUAAUAGCUGGAUGGGCCAGAAACGUAAAUGGUACUGCAAUAACCCAUACUUAUGGGCUUGGUCUUAGCCCAAAAAUUAUGUUGGGCCCUGAAACUCCCAAAUCCAGCUAGCAGCUUUUCACUUCCAGUUCCAGUUGAUACUAUUUUCAUCAUUGGUCCUUUUUUAUGUAAAAAUAUUUAUAAAUUUAUAUUUUUUUACAAGUAGUUUUAAGGAUGUAUCAAACAUUUUUACCAAACCUAUUAUUGAUGUUAUCAGGUUCAAUACUUCUAUUUAAAUACACUAUUUGGAUAAAAUCAGUUUCAAGACCUAAAAGUCAUAUUUUUCAGCACUUGAUGUAUAUUGUACUCCUUUAAAUCAAUUUUAAGUGUUUAACCCAUAGUCAGUGAAAGAACAAACAAAGUCAAACUAGACAAAAUUAAAUGACUUUUGUGAUACAAAAUAAAUUAAUUAAGUAUUUGAGAGAUGAUUAAUUAGAUGGAAUAUGACGCAUUUUUAUAUUAACGAAGAAUUGACUUUAGCUAGGAAGGAGUGAAUGUUGCAUAAUAGGGUAGAAUUAAUGCUAGUAGGGGUAGAGUAUCGUCUUGUCUUAUGAAGGUUUAGUGCAUGCCAUAUGACUAGUCAUGCCAUGAUAGCUAAUUCUUUUCAUAUGUUGUUUAUUGCUUUUCAAUUAUUACGUUAUUUCUCUCUCAUAUAUUUGUGCGCACAACAUCCCAGAAUAAACUACACAUUCAACGUCUGACCUUUCACCAAAUUAACUUAUUAGUGUUCAAGAUUGCAACAUUGUUGGAUCAGAAUUCAACUGGGCGGUGGUUUGCUGGAACAUGUUUUCUUCCUACCACAUCAUAAUCAGCAGCUGAGCGGUCUCUGUCUAAUAAAUAGUAAAUAUUAGGAGCAAUGAAUUUGGGCAGAAUUCAAUUAAUUCAUUCUAUCAGGAGAAAAUAUAUGACUGUCCUUCCUAUGUUUUACUAAUGCCUUUUUUGGCGUCUCUAAAAUAUAUAUGCACGUGGAAAUUAUGGAAAAAAAAAAGAAAUACUGAAAGAACAGCUGGAAUAUUAUGCUAUCAACAUGGAAAUUGACAUUUAUAAAAAAUAAAAAAUUAUUUGUACUAUUUUUCGGAUAUUGACAUCGUCAAAUAUUAUACGUCGAAAUUUCUGCCAAAAAAAAAAAGAGAUUGCAAGAUUCAAUUUGGUAUGAUAUAUAUGUGUGUGUGUGUGGUGGGGGGUCCCAGAUCCACACUGAGAUCGAAACAUAAUGUCAAUUUACUAUACUUACUUUUAUGGUAGGUUUAUGUAAAAUCAAUUUAACUUGUCAUGAUUUAAAAAUUUAGGUGUAGCGAAAAACAAUAUAUUAAUUAAUUAGGGUGGUAGAAGUGUAAAUAUAAAUAGAGGCGGAACUAGGUAGAGGUUCAUGGGUUCGGACGAAUCCAAUAGCUUUUUUGUAGACUUCAUAUUUAUACUAGAAAAUUAAUUAAAUAUAUAUGUAUAUUAUUUGUGAACCCCUAACAAAAGUAAUUGACAGUUAUUACAAAAAUUUAGAACUCCCAAACUCUAAAUCCUGAUUUCGCCUAUGAAUAUAGGCACAUAUAUAUAUAUUAUAUCAUCCAUAAUAUAUUUAUUUAUUUGAUGUAAUUACCAAAUAAGAAAAUAUCAAAUGGGAAAUAAUUCUUGACCGACAGUAUAUUAAAUUUGGCCGCAAAAUCUUGGUCGUUUUAGAAUUUACCACAAUAUUAAAAUAUUAUGAUCUUUGUCACGCUGAAAUCUCAGUGUGGAUUUGGUUAGGCAAGAGAAGAGAGAUCUAAAAUCUUAAAAUCUACCCCGAGAUUGGUGCUCAUGCUUCAUUAAAAUUCCAUUGUUUUGCUUAGAAAGAAGAGAAUAAUCCAGCAAAUCUCAUUAAUUAUUCCAUCCUACUCCCAUCGUUACUUUUUUUCUAUUCGUUCACGUUGAACAUAGCUAGACUUCAGUAGACAAACAGAAUUGCUCGAAUAAUAAAUAUCUUUCACAUUUAAUCUUAAAAUUAUGAAUACGAGUCAUAAAUGAAGUAAAAAGGUAGAAGUUUCUAAAAAUGGAUAAUAAUAAUAAUAAUAAUAAUAAUAAUAAUAAUAAUAAUAAUAAUAAUAAUAAUAAUAAUAAUAAUAAUAAUAAUAAUAAUAAUAAUAAUAAUAAUAAUAAUAAUAAUAAUAAUAAUAAUAAUAAUAAUAAUAAUAAUAAUAAUAAUAAUAAUAAUAAUAAUAAUAAUAAUAAUAAUAAUAAUAAUAAUAAUAAUAAUAAUAAUAAUAAUAAUAAUAAUAAUAAUAAUAAUAAUAAUAAUAAUAAUAAUAAUAAUAAUAAUAAUAAUAAUAAUAAUAAUAAUAAUAAUAAUAAUAAUAAUAAUAAUAAUAAUAAUAAUAAUAAUAAUAAUAAUAAUAAUAAUAAUAAUAAUAAUAAUAAUAAUAAUAAUAAUAAUAAUAAUAAUAAUAAUAAUAAUAAUAAUAAUAAUAAUAAUAAUAAUAAUAAUAAUAAUAAUAAUAAUAAUAAUAAUAAUAAUAAUAAUAAUACUCCCUCCGUCCCUAUUUAGUUGUCCAUAUUUCCUCUUUUAGUUGUCCCUAUUUAGUUGUCCAUUUUAACAAAUCAAGAAAGGACAACAAUUUUUUCCUAUUAUACCCUUAUUUAAAUAAAGUUGUCAUAAAUAAAGUAAAUAAACUUAUGAACUUCCCAACAUUGAUUAGUUAUCUUGAGUUAAUUUAUUUUGGAAUUGUAAAUUGUACUAUAAGGGUAAAAUUGUAAUUUCACUAUGCUAAUCAUUGUUGCAUUAAUCUGUGUGUCAUUUCUAAAGUGGACAACUAAAUAGGGACGGAGGGAGUAAUAAUAAAAGCUAGACUUUAGUAUAGUAGACUUGAGGAAUAAUUUGAAACAAUUUAUUUUUAUCUUAAUAUGAAAAUGGAUCAAUACAAAUGAAAAUCUAUUUUUAAUAUAUUGAACAACUAAAAAUAAGCGGACGGAUCAUAAUGUUUCAAAUAUAAAUAAACAAUUGAAUAAGAUCGACCUAAAAAUAAGAAACAAUCAUGAUAGCAUAUCUUGAAAACAAGCUACACAUUUUUUAAUUAAUAAUGUAACAUCAUGUGCAGACAAAAUAUUAUCGUAGUACCCACCAAUCACCAUUAUGAAAGAAUUCAAACUUUAUUAAUCAUCUAUGAAAUAUCGAUGUCUGAUUCUAUGAAUCAAAGUCAUUUUCCUUAAAUAAACCAACAAAAUUCUACAUAUUCACUGGAUGUCUGUCAGUACAAGUAGAUUGAAGAAAAAUAAAUCAACUUUCAUUAAUUAGUUUGUCAAUCCACAAAGAAGACACCUAAAAAAGACAUCCCAAAAAAGAAGAAAAAAAUAGAGAGAGAUGAUUGAAGUGAACCAAAUCUCUUUACACAACUCAAUAUCAUUAAGUUAACCUUCAACUCUAAUCUAAGAACAAAAUUCUUCUGUUUUUGCUUAGCAAACUCCAACCCUGAAAAUAGAGAAAUUCCUAAUAAAAAACGUUUUUUUAUGGAUCUUACUCAGCGUGAGUUCACAUUAAUCACUGGAUCCUGUUCAACGUGAAUCUAAAUUAGUCAGACAGUAUACUACAUGAGAGGGCUAUUGAGAAGUCCAUGCCAAGAAGAUCCACCAACUCCAUUCCACAUUCUCCUAGUUGAAUCAAAAUCAGCCAUAUUAUUUCCUUCUCCAUUAAUUUGCCAUGGAAAUCCCCACAAAACUCUGCUGUGAUCACCUUGAUCUUUAGUCAUGUUGCACAUCUCUUGUUUGACUGUGGUCAUUGUUGUAGAUGUUGUUACACCACUGCUUAUUUCUUGAUCAUAAUUAUGCAUUAAUCCCAUUUCUUGAUCAUUGUUAUUCACCCCUAAUCCACCAUUUUCCACAUUAUGUAAUCCCAUGUCCCCAUUAAUAAUAUUCCCAACUCCAUAGUACAAAUUCUGUUGAUGAAUUAAUCCAUUCAUUGGAUUAUUAUUUUCAAGAAAUCCAGUAUUACCCCUAAGUGCAUCAAGAAAUAUUCCACUUGGAUUUUCAUUGCACAUCAUUGAAAUAUUACCAUGGGUUUCAAAUCCCAAUUGCCCAUUUCCUUGUUUUUGGAGCCUAGCAAAUGCUAGGCUCAAAUCACUAGAAUCAUAGGAAAAUGGAUUAUUAGGAGUGUUGAUAAUGGAAUGUUGAUCUUGGCUACUAAUACUACUACUUCUUGAUGAUGACCUUUUGUUCUUCCUACAGCCUCCUCCAACUGGAACAUUUCUUAAUGUUCCUCCUUUGGUCCAAUAUCUUCUACAUGAUUUGCAAAAGUAUCUAGGUUGAGAGAGACUAUAGUUGUUGUAGUAGCAAAAUUUGGUGUUGGAAGAGUCACAUCUUGGACAAUUUAUUGCUUGCUCUGGUGGCUUUGGCUUCUUUGGAUCUUGUUGUUGUGGCUUUGUACUCACCAACAUGCUUUCUAGGGUUUGAGAAGACAAUUCCUAAACAACACAAUUAACUAUAAAUAUCAGAACUUGAUAUCACACACACAAAAAAACAUUGUUAAGAACUAUUAGCUAUAUAUUUUUGCUUCAUAUAAAUGUCUUGUAUCUUAAUAUAUUGCUUUCCUACUUAUAAUACAUUUCUUUGAACCGAAGAUCUUUUUUACCUCCCAGACUCCACUUAUAAGAAUAUAGUAUUGAUGUAUGAAUGCCUUACUUUUGACAUUCAAAAAUCAAAUCUUUAACUUGAAAAGCAACAUAAUUUUCUUAAAUUUGUAAAGAUCAGCUAGCAUCAAUUUAAUUUGUUCUUGGGCUAUAUAGCAACAGUCGUGAAAGAAAAGAAAUUUACAAAAUUAGCAAAAGUAAUAAGAGUAUACACUACUCUCCUUAGAAGUUAGGCACAUAAAGUAGGUCUUUUUUAGGGGGUAUUUCAAUUCAUAGAAUAAACUCUUUUUUGGGGUAAAAUUAAAGACUCACUCCAUAUCAAGAUUGGUAGUUCUAGCUUUGAAUUUAUUUUUUUAACAAAAUCUCAGAGAAAGGAAAUAGAAAAUGAAAAAAAUAACACACAAGUAAGAAAUUGAAUCAAAAGAGCUCCAAGAAAAUUAAUUGACAUAACAACAAAAGAAAUUAAACCAUCAUUACUACUACUAAUUAAUACAACUUCAUUAAUUUACCUGAAGAUGUUGAUGCUGUGCACUAGAGGGAUCCAUCACUAAGUACAGCUAGAAACAAUACAAAACUUAGAGCUUAAUUAAAACUUAAUUAAUCCUCCAAGAUGGUUUAAUGUUUUUUUUGGUACUUAAUUGAUCUCUUGAAUAAUAAGCACAAGAAAAUAUUUGAAUUUUGCUAAGAAAAGGAGAGAAAAUUAUGAAAAAGCCAAGAGAGAACAACUUGUGAGUGCCUCUUUCUCAAACUCAAUAUAUAUAUAAAUGUAGACAAAGUAGGGGUGGGGAUGGGGUGUGGUGUGUGUGGGGGGGGGGGGUUGUUGCUUAAGUACAAUGUCUUAUUGUGUGUGUGAGAGAGAAAAAUAAAGCAAAAUUUUGAGAAAUAAGAUAAGGAAAUACGUGUAAGGCUUAGGUCUGUUAUAUUUAGGGGACAAAGGAGUGGAAAAUCUAACUGUAUAUGCCCACAAUGGGUCCCUUCUUGCUUCAAGUUUCCUAAUUCUAUCAUUCUAUUUUCCUAUCUUCUUCCUUUUAUUAUAAGUUAUUAAGUUAUAAUCCUUGUGUCCCUAAUUACUUGUCUAUUUUUUCAUUUAUAGUUGUCCCUAAUUACUUGUCCAUUUUUGACAAAUCAAGAAAGAACAAAUUUUUUUACCUAUUUAUACCCUCAAUUAAAUGACUAAUUACUUUGAAAAAUGCAGAACUUUUCAUCCACUUCACAAUUAAUAGGGGUAAAAUGGUAAACUCACUAUGUCAUUAAUUGAUUUCUUAAUAGGUGUGUCAAUUCAAAAGUGGACAAGUAAUUAGGGACAAAGGGAGUACAAUAUAAUAAUAACUAAAUUCAUAAUAAACAAAAUGUGCAAGUAUUUAGUAAAAUUUUGAACAUACAUGGAGGAUUUCAGGAAAUAUUAAUGAGUUCAUGUAAAUCGAUAACAAAGUUUUUAGAUUUUCCUAGGUGUUUCCGUGUUUGGAUAUAAAUUUCAGCAAAAACUAGUACUUUUCAUGAAUUACUCUUCGAACUUAUUUUUCGAAUUUGAAAGUUAAAAGUUGAAAUGAUGAACUAAAUUGAUAAACAAAUACUUGUUUGUAUUAAUCUUUAAAAAUCUGAAAUCAUAUCUAUGGUCAAAGGGUAUUCAUGAAUGGUAAAUAAAUGACAAUAUAUGUUAUUAAUUUAACUAAGACUAAAUAAUGAAAGCGUAUACGUAAAAAAUAUGAUGUCUAAAAAAGUUUUAAUUAGAAAUUAUAUAUUAAAAGAAUUAUAUAAAGAAAAAAUAAAUGAGCAUAUGAUUGAUGUAGAGAUCUCAUUCUUUGUCCCAUUAUGUAAGCUCACUUUGUCCUGUACCUGCUCAUGUCAUUUCGGUUAUACUUAACUUUAUUAUUAAAAUAAAAACAUAAUAAUUGAGGUGCACUUUGUUUUUAAAAGCAACUUAGUUCUAUUAAAAUUGUCUUUUAAUUUUCAUUUUCAUGUACAAAUUAAAUAUGUUUGAAUGAUGAACCUAAGCUUGGCUCCAAUAUCCCCACAAACAAAUGGAAUAAGGUUUUGGUCUCAAAUAAAAAAUGAAAAUAAUUUUAAGAAUAUUUUGGUGUUGGGUGCAUUUAUAUAUAUUUGGACCCAACAACAACAGAAGCCGUGGCUAUAUAUAUGUCGAGUGACUACAAGUUAAAGGCUAUAAUUGAAAUGGACAAGUGAUGAUACAAAGAGGGAAAAGUGGUCACUUGGAUCAGGUACACCUUUAUUUUGCAUGCUUAACCCAAUGUACUCUGCUUGCAUGUGACUUGUCUUUAUCACCCUAAUUAGUUUUCAUGGAAAAUCCAAAUUUGAAGAUUAGUUAGUUUGAAAUAUUGAUACAUAUUUGAUAAAUUUCAAAUAUAAAUAUAAAUUUGUCUAAAUAAUAAAAGUUAUUGUAUUCAUCCGAAUAUCGUUAUUGAGUAGAUUGUUUAAACACAAAGUUUACGUUAUAUGAGUGCCAUGUGUGAUGAGACAGUGGUACUAGAGCUAUAUAGGAGUGAGCUAAUUUGUGCUUGAAGAAAUGUGUUGACAGAAAUAUACUCAUGUGAAAACAAACAUGGAGAAUCUAACACUUGUCCACCUAAAAUCUGAACUUUCUGACAUAUGAGUACAACAUAAUUCUUUUUCUUCAAGAUUGCUUUUCCCCCAUUAAUUCUGAUUAGACUAGUUUAAUUACUUGAGCGAUAUAAAUAGAGUAGUAAUAUUAUAAUUUAAUUUAUUAUCUGAUUUUAAUAAAAUAAUUUGAAUUUUAUAUUUUAAACUAAAGGUCUAUAUCAAAGUAUUACUUUAUCUUUGUGAAAAAAUUUGAAUUGAAGUAUUUCUAAAAAAUAUUAUGAACUAAAAAAGAUACUCUCUCCGUCCCAUUUUAUGUGGCAAUAUUUGAUCGGGCACGGAGUUUAAGAAAUAAAUGAAGACUUUGAAAUAUUUAUCAAAUUGUCCUUUAAAAGUAGACUCACUUUUUUCUCUCCUUAUAAAUGUAUUGGAGUAUUAUUUUAAGAUUAAGUGAGACCAACAGGGGUAAAAGAGGAAUUGUACCUUUAAAUACUUACCAUAUAAGGAAAUGUGACAUUCUUUUUGAAACUGACCAAAAAGAAAAUGGUGUCACAUAAAAUGAGACAGAGGGAGUAUGAAAAUCAAAUCGAAACACAUUAAAUAUUAUUUUGCUAAGAAAAUAAUUGAUGAGCAAUUGUUAUUAUUGUAAUUUCCUCAUGGCCUCUUGAUGAAAAUACUCGGUAAUAUCGUGGAAAAGUAAAAAUGAACGGAGUAAGUAUAUUCUUAAAUUUGUUAGUUGUAAGUAAUAGUAGUAUAUGUCAUCAAAGUAACAGAACAGGAACAUAGAAAUAAUAUUCUAAGGUGUCAUCAUCUGUCAGUAACAUCAUUUACAAUGAAUAAUCAUUUCAUAGAAAAAAAUCAAUCAUUGAUCCUACCACUCAUUGAUUAUCUUCGGAUCCUAUGAACGAUUUGUUUUUUUUCCUUCCUUUUUCAUUUCAAAAUUUUCAUACUCCCUCCUAAUUUUUGUAUAUAUAUUUUGCCUCUAUUUUUUUCAAAAUACUACUCCACUUCCACUAAAGAAAAACUAUAUUUCUUUAUCAUUUAAUAACAAUAUCAUAAAAGGUACUCCCUAUUUAACUAAAAUAUUCCUGUUUUGUCAUGAAUAACUAAUUAAUUUCUACAUAUAUGUUUUCUUGUUUGGAUUAAUAUAAGUGAAUUGUAGAAAGCAAUCAAAUUUAUUUGUUAAUGAUUUAAAUUUGAACCAAAUUUGUAUUUGACAGUAUUGCUAGCGAAGCUAAAAUAAUUUAAAAACAUGUUAUUUCCUCUCAAAUCAUAGUUGUCUAUUAUUGACUUGACACAUUUUAAGAAAUAUUAUCUCCUUAAUUUUUUAAACUGAACAAAUAUUAUUAAAUAAUCGUUCUUAAUAUAAUGGACAAGUAAAAAGGAAUGUGGGAGUAAAAGUUUUUGUAAUUAUCUCAAUUUAGAACCAAUAAUACGUAUGAGAGGCCUCGAUAUAAUAACAAUAAUAUUACUAUUUUUUUUAAUUAAACCAUUCCUCUUUAGUGGUAGGCACAUGGAACAAAUGUGGGACAGGAUGUUUGAUGAUGAAGAAUUGAAUAUGACAUGGGGAUCAGUCAAGUUAGUUGACUGGUCAAAAUUUUGGCUUCAUUCAAAUAAAACACCAACUGACUUAAAAAAAGUGAAAGUAGAGGGAAGUGCUGUUGUGGAAUGUAUAAAAAACAGAGCCUCCAUGUAUAAAAAAGUGAAAUUAGGUGAAUUAUUAAAUUCGUUUCUGACCGUCUUAAAAAUAGUUUUCUAUUUGACUAAAUAAAUUUAGAUAUAUUCAUAAUUUUGCUAUACAAGUAAAGUAUAUCCCUAAAUUCUCGUCAUAUUUAAAGGUGCAUGUUUUCACACUUCUUUCAAUUUCUAUGGUAGAUGGAUGGUGUAUUUAAGUUGAGUUAGUCAAAUCGAUGAGUGUUUUUAAGGUUGUCGAUAUAUAGUUAAAAAAUGAAAUUAAUAAUUAACGUCAAGUUUAUGAGUAUUUUCAAUACUUCUCUUUGCAUUAUAAUGCAUCUACUCUUUGCGAGUAUUACUAUCACUAGUACUACAAUAAUAUUUUUUUCAUUAUAUAUAUGACAUGUUUUAUAUCAUAAAAUUAAAUUAAAAAAUAUUUUAUAUAUUAUUAAUUUAAGAUUAUAAAAUCUAAAAAUUAUUCUUAUUUUUUAAAAAUAUAUAUCACAUUAAAAUCGGACAAAUAAAUUAGCAAGUACUAAUUUAAGGAAGAAAAGAAUGUGCAUGCGUCUGGGAUUUUCACUAUAAUGAUAGAAGUAGUGAAGGAAAUAAUUUUGUUCAGAUUGAAGAGAACGUUCUAAUGAGAUGAGGGAAUCAUACACAAGAUUUGCCUUGUGCUUCGUGCAGGCGCUGCUCAUUGGGAAACGUUCUAUUCACUUUAUCAGUUUCGAGAAAUGCCUUCUUAAAUGUAACUAUAACAUUUCUUUUUGUUUGUAUGAGUACGAUAUUUAUUUUGGAGUCUAAUUAAAUUAAAUUUGUGCUGAAAAUAUUUACGUUAGAGGGUAAAGUAUUACCCCUACAAAAUACGAUAUUAUACUCGGAUAUUGAAUUUGAGAUUUUUACUUACCACAAUUGUUAAAGAAUGACAAAAGUUCCACAUCGGUGGUUAAUGAGAUGGGUGGACUCCUUAUAAGGCUUAGGCAAUCCUCCUUCCUUAGAGCUAGCUUUUGGGGUGUGAGUUAAGCCUAAGACCUAAUUUAACAUGGUAUCAGAGCAGGGCCCGUCUCACCCGAUGUUGGGGCCCCCAAAAUCAAAAUUGCCCAUGCACCAGAUGCUAAGCACUGGGCGUGAGGUGGGGUGUUAAAGAAUGACAAAAGUCCCACAUCGGUGGUUAAUGAGAUGGGUGGACUCCUUAUAAGGCUUGGGCAAUCCUCCUCCCUUUGAGCUAGCUUUUGGGGUGUGAGUUAGGCCUAAGACCUAAUUUAACAACAAUCUUUGGUGGUGUGAGCUUAACAAUGCUUGUACGUAGUACAUAAUAUUAAAACAUGCGCAAUGCGUUCUUUAAGACGUACAGAUAAUUAAUGGGUUAAUCUUACAAAAUCAAGUCUCUAUGAUUGUCUCGAAUCUUUUAAAACACUCUUCAUAUUGCAAUGAGUUGCUUUACCUUUUAAAAUAUUAGACUAAUUAGAUAAGCUUAAGAACACUAAUUCUUGGAAUAAAUCAGUGCUACUAGCUAGCAUAAUUUAACUCUGUGGUCCUAGAUUAUGCAGCUGUUGGCCUGUUUAGUUACUUUAAUUAAUAGUCCAUGCAUAAAUAGAGUAAAAAAAGUUCCCAAUAAUAGAGUCACUUCUUCAUGGAAUAAUCGAGAUAUCCUUCGACUACGCCGAAUUCGCAUAGGAUAGGGCUAUAUUAAAAAAAACAUUUCCUACCAAUUUUUUGUUUGAUAUCCAUGAUUCGAAUUUGAGACAUAUAAUUAAAGAAAGGAAAAAUUAGUCUCAUCCAUUGCAACACAUCCUUUGAUAGUGAAUAACGUCAUAAUUUUGUUUCCGUAAACAUAUUUACCCUUAAGUAAUACUAAUUAAAUAUAUAUCAUACAUCAAUUAGUUUAAUUAAACACAAAUUAGUUUUUAUUUAGUGAUUUAUGCAGUCAAGUUAGUUGAAGGAAGGAGCAAUUUCCGGUGGAUUAAUUCCUUCAACUCGAAGUAUUCACAUUUAUCCCAACCUUAGGUACGAAGAAUAUUGAUUGAAAUUGAUUAGGCAAAGACAAAGCCAAUUAGAUCCCAAGAAUUUUAAUUACAAGUGCCCCAUUCUUCCAACUACACAAUCAUAUCAACUUUAAUUGAUUGAUUACUUAAUUAAAUAAUUAAUUUUAUUACAUUAAAGUAAAACAUACUAAUCCGAAGCAAGUAUGAUUUAAUAAUAUGAUUUCACAUAUGCCAAAAAAAUAAAACUUAACAAGGACAAGUGUAAUCAUUUUAGUUCACACGGAAGUUAAGUUGCACCAACCAUUUGUAUUAAUCAUAGGACAAAUCUAGUGUCCAGCUAGGUCUCUAUGACUUUUUAUUUUUUUGGUCCAGUGAAAUAAUUUCAAAGAAAUUUACAAAUACAUACCAUUCGAACAACUAAUUUAGUUCACAUAGGCGAAAUAUACAAUAUAUUAUAUAUAACAUAUAUGUUGUAAACAAAUUUCCGUAAUAUUUAAGGUGGUAAUAUCCUUAAAAUUAAUUGGUUAUAUGGUCACCUUUUUUUCCUUUUUUGGUCAUAUGCUAUGCUUCAUCGUAAAACAAGCUACUACGUACUUAGAAUAGGAAAAUCGCAUUGUUAGCCGUUUGUUUGACUAAUAACUAGUGGUUAGUAAGUUGUCCAGCUCUAGCCUCACUUAAUUUAGAUUGUGUUUUCUUGAAUAACUUUACCAGUUUACAAUUAAAAUUGUUUUAUAUAAUGAUUAGUUAUCAUUUUACAACUAAAACUGUCAAAUUCAAAAUAUGUCAAACGAAUCAAUGCGACUCGUAGUUCUAGUUAAACUGUUUUAAUUUACAUGCAAAAUAUUUGUCAUUUGAUUUUUUGUAUGACGGUUACAAUUUUAAAUAAUUGAAUAUCAUUAAAUUAAUUAUUUACAUUUUAAACAAACUCCGAUGAUUCAUUUGUUGAGCUAAUUAUCAUGAAUCAAAAAUAACAACCACAACAAAAAUAAUUUAAUCUCAAGCGAUUUAGAUUCAACUAGUUAUAUGAAUCCCAAAAAUGAGUUUGAUGCAGCUAACUGUAUUUUCUAGCAUGAAGUCUUAAAAAAAAUAAAAAAUAUAGAAUUUUUUUGAAUCUUGACACCCUUAAACUAAAAGUAUAUAUUUCUCGAUUUACUUUUACUUGUCUACUUUAAACAUUACACGCCCUUCAAGAAACAAUAAUUAAUAUAAAUACUUUAUCAUAAUACUCAUAUUAAUUGAUUGAUACAUUGUCAUAGGUCUCGUGAAAUGAUUUAAAAAAUGUAUAAUUAAUUUAAAGUAUAUAACACGGAAACAAUAUGCUAAAAAAAAGAAGUAAAAAUAUGAUUUUAAUAUAAUGGACGUAAAAAUAAAUGGAGGAAUGUGUGAGUAACGGAUAUAUAUAUUAUAUAAAUAUUUUCCUAAAAAUAAAAAGAGGGAAAGAUGGGAAAAGAGACAGACAUGGAUGAGUGGGCUUUAGUCGGUGGAGAAAAGGGGCCCAGCAGACAAUUUAGGAGUAUGAACACGCGGCAUGCCUAGCUAACGAAUAUUUCAGUUUCAAGGAACCUGCACAUUAGUGGAUAGAGGACCCCACUAUUACUUCUCCCUCUUCAAGCAAAGAAUAACGCAAUAUUUAUAUGGGUGAAUCGUAAUCAAAUCAAAUAUCAAUCUGCCCAGUCAUCACUAUAACUCAACAGGAAAUAACUAUAGUAUAGUUGUUGAUCGCACUUGAGGCUAACGAUAGAAAUGAAACAACCAAGAAAACUAACAAAUACUAUGCAUUACCCACUGAUAAUUAAUGGCUAACCAGAUUUGAAUUUGCAAGCCAUGGCAACCAUUUUCCCGAAAAAGUACGCUAGUUCAGCUGUUCAGGUACUCAAUCCUAAAGAUGAAACCAGCUGUCAGCUGAAUGCUAUGUAUGGUGCAAGGAAAAUUUACUUCACUCUACCUCCAUAUCAGAAAUAGCUUCAUUUAAGACACUCUGAAGCUCUUUCACUCUGCGUUUUGCCAGUGCGACGCAAUCCUGAAGAAGAAAUUAAUGAACUGUUAACAGGAUUGUUUUAGGAACCAUUGCAGAUCAAUAGGGAAUGGAAUGUAAGUUAACAAACGUCUCCAGAAAAGUGAGUAUGACAUAAGAAAAUACCAUUAUUUUAAUACAAACAACAACAUACCCAGUGAGAUCACACAAGUAGGAUCUGGGAAGGGUGGGUGUACCGCAGACCUUACCCCUACCUUGAUGGGGUAGAGAGGCUGUUUUCGAUAGAUCCUCGGCUCAAGAAAAGUGAUUUUCGAAACAGGUUUGGGAAAUUUUAAUUUCCUUGUUUGUUUUCUUAUGAUUUGUUGAACUACAAAACAGAACUGAUUAAAAAAAUCUUAUUUAUAAUUAUCAUAGCAAUAUAAAACAUAUUAAACAGAAAAAAAAUUAUCUUGACAAAGUUUCUCAAGGGUCAAUUUGGACAACAUAUAACUUUUAAUACAAACCUGAACCAAAACUAGGCAUCCAAAAACAGCAUGCCUGGGUAUUUCUAUAUUGUUCUUUUCUCAAUAGAGAGGGGAGGGAAGACAGUUACAAAACAUGCCCAAAAACAAUUGGAAAUCUUAAUGUCCCAUUAAAUAAGUUUUCCGAUAUCUAGUGACCUCCUUUAGUUACGAUCUAAGAUAAAUAUCAAAUGUGCCUUGUAAAGAAAAGAAGAGAAAAAUAAACCUUCUUGUCCAUUUAGUUAAGCAUUAGGAUUAUGAUGCAAACUAACCUGGAUGACUGAUGUAUGGGCAUGAACUGGUCCCCCUGGUUUAUAAAGUGAAACAAGCUGGUAGGACGAAUCCAAUACCACAGUUACAGCCGUUUCCAUUAUAGAUUCUUCCUCUGCUGUAGGAUCUGCUAGGAUGUAGUUCUUGUGAAGUAAGCACGUUAAGGAGAAUGGUGGAGAGUUCAAUUUUAGUUUUCUUUUCUCUGUAUUGACAGGCUGCUUCUCCAAUUUCAAUUGGAUAUUGUCCUCAGAAACAAGAACUAUUCGCCCAUCUUCAUUCAAAGACACUACUGGAAUGUUCACUGCAAAAAAAUCAUUUCUUAUGUAAAAUUCCAUGCAUAUAAUAAUCAACUUUCCCAGACUGAUACGUACAGCUAUAAAGAACUCAGUGCAUAUAAUAUUGAACACUUCAGAAGAAAACACUCUUCCCACAUAGCAAAAAAAGAGCUAUUGACCUACAGGGAUGGUUGCAACCUUAAGAAAAUUAAAAAUAAAAUCACAUGACUGCACCUAAUAUGUGCACUCUUCUUCAUUCCUUCAUCUCUUUCUCAAUAAUGGCUUCAUAAUUUUAUUGCAUGAUAUUCCUUUUAACAAACCAAAACCAAGUGCAGAAGAUUGCUCUUUUGACCUAUUGCUUAAACUAAGAACAGUUCAUCCCCUCUCUUUUUAUUCUCUUCAAGACUGGCCUUCCCCUAAGGUUUAUUACAUGGCAUAUGCAGGCCAGAUUCUUGCAGAUACUUGCUCCUUGAACAUAUUGCUAAUUGCUCUAAGAACUUGUGCAGACAGCUGGUCCUCUUUUUACCGUCGCCUGUUUGGUAUAAUAAAUAGUUUCUGUAAUCACUAAAACAUCUUCUUUCUUACCCUUUUUCAACUUUGAUAUCGAAAACCUUUCCAAAAUUUUGUUUUAACAUGUGGUCCAUUUCCAAUCUCAAAAUCAGAAACAGGAUAUAAAGUACAAUAUUGUUGUCUCUCAUGGGAAUAGUAAUGAUUACAGGAAUACUUAAGAAAAUCCAAGCAAUAGCAAACUUACAAUGUGAAAAGGCAGCAACUGUAGAUAGUAAUGCAGCGUCAAACAGAGAACCGUCAGCAUCCAAACAGUAUAUGUCCUGUAUUAAUCAUAUGCCAUAGGAAUUAAUACCAACAAGUAGGCCUAUGGUCUAAAAGCGUUUGUAUUAGCAUAAAAUGAAGAAAUAAAGGGGAACAUUCAAAAACCAACGAUGAAUAAAUGAAAAACUAGUCCAAAUCUAUGUGUUGAGGGACGGCCUUACGGGGUAACAUAUUUGAAAAUGGUUACCUAGAUACGCCAAAAAUUUCCAUUGUUUCAUAUUCUGAUGACUUAACUCUUCAAUUAACGUAAAAUUAAGGAACAAACUUUUCCUUCUUCUACCAACAAGGGGAAAAAGCAAGAAAACAAGAUCUUCACAUUCGUUAGCACUUACCAGGUAGGCCAUCCAUGCAGCUUUUCCUCCAACCAAGCACAAUUCUUUCAAGUCAAUCAUGCCAGAACUGCAAACAUUUCAAUUGCUUAUUAAGGAGAUUGUACAGGAAUACUUAUCAGAAAGUCAAGAAAUAAAAUAUUAGAAGAUGAACCAAGAGGAAAGACCUAAAAUAGGAAGGGUAAACAAAGCCAUGAAGAUAGCAAUCGAAGUAAUUCUUUCUUACUUCUACUUUAAAAAAAAAAAGAAGAGAAAAGUUAGACUUGCUCCACAACCAGAGAUACUUCUUGGUAUAAAGCUUUUUGUAGGAGUAGUAUUAACAGAUAUGAUUAAGUUCCAAACAGAGCAAAUGGAGUCAGAUCAUUCAUAUGGCAGACCACCAACGAGUGUGGGACUGAAGCAUGGUUAAUCAAAUGAUGAUUAACAACAACAUACCCGGUGUAAUCCUACAAGUGGGGUCUAGGGAGGGUUGAUCGAAUGAUGAUUAAGUUCCAAGAAUUUCUGGGAAGAACAAGGAUUCAUGCAAAGGUUAUUUUAUCGGAUGUCCCCAAAGGGACAUGCAAAGGUUAUUCUCAUGGGAGAAAGCAGAAGAAGAAUAUUCUCCCUUGUAAGUUGUAACAUAAAGUUCGUCCAGAAGCAGCUGCUUCUGGUUGUCUGGUAAUAUUGUUUGGCACAGUAUGAAAGAUCUUUUAGAUGCACAUAUUCCUCCGGGGGGACAUUGGGCGUGGACAUAAGGGUCUUUAUGACACAAUCAACAAUUUGUUUCAUUUUCAAUUAGGUCUUGCUCUAGCUUCUUUAGGGGUGUGAUCCCAACUUAGUGAGUCCUUUCUUCCGUGAUGAACUGUUGGCACCAGUCUACAUUUUGUCCUGUAGACCGAGGAGAGGAAAUCUUAUUUAAAAAGCAUAAAACUCUUGUGAUGUAAAGUUCGUUCAAAAACUUCUCCAGGUAAUAAUAGCUACUACAAUUUAUUAACAAUAAGUAAUAACCCCUUCGAAGACUAGAAACACGGCCAAGAUGCUUGACGCAGGAGGAUUUUCCCGAUCAGAUUAUUAUGCUUGCUGCAGAUCAUAAGUGGGUCUAGUUGAACCUCAAAUAAAACUUGUGUUGUUGACUUGUUGUAUCAGAUUACCAGACGCUCAAAAAAUUAUAAAAACAAAUUAGUAAUUACCAAAAGGCAUGGUCAAUAUUAAAAUACCUAACAUAAUGAAAUAGAUGAUGACAAUAUUUAGACUCCAAGUGGCAAAAGGUGGAGGAUUUGUGGCUUAGGUCGCAGGUUCAAGCCCCACACCAUGCAAAGCGAAGCCCGGUAUUUAAGUGGAGAAGGGUAGAGGGGCGGGCCCAUUAUCCACCGAGUUUAGAAGGCUGUGAUUGGUCCAAAGGGCGGGUCACAGACGGAUUUCUCGGUUAUCAAAAAAAAUAUAAAAAUAUUUAGACUCCAAGUUCAGAUUAUUUAAAAAAAAAGAUAUUUAGACUCCGAGUUUUGGGCACCUGCAAGCUAUUACUACGUACCUCAAGAUAGUGUCUGACAGCUGCUUUGAAAUUACUGAUGCAACCUCUGCAGGCCUACCAGGCCGAACCAGGGGAGAACAAAUGGGAGGCAUAUGAAAUUCGAUAGCUGCAAUCACAAUAUAAUUAUAUACAUAAGCAGAAACUAUAUGGGUAAUAAGAUAAUAAGAGCUGAGAGAUGAGAGACAUUUUACCUAUGGAUCCCUCAUCUGGACAUUCAACAGUUGGUGUCAUGAUUUCCAUUUUGAUGGCGGCCAGCAUCGUCUGCAAUUGAUUCAAGAUGAUCAAUCAAUUCAGAAGAAAUUCAAGUGAAAAAUGGAAGCUCCUGUACAUUAAAGAAGCAAUUGAUACAUAGGAUACACUUACAGUGGAGCCAAUCUUUGCCAGUGCUGAUCCCUCAGCAGAGGCCACGGCACCUGCAGUGAUAAUAGAAAUGUAUAUUUGGACAAAUCCUGAGAAAAUAUAAUAUAAUAACAACUAAUAAGUUGAAAUGAUGAUUAGACAAACCAAGUGCAAGUGUUGUAUCUCUAGCGCUUCCGAGCUUUCGAGCAUCAGGUCGGACUGAUUUAAGAAGGUGCUGCUCAUGAUAGCGCAAAGGGAAAAGACGUCUAAAUGCGUCCACCUCCAUCUCUGAAUACAAGUCACUUGAGCCAUUGGCAGCAGCCAUUCUAUAGAAAUCAGAUGUCUUAGCAAUAGCCUUAUCAACUAGAGAUUAUGCAAUCAUAGGAAUACAAGAAAAUCUCAUAUUCAAAUAAAAUGCAUGACCCUAGUAUCCUGCUGUUCAAUGAGAAUGAAGGUUUUGAACUUCGAAAUUAUAAUAAAACAAGAAAGACAUGCAGAAAUGGUUGGUCAAUAUAUAAAGAAAAUGGGAAAGAGGAAGUACUGUCAAAAUCUCAACCCAACCUUGUGAAAUUAUCUUAAUUCUUAUUUUGCUUAUAGUUGAUUUGUUCUUCUUUCCCAUAGAGAAAUCAAAAGGAAAAAAAGUUACAGAAUAUAAAAGUCCCUUCUGUAACUCGGUUGAAUUUUUUUUGUUUUGGGCUACUUGCUUUUCCACUUUGUGGUACUACACUGGGUUUGUUGUUGUUGUUGGUCUAUCUGUUUUCAGUUAUCAGAUUCAUUACUUAACCUUCAAAAACUUAAACAGGACAUGUCGCACUGUCAUCACCCGUUUUGUAACACAAUAAUAAUGUUUAUCUACUUGACAAAUUUGAAGUCUGAAAUUUAUGGACUUAUAAGAAGAUAUUAACAGACUAUUAAUGGCAAAAUAAUAAAGGAGAUUUUUCAGGCCAAUGACAAGACUCAUUAGAUUAUUAUCCUGCCAUAACAGAAAACAAUUGAUAAUCUAACUUUAGUAACGGAAGCGGUAUAAUUGACCUGAUAGAGAUUCAUAUAUCAACUUAUCCUUAAACAUCAGUAACAUGGAAUAUUUUCUAAUUCUAUGUUCAGAUUGUAAUCACAGUAAUUCCUUUGGGCCUUCUUAAUUCAGAAUCUUAAUCUUUCAAGUUCCCAACCUUAGAUACAUGUCUAGAUUCAUCUCUGAGUUGCUCGGCUAAGAUACAUGCAGUUUAUAGUACAUGCUUCUGUGCAGAUGAAUCUAGACAACUACAUACGUAAGAUAAACAAUAUUUUUUCCAACUGCUGUGAUCACACACACAUAUCAGUUCAGACAUCAGACAGAGUUGUAAGGACAUUCUCACAUCACCCAGUAACAAUUUGGCAGUCUAAUAGGGGCCUAUAAUGUUAAGCCAAUCAACAUCCGGAUAAAAGAGGAAUCUUUCCAUUAAAUAGUAUAACUACAUAAAGAUUGAUAUGUCCAAACUCAACUAGUUUGGAAUUGACGCAUAGUUAACUAACUAAUUAACAGAGCUUGAUAUAAGAAAUAAGUAUUUCCAAUUAGUUCUCUGAAAGAUAGUUUCAUAGGCACAAGGUAAAAGCAAAUCUUUUUCAAAAUAAAGUUUGAAAAUUUCAGCAAAUACACAAGCAUAAUUUCAGCAUAACAAAACUGUUGGACAACAAUCAAGCCAUGAAUGGAAGCUCAGAUAAUAACUAGAUGACAUGGAGAGCACCUUUUAGCACCACAUUUCAUGAAAAUACUCUAAAAAUAAAUAAAUACAAAUUAUGUAUUGAAGUUAGUGAAUUACUGAAAUUUUACAGCCAAAAGUGCAUUACUCCAUACAUUAUUUUAUUUUAUAUGUCAAUUUCACUAGCUCUGCUAACAGAUACAGAGGUUUUUACAAAAUCUUCACUAUACAAAUGGCCACAGACAGUAAGUUUUGGGACAAAGUUAGAUAUUUGCAAGGAAGAAAGUAUUUUCCAUCAGUAGUUUUACUUCUUCCAGAAAAUUAAAGAAAAUGUAAAAACUAACUCUUGGUGGAACCCGAGAAACUUACAGAAAUUUGCGGCUGAAGACACGGCAAGAGUUGCUGGCGGAGUGAAGCGAGGGAGGGUUUUACUCGAAUCGGAAAAGAAGAAUAAGGAGUGUGACUUGGGGACAUAUCAUGAGAAAAAGCUUAAAAUAGUACCUAAUCUUUCCAUUUAGACUUUAAAGUCAUCAUUAUUCUCCACAAAAAGCAUUAAUAGUCCUUUAUAUAUAUUUAUGAUACACAAAGCAUUAAUAGUCCAUUAUAUUUAUGAUGUUAGUGUAGUUUUGGUGCACCACUGAACUUUUUUUGUUUUUGGAGAUUGAAAGGUUCAUCACAUCAAAAAUUUCAAAUGUAACAAUAUAAGAAGAUAUAAAGGUCGCAAAUUAGAAUAAAAAAAUGGGUAUAAAUUGACUUGUUUUUUCGCUUAGUAAGUUUGGUGGGUAGUUGAUAUUAAUAUUAAUCCUAUAGUUUUUUAUUCUUCAAUUACUACUACUAUAUGAUGUUUGUUGUGCUUCAUUUGUCAUAUUGUUAUACUCUAUGAUUCAUUACGUUUACUCUAUUAUUUGUUAUGUGUUAUUUGCUAUAUCUUAUAUUAUUUUGGUAUGUCUUUUUCAAAAGUGUUACUUGAUCCGAGAGUCUUACAAAAAAUAAUUUAUCUAUCUCCAUAAGAUAGAAGCAGAUUUAUGUAAAUUCUACUCUUUCCAACCCCUUUAUGAAAAUACAAUAUAGUAUUAAUAAAUAAAAUUAUUUUUCUAAUAAGAUAAACUUUUAGUCUAAUUUUCUUUUUAUAAUGGUGUUCCUAUAAAAAUAACAUAAACUCGAUUUGGCAAUUUCAUAAUUCCUUUUCAAAUUAUUUUAGAUCGAUACAUUCACAAUGAGCAACAAAAGUCAGCGUGUAUUUUAAUUACUUUAAGUCAGCGCGCACUAGAAUUUUAUGCGUAUACCUUUUUAUCUUUAUCCCAAAUGAAUGAAAAGUAAAGUAGGAAAAACUGCGAAAUAUGCGAGAUGCCGACCGAAUUCAUUUCCAUGGCAGUUACCUUUACCCACUGUUAACGAAACCGCAGUUUAACUAAAUUUGCAGUGCGAGGACUGUGAGAGACGAGCGUGGUGUCCCUUUCUCAGAGAGUAGAUCUGAAUAUAGAUCUCUCUCUGUCUACUAGGUGAAUUGUUACCUUUCGGAAAAAAAUGGAGUACAUAGACAACAUGCCGCUAAUGGAUCUGAUGCGCUCGGAGAAGAUGACUUUCGUUCAGCUUAUCAUUCCUGCUGAAUCCGCUCAUCGUGCCAUCACUUACCUUGGCCAACUCGGACUUCUCCAAUUCCGUGAUGUACUCAUCUCUUUACCUGUGAAUUUUUGUUUUUGAAGGAUUUUGAAGUUUGUUUGUUGAUUCAGGAUUGAUACUGUGGUUUUAUGAUUUUGAGGUGUCACUCACUAUAUGUGCCUGAUUAAUUGGCCUGAUUUUUACUCGAAUAGUCAGUCUUCGAGAGUGAUUUUGGUUAUGUGGAAUGCAAUGUAACAGGAAAGUGUUGUUUUUGACUAAGUAACGAUUCUGUAGUUUUAGUAGUCUAUGUUGUGAAGGAUUUGGAAGUUAAUUAAUGAAUUCGAAUAAGACUCGUUUACUUAAUCACUUUUUAAGUGCCAAAGAGUAUCAAAAUUUCAGGGAAGCUUAAUUUCAUUCUUCUAAUAUAGUUGUUCUAACAAUCCCAUGUGUUACUUGUGUAAAUUGAGGUGAGGUUUCAAAGGCAUCAAAUUACCGUGCUGGUUCUUUCUUUUGGGUUGGAGUAAGGCCAGAGAGAACUAUCCACACUCUUGAAGAUGAGAUGCAGUCAAUUUUUUUCAUUAUUAUAAUGUUGUUGUCCCUUUCAAUAUUUUGUAUGAUAUUUGUAACUAGUUUGUCAUCUUCAAGGGGAUGUGGCAAACUUUUAAAUAUUAUUAUAUUUUUAUGAUCUAGCUAUCCUGACUUUUAUCUCCAGUUAAGCUGCUUUAUUUUCAUUAUCCAGCAAAUAAACUGAUUACCUAACUUCUUUUGUGCAGCUAAAUGCCAAAAAGAGUCCUUUCCAGAGAACAUUUGUAAACCAGGUAUCUACGAAUUUCUGUGAAUUCAGUAAAUUCAUCUUCAAAAUUCUACAUGCUUGUUACUAAAGUGGAAUUGUGACUAUAAUCAGCUUAAACUGUUGACAAGUUUCAAUGUGCUUGUAUUGUUGACAAACUGCUAUCUCUGCUAACUUUUGCUGGAACUUUGCUAAAGAGAAGAUCACUUCCUUUUACUCAAAUUUUAGUCCAUAAUUUUGUGAAAUUAAGUCGAGCUGCUUAGAAUUGCUCUUUCUCGCCUUUAUUGAACCUAGAAAUGAGUACAUAUUGAUUUGUUAUUCCUUUUAUUAAUUCAAUCUUGGGUGACGUUUGUAGGUAAAAAGAUGCGUGGAGAUGGGAAGAAAACUACGAUAUUUCAAAGAUCAGAUACACAAAGCCGGUCUAUUGCUGCCUCCUCUUCCUGCUUCCCAACCUGAUACUGAAUUAGAAGAAAUAGAGGUCUCUUUCUGGUUGCUACUUGCUGAUAAAUGAGUUUUCCUCUGUUUUCAAUUUCAAUUAUGGAUUUAUUCAGUAGCUUUUCCAAUUCAACAAAAGCUCAUAUGGACAAUUUGAUUCUUCAAAAUUUCAGAUACAACUUGCAGAGCAUGAACAUGAAUUGAUUGAAAUGAAUGCUAAUAGUGAGAAAUUGCGGCAAUCAUAUAAUGAGCUGCUAGAAUUUAAGAUGGUACUGCAGAAGGUACAUUUCUGCCUUGAUAUCUAGUCAUUCUGUUAAUGUGCAAGCAUUUGAAGUAAGAAAUGAAUUUUGCAUUAAUGAUGUGGAUUCUGAGUUGUUUGAGGCAUUUAAUUUUUGCCAGAAACUUGGAAUUCUUAAAUAGCUGCUUUAAAGAGAGCAAAGAUAUUGAUUUUUUUUUUUGUAAUCAUUAAUGUGGUUGCAUACACGAGUGUCUAUUGGAAACAAUCUCUUGACCUCUGAGGUAGGGUAAGGUCUGCGUGCACUCUACCCUCCCCAGACCUCACUUUGUGGGACUACACUGUCUAUGUUGUAGUUGUUUAUGCUUACCUAUCAUUUUCUCUUCUAAGUUUGAACUUGUGAGCUGACAUUCAAAGCUUCUCAGAUCACCUCUUUAUCAGAAUUACCUGAAGGACCAAAUUUAUGCUUUUUUGGGUUUAAAAUGUAAUCAUUCCUUUCAGAGAUACUUAUUUUUUGGUCACUAUCACUCCAGGCUAGUGGCUUCCUUGUUUCAAGUAGUAGUCAUACAACUGACCGGGAAAUAGAAUUGGAUGAAAAUGUAUACUCCAAUGAUAACCAUGGAGAUACAGCAUCAUUAAUUGAGCAGGUAACUGCACAAAUAACAGUUUUUUCUUUUGAGUAGCUUAUAUCAUUAAUUCAUUGAUGAUUAAGUUCCUUAAAACUUUUUCAGCAAAGUUAUUUUCAAUCUUCAGGAGAUGCAUUCAGAACUGUCAAAUCAAUCCGGAGUGAGAUUUAUUAGUGGCAUUAUCUGCAAUUCCAAGGUUCUUCAAUUUGAAAGAAUGUUAUUUCGUGCAACAAGGGGUAAUAUGCUUUUCAAUCAGGCAGUUGCUGAUGAUGAAAUACUGGAUCCUUCGUCAAACGAAAUGGUCAUCCUCUUUCUUUAGAACUUCUAAUAUAAUUGAACCCUUCUAAUUGGACAUUUGCACUGCCAUCUUUCUAAACGUGGGUCAGCACAAAAGGAAUUUGUUCACUAAGAAAAGUUCCAAAUAAAGGAAAAUUCUAAAAUGCGUAAGAUUUACUCAUGACUCAUGAGUCAUGAAUAAAUAAGGAAAGAGUAGAAGCAUUUCUCUCCAUUUGAAAUGGCCAAACUCUAACUCUCUCUGUCUAUGCAAUGUGGUUUCUUUAAUUAUCUAUAUGUUUUUAUCUAUUAUUAUUAUUACUCCCUCCUUUUCAAUUUUUUUUUUGUCCUGUUUUGACUUUGACUUGACACGUAGUUUAAGAAAGUAGAGAAGACUGCUAAAUCUUGUGUUCUUAAAUGAAAGACAUGUCAAAUGCCCUUUAAUCUUGUGGUCUUAAACAUAUUAUGUGGAAAGCUGGAAUUAAAGAGUUGCUAAAAAAAAAAGAAAGAGGCGUUCUUUUUGAAAUGGACUAAAAAGGAAAGUAGGACAAACAAAUUGAAAUGGAGGGAGUAUUAUUACUGUUGUUGUUAUUAUUAUUUCUUUGUUGGAUCCUUGCUGCAAGGAAACAACCUGAUUAUAAAGGUUAUCUUAUGGUUAACAUAGAUUUUGCUUCUGCAGGUUGAGAAAAUAGUCUUUGUAGUAUUCUUUUCAGGUGAGCAGGCGAGAACAAAAAUACUGAAAAUUUGUGAGGCAUUCAGUGCAAAUUGCUAUCCUGUUCCUGAAGACACGACAAAGAGGAGGCAGAUAACUCAAGAAGUAUGUUUCUAAUGGAAAGGAGUUUCAUCGGCAUUACAAUUGAACCUUUUUGUGUAUUAAUUAUCUUUGCAUAAUUUGUUGAAAAAUUGUAAGUAGGAAAUGGAUAAUUUUAUGGUAUUUCUGCCUAAUGUAAGCAAGCUAAGUUUUAGUUGCCCUCAAUUUAUGUGUCGAUUGACAUUCAACGUCAUAAUAUACAUCAAGAAUGGGCCAAUGUUCUGUUAUCUCCCUACUAGCACUCGUGCUAUGUCUGAUUGCCUUCACAUUUAUUCCACAAUCACCUCAGCAUGAUUUGCCGCAUUUGCACUUCAAUGAGUCCCAACCCCAAAUCUGUUUAGACAUACUGUGAUGUACAUAGCAUAUAUAAUUUGUGAUUGUUCAUUCUUGAAUGCUCUAAAGUAAGAUAUCUGAAUGAGAUAAACUUCUUGAUUAUAGGUGUUGUCUCGGCUGUCUGAAUUAGAAACCACUCUGGAUGCUGGCCUGCGACAUAGAGAUAAAGCUUUGACCUCUAUCGGAUAUCACCUUACAAAAUGGAUAAACAUGGUAAGAGAUUAAGAGUGAAUAGAAUAGUUGUAUAAUCUUUCAGUUUCAAAAAGGAGUGAAUAGAAUAGUUGGAGUUAUUUCUUUAUACUCUAGUUUAUUAUUGUCUGGUGGGAGCAAGUGCACCUUGUGGUUUUGACAAAUGAGUUAAUUGCUCCAACUUCAUUUUCUAGGUUAAAACACAAAAGGCUGUGUAUGACACUUUAAAUAUGCUGAAUUUCGAUGUUACUAAGAAGUGUCUAGUGGGUGAGGGCUGGUGCCCAAUAUUUGCAAAGACCAAGGUAAAUUUCUUUUUUGAUUCUUUUUGUAGCAGUUAAUAAAUGGAGCUUCAACAUGCACAAUUUUAUAACAUUAAUACCAAGUAAUGACUCGUGAAAAUUUUAGAUACAAGAGGCUUUGCAACGUGCGACAUUUGAUAGCAGUUCACAAGUGGGCAUUAUAUUUCAUGUGAUGGAUGCCGUGGAGUCACCUCCAACAUACUUUAGGACAAACAGAUUCACAAAUGCAUUUCAAGAAAUUGUUGAUGCGUAUGGGUAAGUUAAACAUGCAGUAGCAUUUCAUUAUUUGAAGAAAAUGAUGUAGACAUAAUAGUUUUGUCUUGAUUUAGUUGAUGCAAUUAGGUCAUGGGGAUAAAAUGUUUGUUGACAGCAUUAGUUCUAUUCCAUCAUUUUUGCUGAUUCUACUGAUAGCAGCAUGUCCAUCUGAAAUUACUUCAACAUAAUUCAAGUUGGUAUUCUAUGAAGAUGUAAAGGGGAGAUGAUGUUAAUGUCAUGACCCGAAAUAGACAUGUUUGUUGAUGAUGUUUUAGAUGGUACAUUAAAACUUUAUUGCAUUUGUUGUUUUAUCUUACGCUUCACUCAUUUUUGCAGUAAAACCUUUACUUGUUUCAAGAAUGUUUUUCAUAUGCCUGAAGCUUGGCAAAAUAAAAUUUUAAUAGAAAAGAUUCUACUUUUCAACAUAAUGCAUGCCAUGAUUUUUGGUUGUAGUUGUACAUAAUGCUUCAGCUCUUCAGAUAAAUUUCAAUUUCAUUUGUUUCUCAAAAGAAUAUAUGAAUAUGAAUAUCCAUAUGUUGUGCACUUAGGCUGGUCCAAACAGAAAACACUUAUAGUGCUGUUUUUCUUGACAGUGUUGCCAAAUACCAGGAAGCAAAUCCAGCUGUUUAUACCAUUGUUACAUUUCCUUUCCUUUUCGCUGUGAUGUUUGGGGACUGGGGUCAUGGAAUCUGCUUGCUCUUGGGAGCAUUAGUUCUUAUCGCAAGGGAAAGCAAACUUAGUUCUCAGGUUAAUACUCCUAUUGAUUUAAGAUUCUUCUUUGGAGGGCUGAAUUAGAGCAAUCAUAUAAUUAUAUGCUCCUUUUGUGAAUCAAAUAACUUUUCCUGGCAGAAACUAGGCAGCUUCAUGGAGAUGCUCUUUGGUGGUCGCUAUGUACUCCUGUUGAUGUCAAUAUUUUCAAUUUACUGUGGCUUGAUAUAUAAUGAAUUCUUCUCAGUUCCCUUUCACAUAUUUGGUGAUUCGGCGUACAAAUGCCGAGAUGCUACAUGCAGGUAUACAAUAAUUACCAUGCUACAUUUUCUAAAUAGAAAUUGACUACAAUUUCUGAUUAUGAGGAAAUAACGUAUUCACUUUGUAUCAAGUGUAUCAACGAAUACAAUUGUAUCAAGUGCAUACAUAUGUAUCAUGUGUUGUAUACUCUUACAUAAUACGAUUGAUACGAUAUUGUAUCUUGACAUUACUGUGUGUACAUUACAGUGAUGCACAGACAGUUGGUUUAAUAAAAUACAAGGAUCCGUAUCCAUUUGGCGUGGAUCCAAGCUGGAGAGGCAGCCGUUCAGAGCUUCCUUUUUUGAAUUCUCUGAAGAUGAAGAUGUCUAUUUUGUUGGGUGUGGCCCAGAUGAAUCUUGGAAUCAUUUUAAGUUAUUUCAAUGCACGUUUCUUCAGCAGCUCACUUGAUAUUAAGUGUGUAAUCAUUUUCUCUUCUCUCUUUUUUCAUGGUUUGCCUGUAUGUUGUCAUUUAUUCUGUGAUUGGUUGUUGUCAGGUAUCAGUUUAUACCACAAAUAAUCUUUCUCAACAGCCUCUUUGGAUACCUUUCUCUUCUCGUUGUUGUCAAAUGGUGUACUGGUUCUCAAGCAGAUCUAUAUCAUGUUAUGAUUUAUAUGUUCUUAAGUCCUUUUGAGGCUCUUGGUGAAAAUAGGUUGUUUUGGGGCCAGAGUGUGCUUCAGGUAUGAGGUACCCUUCUAUUUCCGGAACAUGUGCUCUUAGAGGUUGUUUGGUUCUUAAAUGGGGUAUGGUAGAAUUGUACUAGCACAAAAUUAUUGUGAGAAUAUUGUCAAUUAGUGAAUUAUUAAUGGGUUUCUAAUACAUGCAUCCCAUAUUUGGGAUUUUUGGAGUGGGGUUUAAAUUCUUUUAAUAAAAAUGCCUCUUGCAUAAUUUUUAUAAAUAACUUGUAAUGAGUAGUUAAAUAUAUAUGUAUGUAUGCAUUAAAGGUGCCAUAUGCAACUAAUAGAAAGAACAAGUAACAAACAAAGAAAUAUGAAAAACAAAACCAUUAAUGAAGUUCUUUUUUCUCCCUUGUCCGUCACACAAUUCGAUACCAAACAACCCCUAAGAAUAUGUCUGCGUCCUUGUACCCCUCUGUUAACAAUUACUGUUGCAGGUAAUAUUGCUGCUUUUGGCACUAAUUGCAGUUCCAUGGAUGCUCUUCCCAAAACCUUUUAUUUUGAAGAGACUUCACAUGGAGGUACUGUGUUGACUUUUCUGAUUCAGAGAAAAGAUGAAAGUAGUGAACCUUGGAACCCUUUCCAGAAAUAACUUUUGUUUUCUUUGAGAGACAUUUUAGUGGCAUAGAAUGGAGAAACCUUUAAAAAGGAAAUUCUAAUUUCUAUUUUGAUUUUUUUUUUCUUGGAGAGAGAGGGGUCCUGUUGGCAUGCCAUAAAAUCUAGUAAUAGUCAAGUAGGCUCCUAUUGAGUACCUUACUUUAUUGAAGAUAUACUUUCCUUUUUAAGUAUGACUUCACUCUUGAUAUGUUGCCAGAAUGAACUUCUAAAUGUACCCUUCCAUGAUUGUCUGGUUAAAUUAAUUAGCCUGACAAGUUUUGAGUGUAUGGUUUUUAUCUAAAAAUAGUGGUAAGAAGGGAAUAACCAAAAAUAUAAGUUUGAUAUACUAGUGAAGGCAUUAAUGCUUUCAGUUGUUAAGUAAUAUCUGCCAAGAGACAUUAGGCUUUCGAAAAUGGAGAUUUUUGUCCAUGAGCUUCUCAUAUCCUAAGAUUAUUCUGCUUCAUGGGAAAUUUCAGCAUGGCAUAUGCUGUGUAGGUAGGGUGAUUACACUAUUAGAGCUACUUGUGCCACUAGGUGACUGUCUGAGAUUGUAAUCCAUAUUCCAAUUGUUUUUUUUCUCUUCCUUUGUUCGGAAAUUGUGAGAAAAGGUGGGAUACCUUUGCUUGUUUUUCAGAAAAGCCCUUUCUAGUGUACCUUUUAGCAGCCUCCUUCCCUGUUCUCACUCUAGCAGAUCCGUUCCAGUCAGACUUUCCAUUUUUCCUUUUAUUUUCUCUGUUUUAACCAAAUAUGAGAAUGCAACAAAGUUCUUAUUCGGUCGAGAUCCCACCUAAAAUGAACAGGAAUUUUAUUCUGUACACCAAAUGGUUGCAUCUGUUCCUGUAUAGAUGUUGUUUAGGUGUCCAUUGAUGUUACUGAAUUAGCAAAUAUGGUUUUAUAUAUUGACAGGAUCUGAGGGUAGGACGGAGAGCCUUAUUUACUUUUGUAUUUAAUUUCGCACAAUUUCAUGUACUGCCUAUCGCUACUACUUAGUAUCUUGAAGGCUUUAUUUCUCUUGCACCUUUGAUGAUUCUCAGAGAUUUCAAGGUCGGACAUAUGGAAUGCUUGGAACCUCUGAGAUGGGUAGUGAUGAUCAACCAGAUUCUGCCAGAGAGCGUGCCGAGGAGUUCAACUUUAGUGAGGUUUUUGUGCACCAAAUGAUACACUCUAUUGAAUUUGUACUUGGUGCUGUUUCUAACACUGCAUCGUACCUUCGGCUUUGGGCUUUGAGGUAAAUCCAUCAAUUACUUAUUUUUUGUCAUCAACUUGAAUUUUGUAUAUUUCUUGAAAAUUCGCUGUAUAUACCACACGUUUAUGUUGAUGCAGUUUGGCUCACUCUGAAUUAUCUACUGUGUUCUAUGAGAAAGUUCUCCUCCUAGCUUGGGGGUAAGUUUUCAUUUGACAUUUAGCUAUUUCAUUUUCUUCUCACUGGCUGUUCAAGUUUCUCCAGUUUAUAGCUAUGGCUUUCCUUUCAAAGGAAAAACCUAAAUAGGAGCUAUGAUUUGAUGUAGAAUGGUUAAUUUUCUUCAUAAUUUACUCUUGGUAUUCGCGGUGUUGAAUUUAUCUGUCUAUUAUCAUUCUAAGUUCAGGUAUGAAAACAUCAUCAUACGACUAGUGGGGCUGGCAGUUUUUGCCUUUGCGACAGCUUUUAUACUACUCAUGAUGGAGACUCUUAGUGCAUUCCUUCAUGCAUUGCGUCUUCACUGGGUUGAAUUCCAAAACAAGUUUUAUCAUGGGGAUGGUUAUAAGUUCAUGCCGUUCUCCUUUGCCUUAUUAGCAGAUGAUGAAGAUUAGUACAUAGCGUUUCUUUCUCUCUUUUCUUCCUUUGGGGAAUUCCGUGGAGAAGAAGAGUUCCCAAUCUAGAGAAGAAGUCUGACAAGAAUUUCGGAAGGACCCAAUUUUGACUGACUGGUACAUUUGACACACUUUAUUUGGAUGAAAGCAGCUGGAUUAUGUAGGAUAGAAUUGUAAAGUUGCAGCACAUAAUCUUUUGGUAUAGCAGUAUGAAAAGGACCCCGAGGGUCGUAGUUAGCUGUUGAGGAAGAGAUGUGUAAAUUUUUCUCAUUUCUUAUAUCCUCAUCCCAUUCUCUCAAACAGUCAGUAUAAUUUGUGAAGAGGGAAUCUCUUAUACCACCUGCAUCUUCUGAGUUUCACAUCUUUUUGUGGAGGAAAAACUUGCUUAUUCUAAAAUUAUACCUGCGAGUUGUAUUCAUUCAUUUUGAUGGGGGAAGUUUUCCUUCCCGUUUUGUAACAAUAAAUCCAGUCUCACUUACGGUGUUAUGCUUCAGAAAGAAGAAUGUUUCCGAGUGUAUAUCAAAUGUGUGAAACAGAUAAACAAACUAGAUGAGCACACCGUGCGUACCAGCACGAACAUCCCUGAAAUCACUAUAUAGAAGUUUGCACAAACAUAUGGCGAAUGGCUUUUGUAGGAAAAGAAAAAGGAGGAAAAACUCUCUCCGUAGAGAGUUAUUGUUUCACUACAAUUUAAGAUUUUCCAACAUAUGAAUUGUCAUCUUCGGAUGCAAUGACAUUCAUUGCGUAAAACUGUCAUUCUACAUUGAAUCUUCAAAUGGUCCAAUAGUUAACUAAGGAAAGCAUUUCCAAAUCUCGAAUAAUUCAAGCUAUAAUCUUGUUGAAAAGUCAUAUCUAUUUUAAUUUGAAUAUCAAUAGUUAAAUCUUUUAAAAUGAAGUUUACAUACUCCAAAAUCAUAUAAGAAGAAUACUAGUAGGAAAUAUUUGCCAUCCAAAUAAUAAUAGUGGUAACAAAGACUUCCAAUACAAUUUCUUAUGACCUUCGGGUAGAUCUUAAUACUUUAUCAUGAUUAAGUGAUACUUACUAGGUGAUAAAAAAGUGUAAACACUACCUCCUGCUGCUCAUUUUUUUUUAAAAAAAUUUAAAACUUGAUUCUAGUAUCGUAGGAAGUCAGGACUUUGUAGUCAAUUUUUGAAUCAAAGAAAGGAAGGGGCAAAUAAAUUUGGCAUUGGAGUGAACAAGGCACGUGUGAUUUGUCCUACGUUAGGGACCGGCCCUUUCCCGCUUGCCCCCAUUUCAAAACCAACAAAUAAAUCCUCAUUUCCGCUUAACCAAACAAACUACUCCUACUUCUUUGAUGAUUUCUUCAACAAUUUCAAGUAUCAGAGAAAAAUGGAAUCAGAUCUACGCCUCCUUGAAAUCUCCGGCGAAGAAGAUUCUCUACUCACGCCACUCCCUGAUAUGGACACCAAUCCCAACGAUUUCGCUUCAAUUUCAAAUUUCAUUUCCCCAAUGAGUCAGUUCUUCUACUUUUCUUCUCUUCUAUUUUUGUUUCUUUCAAGUUUCACAUUGCCAUUUUCCAAUUUCUAUGGCUUGCUCCGUUUUUUUUUAUUUUGUUUCAAUUCGUUAAUUCCCGCAUUCAUUACCUUGAGGGAUUUGUAGCGGUAAGCAGUCAAGGAAGUGCUCAGAUGCUGUAAAAUGUUUUUUUUUUCGAGAAGUUUUGGAGGUUUCAUCUCGUUUAGAUAAAUCUAGAUUUUUGUUUUAUAUGGAAAUGAGUCGUAAUGAGUUUGUAGGGUUAAUUAGGUUAUGCAGUUUUUGCCUACUUUCAGCAGUUAUUCAAUUCACUGUGUUACUUCAAUCAAGUAUAUUAGGUUCCUGAUAAAGGAGGAGAUUAGCUAUGCGUUGGCAACUAGUGUCUGUAGUCAUACUUUGGUGAAUACUAUGAAACGAGACUAAGUAGAGGUGUAAUUGAUGCAUAAGACCCUAACUAUAGGCUUUGAGGUGAAUUUGAUUGAUUGAUUUGUAUUAUCAAGUCCGUCAGUAGAAAUUUGAUCGUUUCUUCUUUACAUUUGGUAUUCUGUGGCUCUUCUAUUUUGUUGGUUGUAUCAUACAUUUUUAUUCAAAACUUCUGCUUUUCUGUUGGAGAUGUUAUGCAUUAUGUUCUUCUUGAUGGUUCUCAUUUGCCUAUGUUCCAGCUUGAAGCUGUUUAGUUUUCUGUUUGAAAUUGAAACAGUUGGUGCCUUGAAGUAGAGGGCGUAGUUAUUUACAGAUUUCAUCAUGUUGCAGGAGGGCUGGAGGUUCGGGUAGAUCAUGUAAAAUCCGGAUGUUCAUCUCGUAGAGUUUCCAGCAAUAAAGAAAAUAUCAAUUCAGACAAAGCAGAAAUGCCUAAACUGAGUGUGGAGCCACUGCACAUGAAGAGGAAGAAGAGGAGCGGUGGUUGCAAUUUGCGGAAAAGUUUAGCAUGGGAUAGAGCCUUUUCAACUGAAGAAGGUAAUUUUUAACAGUACAGUAUCUCUAGUAUCAAUGCAGAAAAAAUUGUUAGAUACUUCAGGAGAUUGAUAUCAGGAAAAACCUACAUUCUUUCUGUUAGGUGUUUUGGAUCCAUUAGAACUUUCUCUGCUUAGUGGUUCAUUGGUUAAAACAUGCGGAGAGGCCUUGUUCACCAUCAAUGAAGAAGAGCGAAAUCCAACUUCAAAUGACUCUCUACAUGAUGCUAGUUCAGUUUAUUUGAGCUCGAACAAAAAAAGUACGUUCAAAGGAAUUCGAGCUGUAGCUUUAAAAGAAGAAAAUCGGAAGGUCAGAUCUCAGCUUAAGACUAGCAGUGAUUCAGCUCAUAAAAUAUGGCCAUGACUUCUGAUGAUGCUCAUCUUAUUUUAAUUUGUUGUUUACUUGGUCUUUUGCGUGGUUUCAGGCCUCAACUAAAAUACCAGUGUCUCACAAUGGUAGAACUAUCUCCAAAUCUAGUAGCUGUUCACAACCUUUGUCUUCAGCUUCAUAUCCUUGCACAUGUUAGAUAUAUUUGAAAUUCAACUAUUUCCAAGUUGUUAGUUUUUUAUUUUGCUAUAUUUGGAGUUUGUACAGAUGAAGAGCCUUAAUAUUAUUUUAGACUGAAAAGGCCUGCAAACAUGAAUCAUGGAAAAUCUGCGACCAAGGAUUCCAAGUUACCAAAAUGUCAAGUUUCAAAGCCAAAUUCUUGUUCGUUGCCUACAAACUCUAAGAGUAGCAUACCAAGAGCAAGUCAUUUUAAGCAUCAAGUAACUGAUUCUGGUAAUCUCUUCAUUAGCUAUUCAUCUGGCUUCUGCUGAGCGUGAUUGUUUCCAUUUCUAUCAUGGAAUGUAUUCAAAAUGUGCUGUAAUAUUAUAUUUUGCGAAAGUAACUUCCUUAUUUGGGUCACAGAUUAAAAGAGUACGUCAUUUAUAUUCUAAUUUCCUUUCUCGUGCAGCUUUUGGUAUUCAGAAAAAUCUGGGAUUAAUGAGCUCCUCUAGAAAGUUGAGAAAUAGCAAAGAGAAAGCAAAAGCUGAUGCUGCACCUUUAAAGGAUAAAUCUUCAUCAUGCAUUUUGAGAGGAAAUGAUGUAAGCUUCAGUUCAAGUUUAAGAUCAAUAUUUUAGAAAAAAAACUGUGUGGUUAAGAACUUAAAAGUACUUUCAAAUUCCAAAGAUAAAUUUUUAUCAUGUAUUUUAAUUUUAAGGAGAAAUGACAUAAGGGUUAGUUCAAGUUUUGAGCUCAAUAUUUUAGAAAAAUUCGGUGUGAUUAAGAAUUGUUCAAAUUUCAAGAACACAACACUAAAGAAUUUAGCUUACAUUCAGUACAUAUGGUAGUUAACCAACAAUAUCAAAUCCCCUCCUUUUUGCUGAAUUCUAAUUUGUGCAGGAGAAAUCACCAUCAAAAUUACAGACAUCAAUUGAAUCUUCUCCAGUUAAUAAUUCUAGCAAUAUUGGCGUGGAGAUGAAUUCAGAUGCCACACUUCCAUCUACCCGAGCACAUUCAUCUGAAAGUCAUGAUGUAUGUUUACCAUCUGUACUCCCUCUUCCUCACAGUACUCGUACUGCUGUUAGCAGUAUGCCAUACCUGCCCGCACAAGCCAUGAAACCAUCAGGUCUGCGGAGGCCCUCACCUUCCUUGGGAUUUUUUCGUCAGGUAUUACCAGCAACCCAGCACUAUUCUGGCAAAGCAUUAGGUUCUUUUGUUUUAGGUGAAUAGGAUGCUUGAUGCUCAUGCUGUAGCAUUUCAUUUUAAAGACAUGACAACCAAUAUGGUGAUUGCAGACAAAAGCUUCAGAUACACAUCGCUUGUUGAAAGUCGAGUCUAGUAUGUGCCCAUUGCAAAGGUCUGGUGAUCUGAGGCCACCAGAGACACUAGCAAGGCAAGAAGGCAAGGACGACUUAGCAAAUUUAAACUGUAAGGUACUAGGAUCUGAAUCGGAAAGCUCAACAUCAUCCUACAAAGUAAUUAAAACAGGCUUGGAAGGAAACAGUGUAGAAAGAGUGAAUAUUCCAAGUAGUGUUAUUAAGAAGCUUGAUAUAGUCAGUGAUAAUUUCAGAGAUCAUGUUGGUAAUUUUGAUGAGCAAGUAUUGGAUCACAUCAAGCACGAAGAAAAGAAGCCUCAGGAUACAGAAUUGCUGAUGAACGGCAAGCAACAUCCACCACAAAUGGGAAAACUUGAAUAUAUAAACAAAGAUGGUAAUCUCAUGAACUUCAUCCCUGGUUUUAUAGAAAAUAAAGGCUCUGCUGGAUCAGGUUUUAGAGAUUCUCAGUUUCCACAAGCUAGCUACAAUUCAGAAUCUCUAGUUCUACAUAGACUGGAAGAUGGCAAUCCAAAUGAAAGAGAAGAAUCUGCCAUUUCUUCAGUAAUUGAUGGUUUGAUUUGUAACUCGCAGUAUGGGAAUAUGAUUAAUUUAAGCGGGGAGGUGAUGAAGGAAGGUUUCAUGGGCGGCUGCAAUAAUUUAACUGGUGGAGAAUUUGAAAAGGUCAAGUCCUUUGCAGUUGAAGAUGACGGGAUCUUUGAUAAUGAUAAGUACAUUAUGAAGAUUAAGAGUAAUUUGAGCAAAGUCCAGAGAGAACUAAGGAAUAUUGGAUGUGGGAACUGUGAACCCUUGAAUCUCGCAGGUUCAAACUUUAGUGAAGUAAAGAUGGAACUGUCAGAAGUUGCAUAUCAGCAUUCUCAUAAUCUGAAAGAAGCUUUUACCAGCAAGCAGAUCACAGAUAGAGCACAAACAGGAGGUUUAGUAGCAGAUAUCUCAAGUGAAACUUUAUCUGGUGAAAAUUGCGAGACUAAUCCUGGUGGGCUUUCAAUUAACUCAGAACAUAAGUCCCAGGCUGGUAGCGUAUUGCAUUCAAGUGGUCAGUCCCUUAGUAAACAUGUUUGCAUAGAUCAAAACCAAGAUGGACAGAUUGAUGAAACUGGUUUAUCCGCUCUUCCAUAUCGAUCAGAUGAAAGUGGUUUUGAUAGGUUUGAUGUAACAAGUGCACAGACAGUGGUUGGAGAAGAUCCUGCGGAUAUCAUGUGUUCUAGCCCUGUCAAAAUUACUCUUCCAGGAAAUUGCAAUCAUUCAACAGAUAAAGAAUUCAAUCAUGAUAAGAUUCUUGCAAAUUCAACUACCUGUCGGGAAUUUGGUUCAUCGUCUAGUAGAACAAGAGAUAAAAUGGUAUCAGAUGUACCUGGUUCGAUUGGCGAAUGUAGGAAACCAAUUAUAGAGUCUGUAUUGGAAGUGGUGAAUGAAACUGAAAUACACAAUUCAUUGAACUGUCACAAUGAGGGCAAUUUAACUUCCUCUAUGGAAUUUGGUUCAUCUUCUGGGGGAACACAAAAUGUAAUUGGAUCUGGUAUACUUGGUCCAGUGGGUGAAGGUAACCAAUUGAUCAACAGUGUGCUCCUCUCCAAAGGAAUGGAUGAAUUUGAAAUUCAAGAUUCAUCAAACAAGCCUAAUGAUGGUAAUCAGACCAUCACAUUGAAGCUUGGUAUGCUGUCUCCGGAAAGCUUGAAAGUUGAAGAGUCACACAUGUGCAGCCAUGCAGACUUCAUCCCUUCCAGUCCAACAGAACUGGGGUGUCAUACAGUUGUAUUAGAGAGUCUUCAUACUCCUCCAAAACUCAGAGAUGCAAGACAAGCAAAUGAAGUUGGAAAGACAACAAAUGCCCUCACAAAUAUUAUACAGAUAGAAGAUGCACACGUGGAGACAUAUAACAAUGAUGCUCAGUUGUUGCCUAAAAAAGCCCCUAUCACUGUGGUGGAAGAAUGUGAAAGCAGCAAUUCCUUUGAGAAUUUUCGAGAAGCUUUUCCAUCACGAAAAAGUGUUGAUGCAGGUGGAUUAGAAACCCCAAGUUUUCUGAACCAGGAGUCACCUCUGAUUCAUGGGAGUGAUAAUGAUGCUGAUGAUCUGGAUGCUAUCCACUGUGUUGCGGGUAGACUAUCAUAUCCGGCGGCAAUUGAAUCUUUAUCUUUGGAAUCUGAUUUAUCUGAGGGGACAAGUAAAAACCAUACAGCAAGUGUGCCAACUGAUUGCAUAGAACUUGUUGCAGGGGAUCAGACCUCAUCAAGAAUCAGAAUGAAGGUAGAUGAAAUGUUGAAUGAAGAUAUUCUGGUGAAGGAAUCUGAAACUGGUAAACUUAGUGGAAGUGAGAGUUCUCAAAAUGAAAUUUGCCACGGGCUGGAAGAUACCGAGCAAUGCACAAAUGACGACACCAUUUUUCCAGUGUAAGUAUUGCAUAAACUUUUCUCAUUCCAAAGAACUCCUUCAUUUUUUGUGGACAUAGCCUUUCACAAAUUUCAAUUCUUUUGUAGAAUUGCUAAAAUGCCUUUUGUUGAUGGCAGCAAAAAUGCUGAGAGCUGUCUGAAGAAAGGCAAUCUUUUGAUAUUACCACCACGGGAUGCAGUUCCUUUUUCUGAUGAAUGGUUGGCAGCAAUGGAAGCUGCAGGGGAGGUAAUUUUAUUUUUUUGGAAAAUGAGCUGUAUUCUGUGAUUUAUUGAAGCCAAACAUAAUUAACUUUGAAGCAUAUUUUAUUAAUUCCACUCAUCUUCAGUUUCCUCAAGAGCAGUUUGCUUCCACACCUUUAUCCAAAUCCUUCACUUAUAGCAGGUGGUAUUAAAGGAAAAACUGAUGAGACAUUAGCUGUUCAUCAUAUUUCCUUUAGUAAAAUGAUAGAAGCUAUCAUCCAGUUAUAGGUCCAGAACAAUCGGCAAGCUUGACAUCCUUAAAUGUUGUGUUCUGAACCUUAGGUUAGGCAGUGACACAAAUUUGGAUUGAGUGUUAAGCUCGACUGCUCUAAAUCUGUUGUUGGAGCAUGAUUUAGCAGAAAAGUAACCGAGUAACUGACUCUUGUGUUCUGAUUCUACAGGAAAUAUUAACGAUGAAAGGUGGUGCUGUACAAAACUCACCCCAAGAGAAAUCCUUGCCUGAGCCAAGCCCAUGGUCUCCGGUAUGUCACUAUCUAUACAUGCUUCUUUUCUUGUUUGAGGUAGCCUAUGCAGUAUCUAAAUGUAUGUCACAAGCUAGAAUGAGAGUGCAUUCAACUUUAUUCUUACUUAUAGUUAAACAGGUUCUAUGGCAUAUGCUACCAAUUAAGUGAGAAUUGAUUCACUUUUGGUUAUACGACUUACAAGAUAUUCUAUGUUCCGAGAACCUCACGCUUAACUGGAGCUUAGUGUACCAUUUUGUUCCACAUAGAUACAUUUUGGUACUUGCUUAGAGGGGAUUUUACCUCACUUGUCUCUUUAGCUAGAAAUCUUGAUAAAAAAGUGAUGAAUAAUGAAGUGGAAAAUAGCGUGCUGUUGCAUAUAUUUAUAUUGACUGGUUCUGCCGAUUUCAUAUUAGUUUUAUUAAACUGUUAUUUUUCUUUGACUUACAGGUGAAGAAGAAAAACAAUCAACUUGGACCUUAUGACUGUACAAAGUUCCACCACAAUGGGCCUCGCGAGUCCUGAUUCGUAUUGACUAAACUUGGUCUCUUUCAAAUUCUUUUAUUCACCACCUAACAUGUUCCUGGUGUAGACUAGAUUGACACUGCUUUGCUAGAAAAGCUGCUAACUGAUACAUUUCUCCAUAGACACACGAUUUAUCCUUUUUAUAUGUAAUUCUUUUACAUCCACUUUAAAGGAUUCCUUUUUGUUUCUUUCAUGUAAAGAGCAGUAUCUCAUUCAUGGAAACUUGUAUCUUUAUUCCAAACAGUAAGCAAAGCCUGGAAAUCUCUUGCGGAACUUAUGGUAUCCAUGCUUCUUGAAUUGUACUAGUAAGUAGAAUUUGCCAUUCACUGGGUGCAUCGGUUGAUUUUCAUCUAUAUUCUUAUACUUGUGGAAGGAGGUAAACGCAAGGUAACACAUGAAUUUUGCUGAUCCCAAGAAACAACAGAGCCAGAAGACGGUAUCCAUUCCUUCCAUCAUUGAUAUUGUCUGGCAACCAAGUUGUCGUUCUCUGAACUAGAUCACAGUAAAAAUCAAAUCUAUACAUACAUAAUUAUCAAUUUAUCAAUUUAUCAUACAUAUCUGUAAAAAUCUAACUUCACCACAUACUGGAAGAGUACACUAGUCAUUUCACAUUUUUAUAGAAAAACAAACCAAACUUCACUAGCAUUUACUGUCAAGCAACUUUAGCUUAGAGAAAAUAUAUGAGACUGUAUAGCAUUUGCAGUUAAGGAAAUACAUCUCUGACAGUUGACGUGCUUCCAGAAAUUAAAAGAAAAACAAAGCAGCAUAUAGAGCUCAAACAUGUAAAAAGUUCAGUGUCAAUUGCUUUGUUCCAACCUGAAAUAAUAAUAUGUACUGUAAUUCCAAAAUCAGAAAGGGAAAAAAGAAUAUCACACAAAUAUGAAUUAGCAUUUUGUAAAGUACAAUGUGUAUCUUUCUGCAUUUUGAUCAGCAUGAGUAGGCUAUCAAUGUCAGCAUUUCUGUCAGCCUGUUGAUCUACAUCUUCAUUUGUUUCAUUGGCCGCGAUCCAUCUUGAUCAUUAUUCAUUAGGACCUUGUUCAUUAGCGGUUUCAUCUUGAUCAUGAUUCUCUUCUUUGCAUCUCUAUCUUGAUCAGCAUUAGCACCUGCAUCUUGAUCAGCAUUAGCGCCUACAUCUUGAACAUGAUCCUGUCGAUUUGCACCUCCAAAGAGAGAAUCAUGCAACGUUACACGACUCUUGUACAUGAGCAUGUCCCUGCCACACUUGAAUUAACACCUUCCACAAAAUAUAUAUACAGACAAUCUCAAUUUGCAAAUUCAUAAUUAGAAACUUACAAUCUCAUAAAGAAUCUUCCUCUUAUGAAAUACUUGGACGGUAGGGUGGCUUCCCUCUGAAAUAAAAUCAUGAACUCUGUAUUUAAGAGAGAUAACAAAAGAGCAAUGUUAUCAUGAAAACGAAAUGAUCUUUAAUAUUAGUAUCUUACAAGUCUCCACCCGAGCAGCAUAUUACAUUGGGUACAGUAAAUAUUGAGUGAGGUUAGGGUAUUUCCAUCUUCUUGUUGAUGAAAUUUCGGUUGGUCUAGUAUAACAACAUUAAACCUGAAUAUAAUACACACAACUCAGACAAAAGCUUAAUCAAAUCACAAUAUUUCCGAAUUAUCGAAAUCAUGAGACUUACACUCUCUUAAAGUAGCCUCUAUAAUCUAAGUCCUGCACCUGGACAAGAAAAUGAACAUAAUAAGUUGUUCUGUUCAUAAGUCAAGAAAAGGCAACAGUACAAAAUGAUGCAGAGAGAAUCUUUACAUUAGGAAUGUAAUACUGGACACGUGCAAUUCGAGCUUCACAAUUACUGCAAUAGAUGUAAUCACGAUGACCGAAAACUAGUGGAUCAUAUACAGAAUCUUCUUGCAUUGUAUCAAAUUUGUGAAUCAACCUGUUUCUUCAACUAAGAACAAAGUGGAAGAGGAAUUAUCAAUGGAAAAAAGACUUAACUGAUUGGGAAUGUAACAAGAACAGAGCUAAUGGAAAAUGAGAAUUCAACAAAGUAAGAUAAAAAUUGAAAUUAAUGGGAUUGAGAAGAGAGUGUUAGUAUAGAAAAGUGAGUUCUUGAUUCUUGAAUCCAAAUUGACCAAGAGCUUUGUGUUGACAGUUAAUUCAAAAAAGGAGGGAAAUUCAACUCUUCUUUUUCUUGACAGGAUUUUACAAUUUACCCCUAAAAACUUGUCAAAUUGACAUUCAUAUGCACCGGCUUAAAAAUGUGUCAAGAAUAAAAUACCUUAUGUUUUAUUUUCUUUUGCUAAUGAGAAAUACAGUUAUGUUUCAAUAAUUCUACCGUGGGAUGAUUUUGAUCUCAAAAAUCAGAAACAGAUUGGGAGACGGGAGUUGUAUAUUAUUGUAUUUAUGUAUGAACCCAUUACGAAUUUAGUUGAAUUUAAUAAUUUUAAUUCACAUUUGAUAUUUGUCUUGAGAAAUUCAUUGAAUAUGUACAAAUUAUUAAAUUAGAACACAAUAAUGUAUUAAGGACAAAUAUUCUGAAUACAUAAGCUUUAAAUUCAGACUCAAUCCCUAAUCAUAAGUUCAUCGAAAAAAGGUAAAAAAUUAGACUAAUGUGUCGAAAUUGGUAAAAUUUCCCUCAUCCACCUAUUGAUCCGCAAUUGCCCUUAAUAUCAAUUUUUGAGUUAAAAAUGUCUCUCCUUCCAUUUAUUAAAACACGAUUUCUCUUUACGGUUUAAAAUAUCCUUUCUAACAAAAUAAUAAAGUGUGGUUUCAAUUAACUAUGUAUAUCCCUACUUAUUGUUUUUGCCUGUCUACUUGCCAAUUUGCUAUCUCUACUCGUAGCUUUGCACAAAAAACAAACAGACAGUGGGAUGUGAUAAUAUAAACAGUUAAUCUCCAAAAACGUUUGCUCAAAAAUUCACCUCCCAAAUAUACCGGGGAACAAAAAGGAUGAUUUGUCUCUUUUUGGGGGGAACAGAAUGGACUGUUACCCUAAAUGCAUUGGCCUGUACAUUAACUAAUGGGAAAAUAAACAUGUUUGUCUCUUGCUAAAAGUCAACAAAUAAAAAGCCAAAAAAACCAAUGUCAGCAAUUUUAUCUUUUCAUGAAUUGAGAUUCAUUGCUUGUUCAAUGUUUACAUAAUGAAUCCAGGACUAUUUCAUUUGGACUAUUUGUCGAUAGAAUCAUUCACUUCCUUGUCAACAUUUUUAUACUCGUACAAUGAAGCACAUACAACAUAAUACACAAAGUUUAAAGCUCCUAAAACACUAAUCACCCAGAAAACAUUAUCCAACCUACCAUUAUUUAUAUUCUCAGGCAACCAUCCUGUCACUUUUUGAACCAAAUCCAUCACCCCAUUCCCUAGAUAAAAUGCCACUCCCAUAAAAACCGCCACAACCGCGGUAGACGUGCUUUUCAACGACCCUGGAAAUUCUUGGUAAUAAAAUCCGACGUAUCCUGGAGAAUGAAAAGCUAGCCCGAUACCUGAAAUAGCUAGUUGUGGUGCCAGCCAGAAGACUGACAUUGGCACCACAACACUAUUUUGGUGGUGGGAUUUGUCCAAUUUUAUCCUCUUUGACUCUACCAGGGCGGAUAGGACCAUGCUGACGACCGUCAACACGUGUCCUAUCCCAACCCGUUGGAGCGGUGUCAGAGAAGUACGGAUGCGUUUAGUCAACAAGGGGGAUAGGACUCGGUCCAUGAAUGUUAUUGUUAUGCACGUGGAGAUCAUCGUGAAGACUAUAACAGAACCAGCUGGGAUUUUGAAAUUCGAUCCUAAAUGCCGGUCCAUUUUCAGGGCCUGGAGGAUUGCUAAACUGGUUUGUAUGACUAGUGGGGUGCAUAGAAGCAAACCAGUAGUCCAUAUUGGAAAAAGCUUUAUCAGGAUUUUGAGAUCUUCUACUUGUUGCACUGUACAUAGUCUCCAUGGCUCAGCAGCAACUCUCUCCGGUUUCUUAUCUCCUUCUGUGAUCAAAGCUGCUCUGUUCAGGAACCUAUUAAAACACACAACACAUUCAUUUUUCGACGUUUGGACUAUAAAUCACCUAAAACAACAGGAAUUAGGUGUAUCGACGGUCUCUAAUCCUAUUUAAUGAGGUAUUAACAAAAAAAAUCUUAGCUACAGACCAUUUAGCGAUGGGCAUUUAAAAAUUUUGAUAAAGGAAUUCAAGAAAAUGCAAAGAGGGAAUCCUAGUAAUUCAGUUGGUUGGCUAUCUGAACUUUCACCUAGUUCGAUUCCCCGCCUUGUAAUGCCUUCCCCCAUUUCCCCUGCUACUAAAAACUAUAUAUACUUUGAACCAUUAUUUAGUGUAGGGAGAGUGUUGUUAUACCUGAAGAAUUUGCUAGGAUUUGUGAGGUCAUGAGCACUUGUUGCACUGUCCUGUUUUGUCAUGCCAUGAUAAUAAUCUUCACCUCCUAAUGACAACGGUUCUCUAUGCUUCCUGAUAGCAGCAACGGCAACUCGAGCCAAACUCAUGAAAGGGCUUUCUUGUUGUGCCUCAAUAUGGCGAUAGAAACAGCGUCCAGACAAGAAAAUAGCCAAGCCAAGUAUGUUGAAGGCGACACAGAUGGCGAACCCAAGUACCCAACUAACGUUGUCCUCAAUAUACAAAAGGACUGUGCUACCAAUGACAUUAGAUGUGUAGAGCGCAAAAGUAUACCAAUUGAAGAAAAUCGCUUGAUGAUUUGGCUUAUGAAAUUGAUUCGCUCCCAUUGAUCCAAUGGUGAAACGUGUUCCUCCGUUUCCCAAAUAUGCUAGAGCUAAAGCUGCAUAUAAGAUUGUAAGAUGGAAUGUUGAUGCAUUUCUGCACUCAUUUGAACCAUCAAAGCAUUUUGGAGGUCUCAAUGUGUCAAUGACUGCUGUGAAGGUGAGAAGCAACACUCCCUACAAGCCAAUUUGAGAAAACAAAACAGUAUAUUGUACAUUAGAUUAGUUUAAUUUCUAUGCAUGAUCAGACUGUCUAAAGAUAACUACAAGUAACGGGCGUAUAAUAUAUAAGUAGAAAAAUAAAGCAAACAAGUUCUGACAAGCUAUAUUUUGUAUAACGACUACGAUACAACAAAUUUCCUCAGUAAUAAAGCAAGCAACCUGCUACAACCCGCUAAAUUCUACUCAUUAAAAGAUGUUGAGCUGAGCCUGUUAUACAAAGUUCUAUGAAAUUAAUGCAGAACAAGAUAUUUUGCAGAAAUUAAAAUAUCCAUGACUGAAAAAGGGCAGUUCAGUGCAUUAUACUUUUGCUAUGUCCAUUCUUUCAGUAUAGUAACUAGUAAGCCAUAUCUCUAUGUAGUCCGGGGCGGAGCCAGAUUGGGCGCAGGGGUUCAUCCAAAUCUCUGAGGCGGAAAUUGUACUAUUAUAUGAUUAACAUUGUUUUUAUGUAUAUCUAAGAGAUGUUGUACGUUUAUUUUUUAGUAUUUUGAACCGUCUUAACUAGAAAUUCUGCUACGUCACUGCAUGUAGUAACAUGACUUAGCCGAAACUAAUGUUUCUUUGCACCUAUAGAAGAACUACUGUUCACAAAAUUUGACGGGUAUAAAAGUUAAAACUAUGAGAAUAUUUGGUUCAAUUUGUUCCAACUCAACUCACCACAGGUAAAAUUCCAACUAUCAAAUUAAUGAUUCGUUAAUUUAUUAACUCAACUUAUUUUAAUUCGGUUCGAUAUGCUUAUUGAACUCUCAUUUUGAGACCGACUAAAAGUUCCAACUCCAAUCUAGUGCAUAUUCUAUAAAGUAUGUCCUACAGGAGAAAUAUUAUUAUUGUGGUAGUACUAAUUUGUCAUAUAUUUAUUAUUAAAGAUAGGUAUAAGUGCUUGAAUAAUAUUGGUCGUGAAAUCAUUUUUCUGUUGAAUUUUGUGUCAGUUUUUGUUGUAACAAAUUGCUCUACUCCAUAUAUAUACACAUCAACAUGGAUAUUGUGCUACUCAUGUAGGGCCAGCCCUCAUCUAAGCAAAAAAAAAAGAUGGAUAACUCUGUUGGAAAGCAUUAUUAUUAUUAUUAUUAUUAUUAUUAUUAAUUAAUAAUAAGUGAGAAAUACUCUAACUUACAUAGCAAUGGCCUAAAAAGCCGCAAACAAAGGAAGUAUGAGUCAGAGAAAAAUAAAUGAUGACGUGGCGCAUGUUGAGUGAAAAGAGGCUACUCCAGACAGUCUCUUUCUUAUGAAUAUGUGGUGCAAAAGUAAUUUAAAAUUCCACCAGGAACUUAAGUUUAUCUACAAUGUUACUAAUAUUUAAAAUUUUAAAUAGAAUAUUACAUCUCUAUGAGCUUUUUUUCCUGAAUAAAUGUGAAUCAAUAUGAGUAAAUGUUAUUAAAUAUAUGUCAAAUAAAAAAUAUGUCAAUUUUUUUAGAUUUACUAGAAAAAAAUGUAUAUAGAAAAUUCAAAUUAUAUGUAAUGUAUUUCGAUUAACUGUCUGAAUACAUGUUAAAUUGCUUCUAUCAAAAAGUUUUGACUCUUAUUUUGAACGAAAAAAAAUGUGAAUCUUCACAAACAACCAUUACGAAAAUGAGUUAAUAGCCUAAAAUAUAUCUCCUUUUAAUUAUAUAUCAAUAUUAAUUGAAAUAUAUAUGAAGUUUUACGAGUUAUUAAUUUAAUUUAAAAUAUAACAAAUGAUAAACUUGUCUAUGCUAUGGUGUUACAUUUGAGAACAUGGAAGAUUUCUUUUUAAUAACUUGAUAAAAAUACAUUACAUAUAUUCAAAUGUUCAAUCAAAACAAAUUAUAAUUCAAAUAUUUUUAACAAAUUUUACUCACAAAUUUAAAGAAUUGUCCACAUUUGCGGCUUAUAAGUAAACAACAACUAUCUUAGCAAUAUAAUGAUGAGAUAAUAGUGGCUUUCUGUUACUCAUGAACUGACGUCUUUUGGCAUCAAAGCUACCACACGAUUUUAUUUUUAAAAAAAAAUAGAAUUUGAUUUUAAUUUGCAAUAAUAGAUUAGUUUUUUCCUUCGUUUUUAUUUUUAACUAUUUUCUUUUAAAAUCACAAAUUUUAACUAAUUUGUAUCUCUUAAAUUCUGUGUCCAAGACUCUAAUCAAAUCCUACUACCUAAAUUAAGACGGAAUGUGUCAGUCACCAUUACGAAUUAAUUUACUUAUAAUCACCUUAAUAAAUAUACCUAAUCGUAUAACAAAUAUUUACACAGCCGAUGCAUAUAUAACUAAAUAAAAUCCCCAAAACUAAGUAUUCCCUCUGUCCCACCGCUGUCCCAAUAUACGUAACAUUCCUUUUUUAAUAUGUUCAAAUUUUCUUUAAAAAUUAUGUUUUUAUUAUAAAUAAAUAAUUUAUAAUUAUGUACAAAAUGAAAAAAAAUUAAACCACAAAUUUAAAAAAUAUUCCUUUUCUUCUUAAAUCUAAUAUCACGUCACUGUCAACUAAAUUAAAACGGUGAAAAUAGUAAAAUUCAAAAUCAAUAAGCCGACUUCCCACAAAAACGAUCAUAACAUAAGAUAGAAGCUACCUAUUUCUUGGGAAAGGAAAUGACAAAGACUUCAUCGUUUCAACUUCCGUUUUACAAAAAUAUACUUUUUCACAUAUUAGUAAUUUUUUAAUUUAGUAGAUAUUUUGAUACAUUUGAUAUAUUGUUAAUUUAAUAUCAUAAAAUUAAAAUUUUAUAUCAAAUUAAAAUAAGUCAAGCAAAUUGAAACAAACGCACGAAGUAUCUUUGAAUGAAUUUCACAAACAAAAAAAAAGAAGAGGAGAAAGUCGUUACCAGCAAAGAGAUGAAAGAAGAAAUCCAUAUGACGGAGAAACAGCCCAGAAAAGAAUCAGCGACCACAGCCCCCAAAAUAGGAAAAAUAGUGCUGCACCCAUUAGCCAUGUUGUACACUUUAGCAGCACUCACACUAUUCAUGUUGAAUUCUUCUAUCAAAUACACUAUUAAGUUGUUAUUCCAUCCUGCUGCUGCCAAUGAUAAUCCUGCCAUACUCCCUAAUCAAAUUUCAACACCACCGUUAGCGCGCAGAAUCAGAAUUUUCACUAUACAUAUAAUAAUAAUGAUUUAAAUAUAUAAAAAAAUAAACACAAAAAAAGUUAAUCUUAUAUAUACAGUAUAAUUUUCAUUCAGAUAGAUGAGGGAAGAAAGAAGACCUAUGAUGAAGGGAAAUGAAAUCCAACCGCCAUUGUUGUUGGUGUUGGUAGAAGAGUGGAGAUGAUUUGGUGGUGCUUCAUUUACAAACGUCUGGACUGAUUUUUCCAUUGCUGCAUUAAUUAUUAACUCAGCUACCUCUUUAUAUAUCCUCUCUUUUUAGUUUCUCUAGGACAACUUGGAUAUAUACUAGUAGUACUAAUUAUAUAUAUACUUUUUUUUUAUUUGUGUUGUGCUUGUUGCCUUGGGAUAUAUAGUAGCAAAAUUAAUACUUAGUAGUGUAUUCUGUUUCCAAAGUUUGGGGUAAAUUAAAUUUUAUAAGUUGAAGACACUAUCUUAUCACUAUGUCUUUUGGAUGCAUACGACAAAAGAUGCCACUAUGUUUAAUUUCCUCCUCCCUGUCAAAUCAAGUAGUAUUUGUAUUUCAACUGUUAAAUAAAAAGAGGAAAGCGUAUCUUUUAUAUUUGGUAAGUUUUAAAAUUUUAAUAUUUAGUCAAAAAGUUUAAGAUUACAAACAUAAAAAUUAUUUAUUUUUUAAAUUUAAUUUUUUUUGAGAUUCAAAAAAUCUCUCUUUUUAUUUUAAACUUAAUAUCUAAUUAAUUAAAGUAAGAUAUUUAAAUGGUGACAAAAAAUAUUUUUAAAAGUUGAAUAAAAAAAAUACUUUUAUAAAGAUUUUUAUUUAUAAUUUCUUAUGUAAGUUUUACCAACUUUAUAUAAAAAGAAUUGAACUUAUAGAUAAAGUCACACAAUUAUUCAGUACUUCAUUAUAUUAAAGUCAUUAAAUAAUAUAUUGUAAGAAAAAACUAUUCAACUAAAAUCUAGAUGAAAAUUUAUCUUUAAAUAACUACUAUUUAAUUAUUAAUGGUAGAGCAAAUUAAGGGCCAAAAUUAUAGGGAUAAAGACCUACUGGCUAUUAAGGUCUAAGAGUCGAUUUGAAUUGACUUAAAAGUUGAUCAAACAUACUUUCAAGUUAUUUUUAGCUUUUGAGAGAGCUGACAAAGUUUAAAAUAACUUAAAAUAAAUUUUAAAUGACUUAAACAAAUAUUAAAAAGUCAAAAACUACUUUUUAACUUAAAAGUUACUAAAGUUUGACUUUUUAAAAAUUGUUUUUAAAAAUAAAAUAAAAAAACCAAACGCGUUCUAGCAUGAUUUCAAAUAAUUGGAUUGAAUGAAGUUGAAUUUUAUUUGGACAUAAUUUGUUUUUUUCAUGUAGUAUUUCACUAAAAGCCUCAUAAAUUUGAGAAAACUAUAAAAACUUUUCCAACUCUUAUAUAAUUUUAUUGAAUGAGCAAAUUAUAGUUCAUAAAUAAUGUAAUUAGCUCUUGACACUAUAUGAUUUAUGUAAAUUAUACAUCAAAAUAUCAUAAGAUGUGCCGAAUUAAUAAAUCGUAUGUCUUUAUGUUCAUUUAAUAAAUAAAUAUUUGUGAUUACAUUUUAUUGCAAACUUUUAAUUACACAUAAUUUUACAAAAAAAAAUGAAUUUAAUAAAUCAAUAAUAGUAGUAUCUAGCUAUUCCUUAACAAAUUCAUCCACGUGAGUCAUGAGUCUCAUUCAAAAAUAUAAAUUUAUGAGUUAAGUUUUAGAAUUUAAAAAAUUAAAAUGACAAUUUGAAAUUCCAAUUUUUAAAAAGAAUUUGAGAUUAAAGUUGAGGUUGAAUUUUUUAAAUAACUUUUAUAAAUAAAUGCAAAUUUAAAAUCAUAAUUUAAAAUCGCACGAACAGUUAAGAAGAGGAAUUGCAAGAGACAUGUUAUAUGGUAUUUAAAUAAAUUAAAGCUAAAUGACUUUGAUUAGGAAAAAAAUGUUCAGCCACGCUGUGAACAGUAGUGUUGUUGCAAAAAAUACUUUUAUGAUUUUUUUGUGAGAUGUGAGUAAGGUGAGUGAUUUUAUAUUGCAAAUAGUGAUUUAGUAAUUUUGGUACAGUAAAAUAAAAAUUAAAUUACUAACUAUAAAAUGAACUUCUUGUAACAAAUAACAUUGGUAAUGGAAUAACAGCCCUACCUUAUGAUUUUCUAAUUUAAUUUUAUUUUAUCUCGAUCGUUUAUAAUUAUGAGGAACGCUUCCCGAGGCAAAAAUUCGUUGCUCGGCCUUCCCUGAUAAAGAUGUUAAUUUUUAAUUUGUUUUAACAAAAAAGUUGUAUAUGUGCCUUUUUCAAUCAGCUGCUUAUUGUUAAUUAAGUUUACCACUCAAAAAACUUUUCAAUAUUAACAUCUGAGUAGCAAUAAAAUUGAAAGGGUACCUUCUUUACUCCAUAAAUUCAACUAUAUAUAUAUAUAUCCUCUUGUAAAAACAUUUUGUCGAUAUCUUUGAAUGGAGUUAAUAUCUCAAAAGGUCACUCAACUUUCAGAAUUUAUCUAUUAAAGUCAUUGAACUUUCUUCUGUAUCAUUAAAAUCACUAAACUUAGACAUUUGUAUCAUUAAAAUCACUAAACUUAGACAUUUCUAUCAAUAAAAUCACUCAAUCAAAUUUAUCACUAAAAAAAGUAUUGGCAUAGCAAAAUAAAUUAUUAUUUUUAUAUCAUGUAAAUAUGAAUCCCACAAAUAAAUAAAAUUAAAGAAAUCUCAUUAAGAACUUUUCACUUCCUCUCACAAUUUUUUUUAAAAAGAAAAACAACUAAAAUGUAUGUCCGAAAAUGAUUUCAAAACUUAUUUAUCAACAAUUUUGAAAAUUAAUUUAUUCAAGCUCAAACGAAUCUAACGUUAGCAAACAGUGGAAUUACGAAGGAAAAAUAGAUCUUUACCUAUUAUAUAUAGCAAGAAACAUUAAUAAAUUACACGUCGAAGAACUUAAUUAAUAAUAAUACUUACCUGUUCUAUUUUGACAUUUGUUUAUUGUUUUUCUUCCUGUUUUGGAUUUAAUUUGUUGUUUUGCUGAAGUACUUGUACUCAUUUUUUUUUAUUAAGGAGGCAAACUAAAUAUUAUGGUAUUACAGUAAUAUCAAAAUAUGUUUCACUUAAGAAUUUCUUUUCAUUUAUUUAUUAAAUCAAGACAUAAACUAUACAACAAUAUCAUAAAAAAAAAAUUUGUUUCCGUGAUUAAGUUUGUCCGAAUUUUUUUAAUAAGUUUUCUUUAAUUUUAUCUAUUUGUGGGUUCGUGUUUACCUGAUAUAAAAAUAUACAAGUAAUUUAUUUUGCUAUAUCAAUAUUUUAUUUAAUAAUAAAUUUGAUUGAGUGAUUUAUUGAUAGAAAUGUCUAAGUGUAGUGAUUUUAUUGAUACAAAACAAAGUUAAACGACUUUACUAGAUAAAUUCUCAAAGUUGAAUGAUCUUUUGAGAUAUUAACUCCUAAGGCAUAAAAUCAGUAGUAGCACAUUCUUUUUUCCUUCCACCAGUCGCAAAUUAAUUAAAAUUAUAAUGGGACAUGCUAUCCGAUGGAUAUCGCUUGAUAUGACAUUUUGCAUGCUAUCGAUGACAAGAUGCUCCACAAUCAACCAAUCGAUUAGUGACAGAGUUCAAUUUUUUAUAAGAUUUUAAAAUAUAUAUAUAUAAAAGAAGUCAGAGGAGUUUAUAUUAAUUUUAAUAUUAUACAUAUAAUAUAAUUAUUCGUUUGAAAUAGAUUCAAAUGAAACUCCUUAACCUUAUUUGCUCCACCUUUGCAAUCAACAAACUAAGUUUAGAGUCUGAGCCUAUGUAAUAAUAUAAAAUUUACAUAAAAAUUAUUGAAAUAACGUAAAUUCACGAAUCUAAGCGCUCUAGAUCUGCCCCGAAAAGGUUUUGUCGUUCUCAUAAAUGGGAUAAACUCACCACUCACUAAUUUCCUAUAUAUUGCGGUGUGUGUGUGUAAUCCGACAUGUUAUCUGAUCUGACACUUGCACUCUUCUUUUCGGCACAAAGCAAUAAUCCAUGUAUUUAUUUUGUUUUCUUAAUUAUUUAUAUAAAAAAAAUAUAAUCUUGCCGUGAGAUAUUCCAAAAAUAAAUACAUUUAAGCAUUUAACUAAAAGAAUUAUGUCAUUUAUUAAUAUAUUUUUAUAUAAUGAACGUAGCUUUUAUUUGUUAAUCAAUGCGAUUAUUCAUCUUUAUUGCAAAAAAAAAAAAAAAACUACUAUCUUGUUGUUGCUUGUUUGUCAACAACAUAUUCAACGUAAUCUGAAGAUGAUAUAUAGUAUGUAUGCAGAUCUAAUUUCUAUCUUUGUCGAGAUAGAGAGGUUAUGACAUGGGCUAAAUGAGUGAUUCAUGAGAGUGGCGUGGUUGUUUAAGGAGAUGGGGAAUUAUUAGAGGAGCUAAAUGAGCAUUAGCUAGUUUGGUUGUUGUGGACUUAUCAGGAAAAUGACAAAACGAACAAUGUUUGUUGCUACAGUACAUAAUGAGGCACAACAUACACUGACAAUUGACAUUAUCUAUCUUCUAUAUAUAGGAAAAUACAGCUCUAUGGGCUUACACACCACUACUGUAUGCUUUGCUCGCACGUCUCCAUAAAUCAUGUUUUGUAUCUGAAAUCAUUCAAAGGGCCCUAGCUUUCAUAACUUAUGGAUUCAUAAAGUAUUUUGAACAAAUUUCACAUGGCUAUUUUUUUAAAGAUACAAGGGCAAAUGUCUUUUAACUUAUUUGAAGAAUUAUUUUCUCUAAAAUAUCAAAUUUUGGAGCCUCUUAGACCUUAGUUUGUGGUUUAAAAUAUUAAAUUUACGAGUAAGCAUUUUGGAACUUCCUUAAAUUCCGCUUCAACCGAGCAUAUAUGUUGAAAGGAUAUUAUAAAAAUUAGUAACUUCUAUGUUGAAGUCUUCCCUUUAGAAAGCUGGGCGCCUUGAAUUUGGGAGUUUUAGAACGUCCAAAAAGGUUUAUAUUUUGUAUCAUCGCCUUAAUUAAGGUGCACGACUCAUAUAUAGUUCUGGUAUUUGGGCCCAAUUUAGGUCAAGAUUCAUGAGACAGAAAAAGAAAAAGUACGUAAUUAGACAUAUUUCACUAUCAUAUAUACUAUUAUUACCUAUACUUUUAAAAUAUUACGUAUCUUACCAUUAAUUUAGAGUUCCCUACGUAUCUUACACUUAGAUACAUGUAAUUUUGCUACCAGAUACACAAAAUAGGUAGAGAGGCGAGCGAGAUUGGGGAAGGAGGCGAGCGAGAUUCGUAAGUAUCCCAAAUACAUGUGAAUCACACUAGAUAUAUGUAUUUGUAUAUAGCUGGAGAGAUUCACAUGUACCCAGGAUACCAGAUACAUAGGAGAGCGACGAGCGAGAUUUGCUAUGUAUCCCAGAUACCUUCGAAUCCACUUGAAUACAAUGUAUCUAGAACAAAAUACACCUAAACUUGACCUCAUGUAACCGAUAUACAUGUAUCUGGAUGUAUAUGGAGGCACCAAAAUUUGGUAAGAUACGUAAUAUUGCAAACAAGAGUGUAUCUAAGUAAUUAAUUCAUUAACUAGUGCAAUUUAAUUUAUGUAAGUCCUAGAAAAUUCACAAUAACAUGGUUCUGGUCAAAUUAUUACGGAUUCACACCCAAACUUAUAUUGCUCCUCUCAUUUAUUACAAAAAAAAAACAAAAACACAUAGGUUUAUGGUAAUGUUUUAAAUUCUUAGAUCCUAAAUUAUUACGGUAUAGACUUCUUUUCAAUUGAUUCCAUUUAUUUGACAAGUGUUUGAUAUGUUGGACUAUAACGCAUUGUUUAGACUACUAUUAGCCAACAAUCCAUUUAAGCGCAAGUAACUCUACUUGAACAGAGUUAAGCAAUGACUCAUUGUUAAUUGAAUGAUUUUUGCUAAGCUCCAACUCAACUCGACUUAUCCCUCCCUAUAAACCAACGUAAUCAAGCAUACUGAAGUAAUUAAGCAUAAAAUAACUGAGAAAAUUAUCAAAAUGGUCCUUGAUGUAUUGGGGUUGCUUUAUAUUAAUCCUUAAUAUACUUUAGGUGAUUGAAAUAGCUUUUCAUGUAUGACAAAAUGUGUUCAAUUUAGUCUUUUACCCUAAACUUAACAAUUUACCCCCAAAAACUAUUAAAUAUAACGGUGGGGUCCACAUAACUUGCAAAAUCCACCAUUUUUAUCUUCUUUAUUAGCUCAAAGAAAGAGUUUCAUGAAUUCUAAAACACAAUUUUCUCUAACAUCUAACCACACAAUUACAAAAUAAUUAUGUAAAAAGAUUGAAUGAAAUGGAUCGUCAAGAAUUUGAUGGUCAAUAAGAGUGGAGAUGGAUCUAAAGACAACAACACUAAACCGACCCAAGUAAGAAUCAACAACAAUUGCCCCAACAAUGGCCAAUCCAUUUGAAAGUGCAGCGCAUAAUCCAAGAAUACUCUUACCAGUAGCAGCACUCAAGUUAUAAUAUGAGUGGUUAGAUAAUUAUUCUUGAGAAGCACUAGUAAUAUCCAAGAAUACUAGUACCAGUAGCAGCACUCAUGUUAUCAAUAGCAGCAUACGUUCUACCGACAAAUUAAAUUCUUGAUGAUCCAUUUCAUUCAACCUUUUUACAAUAAUUAUUUUAUAAUUGUGUAGUUAGAUGUUAGAGAAAUGGUGUUUUAGAAUUCAUGAAACUCUUUCUUUGAGCUAAUAAAGAUGGUAAAAAUGGUGAAUUUUGUAAGUUAUGUGCGCCCCACCGUUAUAUUUAACAGUUUUUAGGGUAUAUUGUUAAGUUUAGGGUAAAAGACUAAAUUGAACACAUUUUGUCAUACAUGAAGGACUAUUUCAAUCACCUAGAAUAUAUUAAGGACCAAAAUAAAGCAACCCCAAUACAUUAAGGACCAUUUUGAUCGUUUUCUAAUGAUCAAAGUUUAAAAACAGGUCUUUCACACGAUUCAAUCGUCCUAAAAUUGGAUAAAAACAAAUCUUAAGUCUAAUUUAAUCCAAAAAUUAUCUGUCCAAAGUUUUAUUGCUCUUCAAUAGUCAAUACUGUCCAUCAAUAAAAUAGCUUUAUUAUGUAAGUCAAUAAAAGAUCCUGAGUGGGGGAAAACCACACCCUGAUACCUGAGUGGGCGUGCAAUCUAGAAUUAUUUUAAAAAAAAAUCACAGACAAAACUAAAUGUCAAGAUCUAAUAGCAAAUAUUCAUGACAUACACUAAAAAAAAAAAAAACUUGUUGAUGGAUAUUUUAGGAACUUUGUAAAACCAAGCACAUAUUACAAAAAAAAAUCACAGACAAAACUAAAUGUCAAGAUCUAAUAGUAACUUUCUUCAUAUUUUUGGAACUUGUUAAUGGAUAUUUUUAGCCUUUUACUAAAAAAAGAAUUACUAAUUUUGUAAUCGCAACAUACAGUAAAAAGAUACAUAUUUUCAUAGACAAUAAUCAUGACCACCAAUUUUCUUUUCUUUUUGAGCGGUGAAUCACUCAUGAGAAGGAGAAUCACUAUGAUCCACUACUGCCUUGAUGUUUUUAUACUUGUAAAACCAAGCACAUAUUACAUAGUAACCAAAAUUCAAUACUCCCCCUACAACCAAUAGCCCAUACACUUUGUCCAAUCUUCCAUUAUUUAUGUUACCUGGUAACCAUGUAGUUGUCCUUCUAACAACAUCAAUUAGAGUAGUGGUCAAGUAAAAUGAUAUACCAAUAAGCACGGAUAUCAUCGCGGUCGCCAAGUUCUUUAAGGUUAUUGGGAACUCUUGGUAGUACAAUGAUACUUGUCCAGGAAGAUGAAAUGCCUCUGCGAUACCAACAAGUGCUAAUUGUGGCACAAGCCAUAAAGCUGACAUUGGCACAAUAAUGGAACCUUGAUUGGAUUUUGCUACAUUUAGCCUCUUUGACUCGACUAUGGCUGAGACACCCAUACACAAAAAAUUGAGCACGUGCCCAACCCCAAUUCUCUGGAGAGGUGUAAGUGAUUUGCCAGACAAAUUUUUCCACGUAGGAAAUAGAAAUUUGUCGAACAGGGCGAGGAAUAUAGCAGUAGAGAGCAUGACAAAAACGAGCAUGGAGCCAGCUGGGAUUUGGAAAUUGGGUCCUAAAUGACGGUCCAUUGUUAAGGCUUGAAGGAUUGACAAACUUCCUUGUACGCCAAUUGUUGUGCCAAGAAAAAAACUACUUGACCAUAGUGGUAAAAUUUUAAUUAAGGUUUUGAAAUCUUCAAUUUCUUGGACUGAACAAAGUCUCCAUGACUUAGCUGUUGACCCAUCUGGUUUAACAUCACCUUCACUUUUAAUGGCUGCACGGUUCAAAAACCUGCAUCAUAAUAAAACAAACAAAUUACAACUUGAUAAUUAAGAGUUUGAUGAAUUGGGCUAUGGUCUCUUGAUUCAGUUUAUCUCAGCUCAAGUGACUUUGAGUUGAACAAUGACAUAUUUAUUAUUAAUUCAGCCAAUUUUGAUCCGUUCAAACUCAACUCAAAUUGGUAGGUUGAGAGUACAUGUCAGGUCAGGGCCUUUUGGGAAUCGGAUGGGGCGAGGAAAAAAUAAAAUAAUUCACACUUUUACUAAAUGAUAUGAUUACACAAUUAAAUCAUCAAAUCUCACAAACAUCGUGUUACGUUAUUGAAUUGAUCAUAAAAUGUAAAGUUUGCAUAUAUUAUUGAUGGAUCAUAUAGCUAGUUAAAGCACGUUGGAUAUAUUACCUGUAGGUUUUUGAAGGCUCAACAAGCAUUAGUCCGUGGUAGAAAUCUUCACUAGUCGAUGGGAGUGACAACUUUCUUUUCCUAAUACUUGCAACCACAACGCGAGCCAAACUGGUGAAAGGACUCCCUUCUGGCUUAGAAUUGUUGUAAAAUCUGGUCCCCAAUAGAAAAAUGGCUGUACCAAGUACAUUAGCUGCUACACAAAUGAUAUAUCCAGCUUUCCAGCUCACGUUAUCUUCAACAUACACAAUAGCUGUGGAUGCUACAAUAGUAGAACCAGAAAAGAAGAAAAAAAACCAAUUGAAGAAAAUCCCUUGAUCUUUUGGUUUAUCAAAUUGGUUGGCUCCCAUUGUUGAAAGGGUUGAUCGGAGACUAGCAUUACCCAGAGUCGCCAAAACUAUGGCUGCAUAGAGUACUACAUAUUGAACUUUUGGUUUAGGGGUACAUGAGGUUGAACCAACUUCACACGGUGUAGGCCUCAAUGAAUCAACUGUCGUUGUUAGAGUUAAAAGGAUUGUGCCCUACACGUACAAAUUAAACAACAAAACAAAUCUUAGGAAUUAAUGUAUAUCAAAUUAUACUUGGAUAACAAAACAAAAUUAGCUAGUUUUUACCAAUAAUGAGAUGAUGGAUGAAAUCCAAAUGAUAGAGAAGCAACCAAGAAAAGAGUCGGCAACAAUUGCAGCAAGGACAGGAGUUAAGCCUCCAGCACCAUUAACCAAAUUUGUUAUUUGAGCAGCAUCAAUACUCUCCACACCAAAUUCCUUAAUCAGAUACACAAUAAGAUUGCUCGUCAAACCUCCAAAUGCUAGGGUCAACCCUACUAAGCUCGCUGUUUUUGUCAAAAUCAAAUUAUGGAUCGGAUUUAGCUUCAAGUAUUUUGUUAUAACAUGCAUGUUAAAUUACUGUAACAACAAUGUGCAAGUACAUGGAUAACAUCAUAGCAUUAGAGCUUUUGAUUACUCCAUUUUUAUUCAACAUUGUAAUAAAUUUGAACAAUAAAAUAAACGACAAGUGCCUGAUCAAAUCGUGUAGGAACAUGGUUCAGGUCUACCGAAAAAGAGAGAGAGAGGAGAGACCUAUGAUGAAGGGGAAGGUGAUCCAUCCUCCGGUUCUUCUUGAUAUCUGUGCCUUCGAUGGAUCUUCCAUAGUUGAAAAAAAACAAGGGAUAAAUAAUAACUUGAAACUCCUAGGAGUGCACUUAUAUAUAUUAUCACCUCAAAAUGUAUGGAUUGGAAAGAUAUAUUUUGAUCAAAAGAAAACUCAACAAAUAAAGUAUGAACCCAUGCGUUUAGUAGUUGUUUUUAAAAGGAUUUUAGUUUCCUUCAGGAUAUUAAACAAAUAAUAUACUAUUCUCUUUGUUCUAAUUCAUGUGUUAUGAUUCAGAUUUCCAAAAACAAAUCUCUUAAUUUUAACCAUAAAAUCUUUAAAAAUAAAAAAUAUGACAAUACAAUAAUUUAUAAUUCAAACAAUAUUUAAAACGACAUACAAAAAAAUGGCAAAUAAAUAAUGUUAUUUGACUCUCAAUCGAAUGUCGCCAAAUCAAUAUGGAUGGGGAGUGCUAUUGUAUGUUAUCAUCUGCGGAUCUACAAUAUUUGCCACCAACGCUAAGGACAACACACUUUCUUGUUUAGGAAAUUAAAUCAAAUAGUUGUAUUAUUCUCCCUGCAACAAUUUUGACAAUAAGGGUGUGUUUGGUACGAAGGAAAAUGUUUUCCUGGAAAACAAGUAGAUUUUUGACUUAUUUUUUCAUGUUUGGUUGAUGAGUAGAAAAUAUUCUCCGGAAAAGAUUUUUAAUGUUUGGUUUUUGAAUGAAAUAUGUUUUUGAGAAAUAUCGUUUAUUUUAACUAGAGUAAAAAAUAUUUUUUGAAAUUGAAAAUACUUUUUGAAAAUAAACUUAAAUUUUUUUUUGGGUGGGGGGUGAGGGUGGGGGGUNNNNNNNNNNNNNNNNNNNNNNNNNNNNNNNNNNNNNNNNNNNNNNNNNNNNNNNNNNNNNNNNNNNNNNNNNNNNNNNNNNNNNNNNNNNNNNNNNNNNNNNNNNNNNNNNNNNNNNNNNNNNNNNNNNNNNNNNNNNNNNNNNNNNNNNNNNNNNNNNNNNNNNNNNNNNNNNNNNNNNNNNNNNNNNNNNNNNNNNNNNNNNNNNNNNNNNNNNNNNNNNNNNNNNNNNNNNNNNNNNNNNNNNNNNNNNNNNNNNNNNNNNNNNNNNNNNNNNNNNNNNNNNNNNNNNNNNNNNNNNNNNNNNNNNNNNNNNNNNNNNNNNNNNNNNNNNNNNNNNNNNNNNNNNNNNNNNNNNNNNNNNNNNNNNNNNNNNNNNNNNNNNNNNNNNNNNNNNNNNNNNNNNNNNNNNNNNNNNNNNNNNNNNNNNNNNNNNNNNNNNNNNNNNNNNNNNNNNNNNNNNNNNNNNNNNNNNNNNNNNNNNNNNNNNNNNNNNNNNNNNNNNNNNNNNNNNNNNNNNNNNNNNNNNNNNNNNNNNNNNNNNNNNNNNNNNNNNNNNNNNNNNNNNNNNNNNNNNNNNNNNNNNNNNNNNNNNNNNNNNNNNNNNNNNNNNNNNNNNNNNNNNNNNNNNNNNNNNNNNNNNNNNNNNNNNNNNNNNNNNNNNNNNNNNNNNNNNNNNNNNNNNNNNNNNNNNNNNNNNNNNNNNNNNNNNNNNNNNNNNNNNNNNNNNNNNNNNNNNNNNNNNNNNNNNNNNNNNNNNNNNNNNNNNNNNNNNNNNNNNNNNNNNNNNNNNNNNNNNNNNNNNNNNNNNNNNNNNNNNNNNNNNNNNNNNNNNNNNNNNNNNNNNNNNNNNNNNNNNNNNNNNNNNNNNNNNNNNNNNNNNNNNNNNNNNNNNNNNNNNNNNNNNNNNNNNNNNNNNNNNNNNNNNNNNNNNNNNNNNNNNNNNNNNNNNNNNNNNNNNNNNNNNNNNNNNNNNNNNNNNNNNNNNNNNNNNNNNNNNNNNNNNNNNNNNNNNNNNNNNNNNNNNNNNNNNNNNNNNNNNNNNNNNNNNNGGGGGGGUCAGAAGAGAGUUUUGGAAAAUGUUUUCCUACAUUUUCCAAAACAUUUAACCCAACCAAACAUGAAGAUAUUGAAAAAACAUUUUCCAAAAAAUGUUUUCCUUCCUACCAAACACACCCUAAAUAUAUGCACUUUCUCUCAAUUUUGACCAUAAAUAUCUUUACUUUCUCAUUCAAAUUUUGACCAAAAAUUUAACCAUAAAAUAUCUAAAAGUAAAAUUUAUAGAUUUGAAAUAAAAAAUAUUACUCCCUGUAUGUGUCUCAUUUUAUGUGAUCUUAUUUAAUCUGUUUAAAAAAGAAUGUCAACUUACUAUUAUUAGAAAUAAUUUAACUUUAAAAUACCCCUUUUACCCUUAAUGAAGUGAUUAUCAAACACAUAAAUAUCUAAAAAUUAUUUUAGGCCACAAAUUUCAAAAGUCUUCAUUUUUUCUUUAACAUCGUACCAAGCCAAAUGAUGCUACAUAAAAUGAGACGGAGGGAGUAUAACAUAAUAAUUAAUAAUUCAAAAUAUUAUAAAUGUAUAUAUGAAAAAUUGUUAUAUAUAUAAAAUCUUCUGGUUUACAUGACAACUUCUUCCUUUUAAUAUUGGAUGUCACUAGAGCUGUCAAAAAGGGUCGGCCCAACCGCACCCGGUCCAAGCCUCGCUGGCCAAUGAAUUUGAAGGGUUAGGACGGGCCGGCCCUCAUUUGGUAGGGCCUAAAAAUUCUCAACCCAGCCCAACCCUAGAAGGGCCAAGGGCUGGGGUGGGCUAACCUUUUUUUUUCUUACCAAACUUAUAAUUUUAUAACAUCAAGAAAAUGAGAAGAUUUUCAAAUCAAAUAUGACAAAUAAUAACAUUAGCAAAAAAUCUAGUGUAAUUAGCAUGUAUCUCGCAUACCAGAUACGCGAGCGAGAUAAGAGAGUGACAAGCAAGAUGGGAGAGAGGUGAGGGGCGCGAAAUUUGUCUAUGUAUCCUAGAUACAUGCGAAUCUACUUGGAUAGAGUGUAUCUAGAACAAAUUAACCUAAUUUUGAAUCUAUAUAUUUUGAGAUACAUGUAUCUGGACGUACCAAAAUUUGGUAAGAUUCAUAAUAUUACAACAUAGCGUGUAUUUAAGUAACUAGAUUAUAUACUAGUGAGAUUAUUGUAAGUUACCAUUAAAUAAAAACUUUUGACCCAUGGGCCGACCCCGGCCCGACUCCGAUCAAGCCUCAAGGGCUAACGACUUAUAUGAGCCGGGCUUAUAAGCCCUAGUUUUAAAUGGGCUUAAAAAAUUCUAUCCCAACCCUACCUCAAUAAUGGAUUGGAUUGGACCGUUCCCAUGAGCUAAGCACGUUUUAACGACUCUAGAUGUCACAAUUGGCAUUCCGAUAAAAUAACUCAACUUGCAUAUACUAAAUAAUCAUAAUUAUUUAGACUCCCACUUUAAAAUUAGAUAUUCCAAUAUCCCCUAAGUCAAUAUUAUAAGAAGGAAAAUCAAUAUCUUUUGCUGUCAUACCGCGUACGUUGUCCAAACUGUUGAACACAUGAGUUAUAAAUACAUUUCAUAAAUUAAAAAUUACUUAUGUCUUUUCCUAUUUGACCAACUUCAAAAUAUGCAUCAAUAGUGGGAUUAUCUUUUCAUUAUUUAUCUGACCGAAUCAAUCAUUUCAGAUGUAAUUAUUGGUAUCAUCGUUCUAAUAAAAUAAAUUCUUAAUGUCUAAAGUAAUCAAAGGCAAUUAAUUAAGACUGAUUCUCCUAAUAAUUUAGAGUUUUGGAUUAACUUUAAUUUUCUUGAAAAGUAUUUUACGUAGUCGUAGCAAACAUGUAUGUACAUGUGAUAGAGGAAGAGCACUCAUAACUUAAAUUAUACCCUUAAUUAUUUAUGUAUAUCUACUACUAAUAUAUACGCCGUGAUAACCACACAGCUCACAGUCAACAUGCCUGUAUCAGCUGUGUGGUUUCCAUACUUAUCUACUACUAACUAGACAUUGGAGCCCGUGAUAGCACGGGCCCAAUGUAUGUUACUUUUUCAGUCUCAAUUUAACAUAGUUAAAAUUUGGAAAAUCAUUUAAAAAAGGCAAAAUGGUCUAGUGGACCCUUGUACUUGUAUGUGUUUGUAUUGUGAACCCUUAUACUUGUUCCUUUGUCAUAUGAACCCCUGAACUCAUCAAAACGCAAUAUUUUAAACACGUUUUUUACCACUCAACUGUAUGUGUAUCACAAACGCCUGCCACGUAAUUUUAAAAAUAAUUAUAAAAUGACACGUAUGAUUAUAAAAUGACACAUGUAUAUAUGGUCACUCCAUGUCAUUUUUCCUUUUAUUAUAUUUGAUUAAUAUACCUACACUUUCUCUUUCCAAUUUUUAUUUCUCUUUGCCAUUGCCAUCUGCAUCUCCAUCCCCAUCUCAUUUCAACUUUUUCUUAUCUUCCUUACCCUUUUCCUUUUUCCAACCUCUUCUACUCUUUCCAUUGAAGUAAAAAAUGUUGGCACGAUUUCUGGUUGUUCACAAUCUCGUUGGAGUUCGGAGUUGAUUUUGGGUUAUGUUGGAUUGGGGUUUUGGUGGUGACCGGUGGCGCUAAGGAAAAGUGGGGGUCUAUUGGGUGGUCUGAUUGUUUCUAGUUGUUCACAANNNNNNNNNNNNNNNNNNNNNNNNNNNNNNNNNNNNNNNNNNNNNNNNNNNNNNNNNNNNNNNNNNNNNNNNNNNNNNNNNNNNNNNNNNNNNNNNNNNNNNNNNNNNNNNNNNNNNNNNNNNNNNNNNNNNNNNNNNNNNNNNNNNNNNNNNNNNNNNNNNNNNNNNNNNNNNNNNNNNNNNNNNNNNNNNNNNNNNNNNNNNNNNNNNNNNNNNNNNNNNNNNNNNNNAAUAACAAGAAACGAUAGAGAAGAAAUUUUUGCGAAGAAGAUCGGAAAAGAGGCCAAGAAAAUCUCAAAUUUUGUCCAACAAUGGUGUUAGAUGCAAAUAGGAAGAUGAUGGCUUUACAAAGCCCUAAUGUGACUGUCAGACCCUUUUCCAAGGGUCUCACGCUCCUAAUAGGUGUGUGUCACACACUCUUUAGUAGUAACUGCCACAUAGGAUGCCAAGUCAAAAAAUAUGUUUAAAAUAUUGCGUUUUGAUGAAUUCAAGGGUUUAGAUGACAAAUGAGUAAGUAGAAGGGUUCACAAUACAAACACAUACAAGUACAAGGGUCCACCAGACCAUUUCGCCUUUAAAAAGUUAUGCUUUUUAAAUAAUUAAAGUUAUUAAUUAUUAUGAUUUCUAGUAAAUUUCUUUACGUAAUUUCAACAUAAUUUAUAUUAUUCUCCAUGUCCCAAUUACGUGGCGCAGAUAGAAUUUUAACUAUCACCAAUUUUUUAAAAUAUUUUUUCAAAUAUUCCAAGUUAUUAAUUAUUGUGAUUUAUAAUAUUUUUACGUCAUUUUUAAAUAAUGUUUGUUCCUUCUUUUAUUUCAAUUUAUGUGGCACCGACAAAAUUUUGAGAGUCAAUCGAUCAUCAAUAUAUGUUACUCUUUUUUUUUAUCUCAAUCAUGAACUCAAUAUAUUUUUUUUAAUCUCAAUUUAUGUAAUACAAAUAGAAUUUGAAGAAUCAAUCAAUUCUUUUUAUAUGUUUUUUAAAAAAAUAUUUGAAGUUAUUAAUUUGUUGUGAAUUAUAGUAUCUUUUCUGUAAUUUAUUAAUAAUAUAUGUUAAUCCUAUUCCAGUUCACGUGAAUAAUUAUAAAUAUUUUUGGUUGUUAAUUUAUUGUGAAUUUUAGAACUUUUGAUGUCAUUUUUAAAUAAUUAUAUUUUCAGUUAUUAAUUAUUGUGAUUUAUAGUAUCUUUUACGUAAUUUUUUUAUAAUAUAUAUUAUUCCAUCGGUUCAAAUUCAUGUGACAAUAACAAAAUUUAAAGAUUCAAUAAUUUUUUUAAAAAAGAAUUAAUCUUUUAAAAUGUUGUACCUCUAAUAUAUUUUAUAGCUAAAAUAUAUUUACGGAGUUAUUAAAUUUUGAAAAAGUUAAUUGCCAAAAAAAAUGGUGAACCGAUGAGAAUAAAGACAGAGAUUAGAAUUGUUGAAGUGGGGUCCAUAUGUUAAAAGGAAGUUGGAUAGUGAAAGGAAAACUGAAAAAAUGAGGAAUAGACAGAAACAAGGGCCCACAUUUUUCGGCUUAUGUAAAGAAAAGAGGGAAAUAUGGGUGGGCUUUUAUGUCCAAUAAAUGAAAAAGUGCAAUUGUAAAACAGUUGAGUACCAUAUAUUUCUACAUAACACUAAAAGUAAAUUCCUAUAUUAACCCUGGCUAGGGAAGCAGGCAUGUUGACGAACAGCUGCUUCCCCAACCUCUUCUAAAUAGUAUAUUUCUUUUCUAUUAUAUAGAAAGGUGAAGAGGAGGACGACUAAGGUUAUUUUGGUAAUUUCACGCUCUAUAUCGGUGCUUCUAGAAUCAUCGGUCAUCAGUUUUUUUUUAGUCCAAGCGUAGGAUUUCAACCCACUUUAUGCACAAACACAGGAACAUAAUUGUAGAAGUUCUCUCUUUCUUUAUUCUCCUUUGUGCUCAAACCGGGUAUAUUCACUUCUAAUUGUUGGUGCCUACCAGCUAUUGCUGAAGCAUUCAAGAUGAUGAAACCCAAUCGUUGAAGAUGGAUGGCAUACUUAUGAGGUGUUUAACAGAAAAUCCAAAAAGAAAGGCAGCCGGCAGAUUUCAUCAUGAUCAAUCUUCUUGCUCCGUAAGCUUUAAAUCUUCUUUCAUUAUAUUUUAUUUAUUAAUUUCGUUUUAUUAUCAUUUUCAUCCCUUUGAUGAACUGAAUUUCAUUCUCUGAAAAAAAGUGUAUUUAUUUCUUCUGUUUCAAUACUUUGUUUUUCUUUUGGUAUAUGUAUGUGUUUGUUAAUAUAAGUUAUUACUUGCUUUCGGUUUUUCUUUUGAAAAAACUUAAGAAGCUAUUUUCUUUUGUUCCAAAAACUGAACAACAUAUUACUUUUGAAUGGUUCAGUGAAGUUAAAAAACACCAUAGGUAAUUUCUAUCUAUCUGCUUAAGAUUGGUGGGUAGAGUUAACAAAUACUUGUGUGGAUAUGCAUUGUCGAGGUUAGUGUUAGAUGCUUAGAUACUGGCUUGAACUCCACUUUUGGUGGAGUAAUGUGUCUCAUCCUAUCUAGGAUGGUGUCACGUAGACAAGAUGCUUAUGCCAAGGUAGCAAUGGUGGUCGAAAAAACAAUUGGCUCCUGUCAUAUGUUUAAAUUAGUAUGAUGCCCAUGAUCUGAUGAAAUUUAUAUUGGGAGCAAAACAAUCUUUGUUUCACUUUCUUUUCAGAAAAUAAUCACCAGUAGACGAUAUGUACCUUGUUUCCUCCUCGUGCUGCAUCUUUUUCAGGGGAGAAGCAAGUUGUGAAAAAUUCUUAUAAGCAUUUUAAAAGACUAAGCUAUUUUCAUUUUGCUAUUAUGUACUCCAGCUAUGCUUUGGCUAUCUGGUAUGGUGCAAGGUUCAUCUUGGGAAAAGGAUAUACUGGUGGUCAAGUUUUCAAUGUUUUCGACGUCAAGCUUCUCCAUUCAGUAGCAAGCGAUUUACUUUUUAAGGUACACCAAUUUAACUAUGCAUAAGUUUGAGAGUGAUUACACAUUUACACUAGAUGCACUUAAUAUUCUUAUAAUAAACUAAUAAUAGUAUAAGUGUACUAAUUUGACGGGAAUUCUCAAAGCUUGUAGCUGUAAUGUGUUGGUCACAGGAAAUGGCAGGGAGGGUCCCAAAUAGGCAGCAGGAAGGAGUGCUAAAGCAGAGAUAUAUCGGAUGACAUGACUUGUUGGUUCAUUACACUGUUGGAUAAUUUCUUACCGCUCCAUUGCCUAAUAUUUUUUUCAAAUAUCUACGCAAAGUCAAAAUUUCACAUAAAUAUAACUUGUCAAAAAUAUUUGGGAAUUGUGGCCAAAUGCUAUUUAAUAUUAAUGAUGCGUGUAUCAACAUUCAUUUAAUUAAUUAAACUAUUACUUCUUCAUUCAUAUUUACUUUAUCUAUGGUUGACUUGACAUGCCUCUUAAAAAAUAAAUAAAAUGAUAUAUUUAUUAUAUCAUGUCUAAUUAUAAUAAAAAAAUUAAAUAUUAGAAAAUAAAUAGAAUUUAAUAAGAAAAAUUAAAUAAAUAUAAAAUAAUAAAUAUCUUUUCAUUUUUAAAUUAUCUGAAUAAAAUAAAUAUAUAUUUUUAAUAUAAUAAACCAAAAAAAAAAAAAAACAUUAUAUAAAGAUAAUGAGAAUUUAAGAUCUACUUUGGCAACAUGAUUUUUAGUGGAAAAUGGAAGCCACACAAACCAAAAUACUUUUUUGUUCUUUUGUAGUGCAAUACAUUAAAAAAAAAAAAACAAAAAACUUUGCCGGGUCAAGGAGAAGCAGUGCAUGAUCAACAAAAAUGCUUCCAUUUAUAUUAAACUAAUUAAAUUGCCAGCGCAUCGUGGGGUGUGAAAUUAGUGUAUUUGUAAACAUUUUUGUUUAAAAAUAAUAAUCGAGAUUAUAAUCAUAACUUUCAUAAGGCAUACAUGUAAAAGUUAUGUAAGCAAAUGCAAGGAAAAUAUUUAUUUAUAUACGAAAAUAAGAUUUAAAAAUUAUUCCAAGAUAUAAUUCUAGUUUUAUUACACUCCAUAGUAUGAUUAAAAUAUGUAACGCAAGUCCUCACACCUUGGCUCUUGUUUAAAUGUUAUUCAGGAAAAUUUGUCCGCACUUAGCGGUCAUAGAAUUAAUCAUAGACAAUGUGUAAAGGAAAAUAUCCUUAUGAAAACGCAAGACACUUGAAUAUUUUCUGAAGUUCAAAUAUUCGUAUUGAAGUGUGAAUUUGAGAACCAAGCAAGCCUAGAAAUCCAAAAAACUUGAGAUGUUUUUGUUUGAAAUUCGGCCUAAUAAUUUCAAAACUUCAUAUAUUUUUGUCUGAAGUUGAAAUAUGGAGAUUGGUUAAAAAGAAAGUACGACAAGUAAUUUGAAAAUGUUUUUCUACUAAUUGCAUGAUUGAUGAUAGUUAUUGCUCUCUCUAAAUACCCACAAGUAUGAGGAUACUAGAAUUGAUUUCACUCAUCAGAAGGAGAAUCAAUAUGAUCCACUUCGUUGAGGUUUUGAUACUUGUAAUACCAAGCACAUGUUACAUAGUAACCAAAGUUCACUACUCCCCCUAUAACUAAUAUCCAGUACACAUUAUCCAGCCUUCCAUUAUUUAUGUUACCUGGUAACCAUGUACUUGUCUUUCUAACAACAUCAAUUAGAGCAGUGGCCAAGUAAAAUGAUAUACCAACAAGAACCGAAAUCAUCGCGGUCGCCAUGUUCUUUAAGGUUAUUGGAAACUCUUGGUAGUACAAUGAUACUUGUCCAGGAAAAUGAAAUGCCUCCGCAAUACCAACGAUGACUAAUUGUGGCACAAGCCAUAACACUGACAUUGCCACAAUAUUGGAACCUUCAUUUGAUUUUGCUACAUUUAGUCUCUUUGACUCGACUAAGGCUGAUACACCCAUGCUCAAAAAAUUGAGCACGUGUCCAGUACCAAUUCUCUGGAGAGGUGUAAGUGAUUUUCCAGUCAAAUUCUUCCACGUAGGUAAGAGAAAUUUAUCGAACGGGGCGAGGAAUAGAGCAGUAGAUAGGAGGACAAAAACGAGUAUGGAUCCAGCUGGGAUUUGGAAAUUGGGUCCUACGUAGCGGUUCAUUGCUAAGGCUUGAAGGAUUGACAAACUUGCUUGUACGCCAAUUGUUGUGCCAAGAAAAAAACUAGUUGACCAAAGUGGUAAGAUUUUAAUUAAGGGUUUGAAAUCUUCUACUUCUUGCACUGAACAAAGUCUCCAUCGAUUAGUUGUUAAACCAUCUGGUUUUACGUCACCUUCACUUAUAAUGGCAGCACGGUUCAAAAAUCUGCAUCAUAUAUAUUAUAUAAGAAACUUCAAUAUUCUACAAAAGUUAAAAGAUACAUUCAAGCUGAUUAGAUAACAUUAUUAUCACACAAAAGAUACUCUAUGUAAAGCAAGAGCACGUGUGCCCAACUUAAUUAAUGUAUCACUAAAUAGUCACAAAUAUGGAACUUAAUUGCUAUUUAUUUGUAAAACUUAAUACACAAAAAUGUCCGUUCCCUGAUAAUUUAAGCUUAUUUAAAUUUAAAAAUAAAUAAAAAUAACAUCUUUCACAAGUCAAUAGCUUAAAUUUAUAAUAGAAAACCAAGCAUACAAAUAUUUUUGUCUCAUGUGAGUAUAUUAUCAACAACAAAAUAUAGUGGUUUUACUUGUUUGAAGUAACCAAAUAAAUCAACUUGCCCGUGACGUGUGGGAGUACGUCUCUAUCCAAAUUAAUUAACAAUAAAGUAUUCAAUCUCCAAUAGUUUAGAGAUAACAUCCCGCCAUAAAAAGAAAAAGGUGCUUCAUAUAAUUGUCGAAAAAGUCUGUUUAUAAGAAAUCUUUCAACAUAAAGAUAUGCUGAAAUCUUCACAUCCACCUCCACUGAAAAAAUAAAUCACCCCACGAUCAUAAAACACCCCUCAUUUUAUGUGUGUUAAAUUUUACAAGACCCCACAUUUAAAAGAUAAAAAAGACUUUUAUAUCUGUUGUCUCUAUAUGUAAUCAUUUAUAUUCCCUCUAUUUUUUAUUUUUAAUUUGACACGAAGUUUAAGAGAAUAGAUACUUUUGAAUCUUGUUUCUUAUGAUAAAAAAUAUAUAGAAUAUAUAAAAUUUUCUUUUAAUCUAGUGGUCUUAAACAUGACAUGAUUUGAAAAAUUGAAAUGAAAGUGUUGCUAUAAAAAAGAAGAGAGUGUACCCUUUUCUUGAAAAGGACUUAGAAGAAUAGUAGGACAAAGAGCAUGUGUUACCUGAAGGUAUUAGAAGGUACAACAGCUAAUGCUUUAGGUACUACAUUACAUCCCUGGAAGAAAUCCUCAGCAGUCGAUGGAAGUGAAACUUGUCUGUUGGUAAUACUAGCAACAAUAACACGAGCCAAACUGGUAAAUGGACUCCCUUUUGGCUUAAACUUAGCGUAAAAUCUGCUUCCCAUUAGGAAAAUGGCUGAACCAAGUACAUUAGCUGCUACACAAAUGAAAAAUCCAGAUUUCCAACUCACGUUAUCUUCAACAUAGACAAUAGCUGUUAAUGCUAUAACAGAAGCAGAAUACCAAAAGAAGAAGAACCAAUUGAAGAAAAUCCCUUGAUCCUUUGGUUUAUCAGCUAGCUGACCGGCUCCGAUCGUCGCUAGGGUUGAUCUGGUACCACCACUACCCAAUGUUGAUAGAACUAUGGCUGCGUAGAGUACUACAGAUUGAACUUUUGGUUUAGGGGUACAUGAGGUUGAACCAACUUCACACGAUUUAGGCCUCAAAGAAUCAACUGUAGCUGUUAAAGCUAAAAGGAUUGUGCCCUACAAGUAUUCAAAAAAAAAAACUGGUUCUAUAAAUAUACAAUUAUGUCAUACAAUGAUUGAAGAGAAAUGUUGAAUAUGAGGAGUAAUAAGUAAUUCAUGAAAAAAAGAAGAAGUUAAAAGUCAAAAGUUAGGUAAAAAAAAAACAGUGGUAGUUACCAAUAAUGAGAUGAUGGAUGAAAUCCAAAUGGUAGAGAAGCAACCAAGAUAAGAGUCGGCAACGAUUGCAGCAACGACAGGAAUUAAGCUUCCAGCACUGUUAAAUUAGGUCUUAGGCCUAACUCACACCCCAAAAGCUAGCUCAAAGGGAGGAGGAUUGCCCAAGCCUUAUAAGGAGUCCACCCAUCUCAUUAACCACCGAUGUGGGACUUUUGUCAUUCUUUAACACCCCACCUCACGCCCAGUGCUUAGCAUCUGGUGCGUGGGCAAUUUUGAUUUUGGGGGCCCCAACAUCGGGUGAGACGGGCCCUGCUCUGAUACCAUGUUAAAUUAGGUCUUAGGCCUAACUGAUUUAACAAGCACCAUUAACCAAAUUUGAUAUUUGAGCAGCAUCAAUACUCUCCACAUCAAAUUCCUUAAUCAGAUACACAAUAAGAUUGCUUGUCCAACCCACAAAUGCUAGGGCCAACCCUACUGAGCUCGCUGUUUUUGCCAAAAUUGAGUUACGCGUCAAUAUAUAUACGUAACUUGUUAUAACAUGUUAACUUACUAGUAAUAGAUAUUUAAUUUAGGCUAUGUGCAACAAACAAAGUAACAUAGAUAGCAUCCUAGCACUAAAACUUUUGAGUUUUUUUAUGUUGUUAAAAAUAACGAUAAAAAUAAAUAACGAAUGCCUGAUCAAAAAUCGUGUAGGAACAAGGUAGAGACCUAUGAUAAAGGGGAAGGUGAUCCAGCCUCCAGUUCUUCUUGGUAAUUGUGCCUCUGAUGGAGCUUCCAUGGUUCAAAAACUCAAUGGAUAAAUAAUUACUUCAAACUUUUGGGAGAGAACUUAUAUAUAUAAUAUCAGCUAAAAAAUAUCUCAAUUAGGAUAAGGACAGCACAUUGUCUUGUUCAUGAGAAUUUAAUAAAAUGGGAGGAAAUUACAUAUUGCAUAAAAAAAAUUCAAAGAUUUAAUUAAAGGCCCUCAACUUUAUAGUAUUAAAUUGUUAAUUUGACUAAUGACUACAAUUUAGUAUUGUUCAUUUAAUUUGAUAUGUCUUCUGGUUUACAUGACAAUUGUCAGCUUCUUCCCUUUAAUUAAUAUUCGUAAUCACAAUUAAAUAUCUAUUAAAUGACUUGUUUUGCAGAUACUAAAUUGUAAUCAUAAUUAAUUAGACUCUCACUUUCAAAAUAGAUAUUAUUCCAAUAUCACCUAGCUCGAAGGAAAAUAAUAUCUUUUGCUGGAGUAUUCCAAACUACUGUUGAACACACAAAUUACAUUUGAUUAAUUAAAAAUUACUACUCUAUGUCUUUUCCUACUUGACCAUUUCAGAAGUAAAUAUUGGUAUCAUAGACUCUUAAUUAAUAUCUAAUGUAAUCAAAGUCAAUUAAGACUACUAAUCCUAAUAAUUUAGAUGAUGACUGAUUUUUGGAGAAAUUUUUCUCAUUGACUUUUACGUCGUCGUAGCAAACAUGUACAUGGAAGAUAUAUAAACAGACAUGGAUUGCAUGUCAAAGCACUCGUAACUUUAAUUAUUCUUUUUUAUGCUAUUAUAAGUUACAAUCCAAUAUUUAUAUUCACAUCAUAAUUAUUAACAUUUUUAUUGUAAAUAUAAAUGUAAAAAACAAAACUUUGUAAGACAAAAUAUUUGGAUUAAAGUUUUUCCUUCUGGUUUUUUUCUUUUUUUGUUGUUCACGUUCACGUUCGGUCUGUAAUGGAAAAAAUCAUUUUUAUAAAGAAGGGUUGGGAAGUUGACUAGUUACAUGGUAACUAUUCCCUCUUCUUUUUCAAAUAAGAAAUAAUUAGUUCAUCUCUUUUCAGAUAACUUCUUGGAUCGAGUUAGAUCGAUCCAUGACCCAAAACUAUGUAGUUAUGUAAGCAAAUGCAAGGAAAAAAUUGAUAUACAAAAAUAAGAUUUAAAAAUUACACCAACAUAUAAUUAUAAUUUUAUUAUAUACCAGAGUAUGUUUAAAAUAUGUAAUGCAAGACCUCACACCUUCAUUCUUGUUUAAAUGCUAUUCAUGAAAAUUUAUCCACGCACUUGGCGAUCAUAAAAUGAAUCAUCAAAUGAUAGACAAUGUAUAAGGAGAAAAUCCUUAUGAAAACGUAAAACACAUGAAUAUAUUGUCUGAAGUGUGAAUAUGAAAAUUAAAGCAAGCUCUCCAGCUGAGCUGGGCGCCGGGGCCCUGGAUGCGCUAGCGAUUGGCACAUAGGGGAAUGGUUGCCCGGGUUUCUCGGCCUGGUAUCCUGCACCUCGCGUUCAUGAUAUCUACAUUCAACUGUGCCCCGGAGACACGGUCGAAGCACGCCCGAGUCCAGCAAUUCAAAAACUUAAGACGUUUUUAUUUGAAAUUCGGCUAAAGUGUAAUGACCCUAAAGGUCAUUUUUGGAAAUUUUCAUAAAAUGACCGUUUUAUCCCUCCCGAUAGUUGCCCCGAGUCCUAAUUGUUGUAUUUUCGAAGUUGGUUUGAAGGAAAAUUGAUGAAAAGUUGAGUUUUUGGAAAGUUGAGUUUUUAAGAGUUAAAGUUUGGUUAAAAGUGCUAUUUCGGGUCAUUUGGAGUUUCGAGACUCGAAUCGGAUUUUCGUCGAUUCCAGCUGUUUUAAAAUGUCGAAACGGGUCUAUGUGAAUUUACGGAGUCAAAUUUGGAGUUAAAACGAAAAUUUGAGGUCCUAAGUUGCAAAAAUUGUGAAAUUUUGAUCAAGAGUUGACUUUGGUCAACAAACAAGGUUCCGGUGCUCGAAAUGGAAUUCCGAGGGCACCGUUGGAUUCAGGGGGUGAUUCUAAGUCUAGAAUGAGUCUUGGUUGAACUUUUAGAGGCCCCGAGUGCGUUUCGAGUUUUUGAGCCUAAAGUUAGUUUCUUGACGCCUUAUCGGAUACCGGGUCAAGGAGACCUCGAAUUCAAAUUCCGACGAUUUCAUUGAGUCCGAAAUGUCAUUUUCAAGCUAGUAGCAUAUUUGGUUUGUGUUCGGGAAGUGCCAAAUGAGUUUUGGGUGAGCUUUUAAGCUUCUUGGAUGCUUUGACACUAUUUCAGCAAAUUGUGGCAACUAAAGGGUUCAUUAUUAGUUUUAAAGGUCGAAAAAUUAUUCCGAAGGUUCUGAAAUUUUGAGCAUGAAUUAUAGGACUUAUCUGCAAAUUUUGGUGCAUUUUCGCUAACCCGAGAUUGGACUUUUAUCGCAAAUAAGAAAUAAUUGUUUACCGAGUAGAAAUGAUAUUUGACUGGGCAAACGAGCAUGAAAUUGAGCUCCGAUUGAACGAGCAGGUCCGUAUCAUUAUUUAAGACAUUUACAAAAAAAGAAUCGGGUCAUUUCACUAUCGUAUGAGGAAAUUACGGCCUUUUUAGUGAAGGAUUUAACUGCUGUUUUUCUGGUGCAUAACAGUCAUGUACUGUUAUAAAAAUCUCAGACUGUGUUCAUUUGGUAUUUUGAGCAUAUCGGGAGUUCUAGAGAUCGGAAUGGAGUGAUUCUUACGGGUUUCUUCUUGAAUUAAUAUGAGGGUUAGUAUUCAAUCUUCAAUUCGACAUUUUCUCAUAAUUUCUUUAUCUGAUUUUUUUUCCCUAUCUGUAAACCUCUUGGGAAAAAUUGGGGUUUUAUCGAUUUGGACUCCCUUUUUGAUGAAAAAGGUAUAUUUACGAUCCUUAUGUUAUGGGUAAACUGAUUUUAACAUAAAAUUAUUGAUUCAUCGAUUAUUUUCAUCAUAUUAACCGCGUACAAUUUGGACUUUCCCGGUAAAGUUAAAGUUUGAUAAAUUGAGAAUUUCAAGGUCGAUCUUAACUCCGUUUUUGAUGAAAUUUCAUAUUUGAACUUAUCUAAGCAUGGGUAAGAUGUUUUUCAAGAGAUAUUUCAUUUUCGAGUCGGGGUUUCGGAUCCGAAUAUUUUAGGCUUCUUCAAGAACGUGGAUUUUCCUUCAAAUUGAGUUUGUGAACUCAUUUCAACUCCUUUUUCGAAACGGUUUUCACUAUUGGAUUCUAAAUUUCUUGGGGAACAUUUUUCACUAAAAAUUUCCAGAUUUCGAGAAUAUUUUCCGGAACGAGAUUUUUGACCAUUUUACCCUUGUUCUCCAAAUUUCACGAUAUUGGUGUUGUUAGAUUCGUAUUUAUUGUGGGAUUCCAUUUAUGAAUAGAUUGUGGUGAUUUGGAGCGUGCUCGGAAGGGUAAAACUCAAAUUUGAGUUACUAGUUGAAGUGUUUUGAGGCAAGUGACUUCUAAACUUUGUUAAACUCUUAGACUACGCAUGACUACUUUCCUAAUUGUGUUGGGGAGUAAUGGGAAUUGAGGAUGGAUUUUAUUUGUUGAUUGAAAUUGUUGUAAAUGAAAGAUGGGGAAUAAAACAAGCUAAAUGUGUUAUGGUUUACAUGACAAUUGUCAGCUUCUUCCCUUUAAUUAAUAUUCAUAAUCGCAAUUGAAUAUCGAUUAAAUGACUCGAGUACUAAAUAAUCAUUAAUUAAUUAGACUCUCACUUUCAAAAUAGAUAUUAUUCCAAUAUCACCUAGCUCGAAGGAAAAUAAUAUCUUUUGCUGGAGUAUUCCAAACUACUGUUGAACACACAAAUUACAUUUGAUUAAUUAAAAAUUACUACUCUAUGUCUUUUCCUACUUGACCAUUUCAGAAGUAAUUAUUGGUAUCAUAGACUCUUAAUUAAUAUCUAAUGUAAUCAAAGUCAAUUAAGACUACUAAUCCUAAUAAUUUGGAUAAUGACUGAUUUUUGGAGAAAUUUUUCUCAUUUGACUUUUACGUCGUCGUAGCAAACAUGUACAUGGAAGAUAUAUAAACGACAUGGAUUGCAUGUCAAAGCACUCGUAACUUUAAUUAUUCUUAUUUAUGCUAUUAUAAGUUGCAAUCCAAUAUUUAUAUUCACAUCAUAAUUAUUAACAUUUUUAUUGUAAAUAUAAAUGUAAAAAACAGAACUUUGUAAGACAAAAUAUUUGGAUUAAAGUUAUUCCUUCUGGGAAAUCAUUUUUAUAAAGAAGGGUUGGGAAGUUUACCAGUUACAUGGUAACUAUUCCCCCUUCUUUUUCAUAUAAGAGAUAAUUAGUUCAUCUCUUUUCAGACAACUUUUUGGAUCAGGUUAGAUCGAUCCAUAUGGACGGUUUACGACCCAAAACUUAGACAUAUAUGUAGUUACAAUUUCUUGGAUCAGGUUAGAUCCAUUCACAUGGACGAUCCACGACCCAAAACUUAGACAUACAUGUAGUUAUGUAAGCAAAUGCAAGGAAAAAAUUGAUAUACAAAAAUAAGAUUUAAAAAUUACACCAACAUAUAAUUAUAAUUUUAUUAUAUAUCAGAGUAUGUUUAAAAUAUGUAAUGCAAGACCUCACACCUUCAUUCUUGUUUAAAUGUUAUCCAUGAAAAUUUGUCCACAAACUUGGCGAUCAUAAAAUGAAUCAUCAUAUGAUAGACAAUGUAUAAGGAGAAAAUCCUUAUGAAAACGUAAAACGCAUGAAUAUAUUGUCCUGAAGUUCGGAUAAUCGUAUUGAAGUGUGAAUAUGAAAAUUAAAGCAAGCAAGUCUAGCAAUCCAAAAACUUAAGACGUUUUUGUUUGAAAUUCGGCUAAAGAGUUUCAAAACUUCAUAUAUCUUUGUCUGAAGUUGACAUUACAACAUGUUUUUUCAGUAAUUGCAGAUUGAUGAUAAAUUAAUUAUUGCUCACUCACAAGUCUGAGGAUAUUAAAAUUGAUCUCAUCCUCAAAUCACUCAUCAGAAGGAGUCUCAUUAUGAUCCACUUCGUUGAGGUUUUGAUACUUGUAAUACCAAGCACAUGUUACAUAGUAACCAAAGUUCACUACUCCCCCUACAACCAAUAUCCAGUACACAUUAUCCAAUCUUCCAUUAUUUAUGUUACCUGGUAACCAUGUAGUUGUCCUUCUAACAACAUCAAUUAGAGCGGUAGUCAAAUAAAAUGCUAUACCAAUAAGCAUAGAAUUCAUCGCCGUCGCCAUGUUCUUUAAGGUUAUUGGGAACUCUUGGUAGUACAAAGAUACUUGUCCAGGAUAAUGAAAUGCCUCCGCGAUACCAUUAAGUGCUAAUUGUGGCACAAGCCAUAAAACUGACAUUGCCACAAUAUUGGAACCUUCAUUUGAUUUUGCUACAUUUAGUCUCUUUGACUCGACUAAGGCUGAUACACCCAUGCUCACAAAAUUGAGCACGUGUCCAAUCCCAAUUCUCUGGAGAGGCGUAAGUGAUUUGCCUGUCAAAUUCUUCCACGUAGGUAAAACAAUUCUAUCGAACAGGGCGAGGAAUAGAGCAGUAGAUAUGAGGACAAAAACGAGUACGGAUCCAGCUGGGAUUUGGAAAUUGGGUCCUAUGUGGCGGUCCAUUGCUAAGGCUUGAAGGACUGAAAAACUUAAUUGCACCCCAAUUGUGGUGCCAAGAAAAAAACUACUUGACCAAAGUGGUAAGAUUUUAAUUAAGGUUUUGAAAUCUUCUACUUGUUGUACUGAACAAAGUCUCCAUCGAUUACUUGUUGAACCAUCUGAUUUUACGUCACCUUCACUUAUAAUAGCAGCACGAUUCAAAAACCUGCAUUAUUAUAAUCUACGGAAGUUCAAAAUUUUUGUCUCAUGUGAUUAUAUUAUCAACAACAAAAUAUAGUGGUUUUACUAAUUGUUUGAACCAAAUAAAUCAACUUGCCUGUGACGUGUGAGAGUACAUCUCCUCUAAAAUUAAUUAACAAAUCUCCAAAAGUGUAGAGAUAACAUCAAUCCAUAAAAACAAAAAAGUGCUUCAUAUCAUUGUCGACACAGAUUAUUUAUAAAAAAGAUCUUCCAACAUAAAGAUAUACUGACAUCUUCACAUGCACUUCCACUGCAAAAUUUAAUCAUGCCACGAUCAUAUAAUCCCCUCAUUUCGUUUGUGUUACUUUGACGAGACAACAUAUUAAAGUAUAAAAAGGACUUUUAUAUUUACUCCCUCUAUCUUAAUUUGUUUUGACAUAGAGGUUAAGAAAGUAAAUAAGAUUUUUGAAUCUUAUAUAUCGUCUUAAACUAAUAAAGAUAUGUAGAAUGUAUCAAAAUAUUCUUUAAUAUUGUGAUCUCAAACAUGUAUAAAAAGUUGAAAUUAAAUAGUUGUUAAAAAAUGAAGGGAAAAAGGACAAAUAUACCCCUAAACUAUCGUAAAUGGUAUACAGAUACCCUCCGUCAUACUUUUGGGCCAUUGGUGCCCCUGCCGUCCCAAAAGUAUGACGGAGGGUAUAUGCAUACCAUUUUCAAUAGUUCGAGGGUAUAUUUGUCUUUUUUCCCAUUAAUGAAAAGAGACAAUCUUUUCAAAACAGACUAAAAAAAAAAAAAGUUAAAGAGAAACAGAUUAAAACGAAUGAAAUAGGUAUUACCUGAAGGUGUUGGAAGGUACAACAGCUAGUGAUUUGGGUGCUACGUUACAUCCCUGGAAGAAAUCCUGAGCAGUAGAUGGGAGUGGAACUUGUCUUUUGGUAAUACUAGCAACAACAACACGAGCCAAACUGGUGAAUGGACUCCCUUCUGGCUUAAAUUUAGUGUAAAAUCUACUUCCCAUUAGGAAAAUGAGUAAAGCAACAAUAUUGGACGCAGCACAAAUGAAAAAUCCAGCUUUCCAACUCACGUUAUCUUCAACAUAGACAAUAGCUGUGGACGAUACUACAGAAGCAGAAUACCAAAAGAAGAAGAACCAAUUGAAGAAAAUUCCUUGAUCUUUUGGUUUAUCAGCUAGUUGAUCCGCUCCAAUCGUCGAAAGGGUUGAUCGGGUACCACCACUACCCAGAGUAGCCAGAACUAUUGCUGCAUAGAGAACUACAUAUUGAACUUUCGGUUUAGGGGUACAUGAGGUUGAAUCAACUUCACACGGUUUAGGCCUUAAAGAAUCAACUGUAGCUGUUAAAGCUAAAAGGAUAGUGCCCUACAACGUAUUCACAAAAGAAAAAUAUUAAGCUUAAUCAAACACCCUAAAGAACCAAUUUCAAAUGGUCAAACAAAUUAAGUUAGGUACACACAAAAUAGUGGAGUAGUAAUUACCAAUAAUGAGAUGAUGGAUGAAAUCCAAAUGGUAGAGAAGCAACCAAGAAAUGAGUCGGCAAUAAUUGCAGCAACAACAGGAAUUAAGCUUCCAGCACCAUUAACCAAAUUUGAUAUUUGAGCAGCAUCAAUACUCUCCACAUCAAAUUCCUUAAUCAGAUACACAAUAAGAUUGUUUGUCCAACCUCCAAAUGCUAAGGUCAACCCUACUGAGCUCGCUGUUUUUGUCAAAAUCCAGUUACGUGUCAAUAUUUAUAUGUAACCUGUUAUAACAUGUUAAAUUACCUGUAACAAAUAUUUAGGCUAUGUGCAACAAAAAAAGUAACAUGGAUAACAUUGUAGCACUUGAGAUUUUGAGUUUUUUCAUGCUAUUAAAAAUAACAAUAAAAAUAAAUAACGAAUGCUUGAUCAAAAAUCGUGUAGGAACAAGGUUCAGGGUCUACAAAAGAGAAAGGAGAGGAGAGACCUAUGAUGAAGGGGAAGGUGAUCCAGCCUCCGGUUCUUCUAGGUAAUUGUGCCUCUGAUAUUGGAGCUUCCAUGGUUGAAAAACACAAAGGGUAAAUAAUUACUUCAAACUUUUGGGAGAGCACUUAUUUAUAUAUGAUCAGCUCAAAAAAUGUCUAUAAAUAUAGGCCUUCUAGUGGGACUUUGGAAAGAUAAGUUUCAUAAAAAGAAAACCCACAAUGAGCACUAAGAAAUAAAGUAUGAACUCAUAUAUACGUUGAAGUUUUCCCUUUAGAAAUUAAGUUCUAUGUUGCAUCUGAAAUUAUUCACAUGGCCUUAAGGUGCACGACGUAAUGGUAUUUGGGCCCAAUUCAUGAGCUCAUCUGAACGUCAGGCUGAUAUGAACUAAUAUAUAAUCCAACUGAAAUAAUUCAUGAGAAAUAUUAUUCAAAUAUUUUGUUUUUGUUUGAUAUAUCAUAUAUAAUCAUUAUAAGAAAAAAUAUCAUGUAAUUAAGAAAAUUAUAAAAAUGUAAGCAAGAAAUUAAAACUUGAUAAAAAAUGAGGUGAGUUGAGUUCUGAUUCAUUAUUUAACUCGUUUUAACACAAAUUAUCCCAAUCAUAUCCAUAAAAGAUCAUGAGUGGGGGUGAAAAGCACACCCCAACACCUUAGUGGGCAUGCAAUCUAAUAGCAAAUAAUUAAAACAAAAUGAUGCAAAUAAACUAUGAUUAAGCAACAAGGGAUGCCCCAAGAUCCAGGUGAAAGAAGUAAACACCAAGAGAAGUACUUCCUCUCUUUCAAACUACUCCUCCUUCCUCCCAUUUAACUUGUUAUCCUUAUUAAAACUGAACAAUUUAAAAUAAUUAUAGCUUUUAAAAAUCAAGAUAUAAUUAAUUAUUUAUUUCAAUCUCUACUUUUAUUCUAUAAAAGGGAAGAAACAUUAUUGUGGUUAAAAGAAAGUAAUAUUACUUUAAAAUCAAAAAGUAAAUGAGAGUUGUUGAAGUGGCGACAACUAUUGCAUUGUCUGCCACCUCACUAUGUCAGUGUGAUAAAAAUCAUCACUAGUCAUUUUUUUCAUACGGAAUAUUUUUAGUCAUUUACUCCAAAAAAAAUAACCACGCACUAAUUUGUAAUCUAUAUAAUCACACAUAUUCAUGUCAUACACUUAAAAGUUACAUAGAUAGCUAGGUACAAUACUUUUGCUAUUUUCAUGGUCGAUAAUCACGGCCAUCCAUUUCUUUUCUUUUGGACCCGUUAAUCACUCAUGAUAAGGAGAAUCACUAUGAUCCACCACUUCCUUCAUGUUUUUAUACUUGUAAAACCAAGCACAUAUUACAUAGUAACCAAAGUUCAAUAUCCCCCCUACAACCAAUAUCCAGUACACAUUGUCCAAUCUUCCAUUAUUUAUGUUACCUGGUAACCAUGUAGUUGUCCUUCUAACAACAUCAAUUAGAGCAGUGGUCAAGUAAAAUGACACCCCUACAACCACUGAAAUCAUCGCGGUCGCCAUGUUCUUUAAGGUUGUUGGAAAUUCCUGGUAAUAGAACGCGACUUGUCCAGGAAAAUGAAAUGCCUCUGAAAUACCAACGAUGGCUAAUUGUGGCACAAGCCAUAGCACUGACAUAGGCACAAUAUUGGAACUUUCAUUUGAUUUUGCUACAUUUAGCCUCUUUGACUCAACUAAGGCUGAGACACCCAUACACAAAAAGUUGAGAACGUGCCCAACCCCAAUUCUUUGGAGAGGCGUAAGUGAUUUGCCAGUCAUUUUUUUCCACGUAGGAAAUAGAAAUUUGUCGAACAGGGCGAGGAAUAGAGCAGUAGAGACCGUGACAAAAACCAAUAUAGAACCAGCUGGGAUUUGGAAAUUGGGGCCUAUGUGACGAUCCAUUGCUAAGGCUUGAAGGAUUGACAAACUUGCUUGUACACCAAUUGUUGUGCCAAGAAAAAAACUACUUGACCAGAGUGGUAAAAUUUUGAUUAAGGAUUUGAAAUCUUCUAUUUCUUGUACUGAACAAAGUUUCCAUGGCUUAGUUGUUGAGCCAUCCGGUUUAACAUCGCCUUCACUUUUAAUGGCUGCACGGUUCAAAAACCUGCAUAGUAAGAAAACAAACAAACUAAUAUUAUCAAAGGAAAAAUUACAGCGAAAUAUCAUUCCUAUAUCUGUUUUACAAAAUAUGUACGCAAUGUAUAGAUAAUGUAUAUUUUAUAAGUACUAAUUAUACAUGCACUAUACAUAAAUAUUAAAAUUUGAGUGUCAUCGCUAUCCGCCGACAAAAUAGUAAUAUCAGUGUAAACCCCCCAAAAUAAAAAGAUCAAUUUGAACCUAAGUGAGUAAAAAAGCACACCUAAUGAGUAGGCGUGAAAUCUCUGAUACUUUUAUUUUAAAAAUCACCUACCAGCCUUAAGAAAGUCAUCGUCGAAAUAGUAUAUAAUUAUAACAUUCCUAGUACUUAAAGACUGUUUUUAAAUAUUUAUUAGUACUAAUAACAUAUUUAUAUUAUAUAGUGCUCCAUGACAGUACUAAUAUCAAGAUUUACUUAAUAGUAAUUCAUCAUUGAGAUUUGAGACAAUAUAAAACAAACAUUAGUGAUGCAAAUUAAUCAUAAUUAAGCGACAAGGGAUGUCCCAAGCACGUGGUCAAAGACAUAGUAAACACUCAUGAGUGACGUUACUGUCGCAGAUUAUAUGGAAAAACUACGUGAUUAGACAUGCUCACUACCAUAUAUACUAUUAUUACCUAUACUUUUAAAAUGUUACUCUCUCCGUUUCACAAAGAAUGAUCUGAUUUGACUUGGUACGGAGUUUAAGUAAAUAAAGAAGACUUUUGAAUCUUGUGGUCCUAAAUUAAAGUUAUGUUAAAUGUACAAAAUUGCCCUUAAUCUUGUGGUCUUAAACAUGCCACGUGGAAAGCAAAAAGUAAAAUGUUACCAAAAAAGGAAAGAGGUCAUUCUUUUUUAAACUGACUAAAAAGGAAUGAAGGUCAUUCUUUGUGAAACGGAGGGAGUACAUAUUUUAUCACUAAUUAGAGUUUUCUACGUAUCUUACACGUCGUUAGAUACUUGUAAUUUUACUGUUAGAUACAUAAAAAUAAGGAGAGAGGCAAUUGAUAUUGGAGAGGGAGGUGAGCGAGAUUAGUAUGUAUUGUGAAUCACACUAGAUACAUGUAUCUGGAGUGAUUCGCUUGUAUAUGAAAUACCAAGUACAUGGGAGAGUGGCAAACAAGAUGGGAGAGAGGCGAGGUAGACGGGCGAGAUUUGUUAUGUAUCACAAAUACAUGCGAAACCACUUGGAUACAAUGUAUCUAGAACAAUUACACCUAAAUUUGACCUCCAUAUAUACGAGAUACAUGUAUCUGGACGAAUCUGAAGGCAUCAAAAUCUGGUAAGAUACAUAAUAUUGCAAACUAGAGUAUAUCUAAGUAAUUAUUAGCUCAUAAAUUAAUACUAAAAUUUAUAUAAGUUUCCCCUUUUAAUUGAAUCAAUAACACUGUAUUCUCUUUAAUAUUGAAAUGGUUAUUCAAUUAAGUACUCCCUACAUUCCAUAUUAAUUGAAUUUUUGAGACAUUUUUCAUUUUUCAAAUUAACUUAAUUGUUCAGUUUUCAAGACUACUUUUAAAGUCUUCUUUCAAUUUUACCCUUCAUUUGAAUUUUCAAUGUGAUGACUUCAAUAAAUUUGACAAUAAUUAAUAAAGGUAAAAAUGAAAAACUAUGUUUAAUUUAUGUCUUAAUCUACUUUUCUUAAAAGGUGUGAAACACCUCAAAACUUCAACUAAUAUGGAAUGGAGGGAGUAAUAUAUAUGGUCUCACCAACAUUCAUAAUGUAAAAAAAAAUCACGUGUUUUACCGUAAACAAAAGAAUUAACGGUUUAAACUUUUAUACGAGAUUGGUGUAAUAGUUAUAAAGUAUUACCGGAAGGUUUUUGAAGGCGCAACAACUAUUGCUUUAGGUCCGUGGUAUAAAUGUUCCCCAGUGGAUGGGAUUGACACUUUUCUUUUCCUAAUACUUGCAACCACAACACGAGCCAAGUUGGUGAAAGGACUCCCUUCUGGCUUAGAAUUGGUGUAAAAUCUGGUCCCCAAUAGAAAAAUUGCCGAACCAAGUAAAUUAGCUGCAACACAAAUGAAAAAUCCAGCUUUCCAGCUUACGUUAUCUUCAACAUAGACAAUAGCUGUUGUUGCUACUACAGAUGAACCAUAAGUGAAGAAAAAGAACCAAUUGAAGAAAAUCCCUUCAUCUUUUUGUUUAUCAAAUUGGUUGGCUCCCAUUGUUGAAAGGGUUGAUCGGAGACCGCCAUUCCCCAGAGUCGCCAGAACAAUGGCUGCAUAGAGUACUACAUAUUGAACUUUUGGCUUAGGGGUACAUGAAGUUGAACCAACUUCACAAGGUUUAGGCCUCAGAGAAUCAAGAGUCGCUGUUAAAGCUAAAAGGAUUGUGCCCUACACGUAGAAGCGACAAAGCAAUCUCUUAGGAAUGUGUAUUACUACUAUUUCCUCUGUUUUAAUUUAUAUAUAUGCCUUUGAAUUAAUACUUUUAGAUAGUUUUCAAAUAUAUAAUUUAUUUCAGAAAAACUUGAACCUUCUAUAAUAGGAUACACAAUUAAAUCACGAAAACACCACUGUGCCAUAUAAAUUGGAUAGAGAGCGACUCAUGAGUACCAUAUAUUAUACAACAAUAACAAUAAUAUAUUUAGUGUUGUCCAACAAAGUGAAGCCUGGAAAGGAUAGACCGUAGACUCAUUAUAUUAGGGUGAAACAAAACAAGAUUAGUUUGUACCAAUAAUGAGAUGAAGGAUGAAAGCCAGAUGAUAGAGAAGCAACCAAGAAAAGAGUCAGCAAUAAUUGCAGCAAGAAUAGGAAUUAAGCUUCCAGCACCAUUAACCAAAUUUGAUAUUUGAGCAGCAUCAAUACUCUCCACAUCAAAUUCUUUUAUGAGAUACACAAUUAGGUUGCUUGUCCAACCUCCAAAUGCUAGUGUCAAACAUGUUGAUGUUGCUGCAUAUUAUACAUAUAAAUCAUGGUAAAAUUAAUAAUUAAUACACAUUUCAUAUCAUGCAUGGAUCAUGGAUGGGCACACAAAUAUAUAUGAGACCUAUGAUGAAGGGGAAGGUGAUCCAGCCUCCGGUUCUUCUUGGUAACUGUGCUUCGCCGUCACCGGACGAUAAUGGUGGAGCUUCCAUGCCUAAACAAACAAAACAACUUCUUCUACUAAUAUAAUUUAGCAUUUACAAAAUUAUAUAUGGAGUAGUUCAAUUGUUGGGAGAGCACUAAUAAGUAGUAAUAUUUAUAUAUAGAGAGGUGCAAAGUUAGUCCACUAAAUCAUAAUUACUCAAUUCAUUUAAAUUUGGACGGACACCAUGUUUAUCAAAAUAAAAACAUGUUUUGAAGCUGAUGGUCACUUUUUUGAGUUAUAUUAAAAAAAUAAGUGUGUCACAUGAACUAAGACAUGAAGAAUAAUAGGUACAAAAGCAUAUUUGGGAGAUGGAAUCCUUUUGAUUAACAAGUUGCUCAAAUAGGACUUUGGCUCCUUUCUAUUUUUAUAAUUGUCUCCAUUUUUUUCAAGUUCUAGAGACACAUAAAAUUAAUAAUAAUUAAGAUAUAUUAACUAAAGUAAGAUACCAUGAUUAAGAUUUUACUUUAAUCGUUAAAUCUUAACCAUAUGAUUAUAAUCUUAUUUUAAUUAAUUAAAUUUUAAUCCUUAAUUUUAAUUUAUAUCAUGUGUGAAUUUGAGGAAAAUGGGCCAAAUCCUUCGAACAAAUAGUUACUCCCUCCGUUCUUAUUUAUAUGUCAUCAUUUUAAAUUUUACUUGCUUUAAAAACUACGUAAAUUUAAAUUAAAAUACAACUAAGGGAGCCAACACCGAACAACGAGGAAAAUUAAUAAAGUCAAAGUCUCCAUGAAAUCUAGCUACACUUCUUGUUGAUUUUCUGGAUACGACAAUCAAUCUCAUCUCGUGGUUCUCCUGUCUUUCCCUAAAUAUUAUUCCUGCAAAUUUUUAACAAAGUAAGCUAUUAUAAAAAUUAAUUUAUCAAAAUAAUACAUUUUUUUAAUUUUUUACAAAACUAGUAUAAACGUAACUCACCGUAACAUUUUAGGUUAUAUUUUAUUCAAAAAAAUUGAAUAACAAAAAGACAAAAAUCUGACAGAGUAAUCAGACAUAAAACGUUAUUGUCAGUAACGUUUUAUAAUUCGUUACUCUGAAACACGUUUUACAGCUAAAACGUGACUCACAAUAACGUUUCUCAAUGGUGAAAAUUGAAAUCCAAUCUUGUACAUCUCUCAUUCAUUAUUCAAAUUUCCACUAUUAAAAUGGAUAGAUAUAUUUUGUACAUAUCUUCAUUUGAAAUAUAUAUGAUUUUCUCUUUUCUUUCUCUUUUCAUAUAGACAAUACUUUUUUUAUACAAAAGGGGAAAAAAGUGAGGAUGACUGUACACAAAUUGGAGCUUGUCUUGUAUCAUUUCAAUUUCAAAAUUUGUAAANNNNNNNNNNNNNNNNNNNNNNNNNNNNNNNNNNNNNNNNNNNNNNNNNNNNNNNNNNNNNNNNNNNNNNNNNNNNNNNNNNNNNNNNNNNNNNNNNNNNNNNNNNNNNNNNNNNNNNNNNNNNNNNNNNNNNNNNNNNNUAUAUAUAUAUAUAUAUAUAUUCAUUUUAAUAGUGGAAAGUUUAAUAAAGUUGAAUGAGGCAUGUACAAGAUUGUUUUUUUAAUUUUCAGUCAUUCCAGAAAAAACGUUAUUGUGAGUCACGUUUUAGCUGUAAAACGUGCCUCAGAGUAACGAAUUAUAAAACGUUACUGACAAUAACAUUUUAUGUUUGUUUACUCUGUCAGAUUUUUGUCUUUUUGUUAUUCAAUUUUUUUGAAUAAAAUAUAACCUAAAACGUUACUGUGAACUACGUUUAUACUAGUUUUGUAAAAUUUUAAAAAAACGUAUUAUUUUAGUAAAUUAAUUUUUAUAAUAGCUUACUUUGGUCAAAAAUUCUAUUCCUGCUUCUUAAAAUACUUACGUAUUGAAUAAAACAAAUUGAUACUUAAGUAUUAUGUUUUAUUUUUAUUUAUACAUUCUCUUCAAAAUAUAUUACUAGUAAUUUGGAUGAGUAUUUGAUCAUUGGGUAAACAACACAAAUUAAAUUAGUUUAGGCUUUGAUUAAUGAUAUAUGUAUUUUACCAAAUUAUCCCCUAUUAAAUCAUAUCUUAGAAAAUAAUUUGGAAAAUAAGUAUUUAAUGUUGAGGGUAAAACAUGAAAAAAAAAAUUGUCUUUUCUUGAUAUGCCAAAAGUGGCCAGUAAAAAUGAAAAUUUAUUUUAGAAAUAAGUGACAAGUAAAAGUGAAUGGAGAGAGUAUUAUUUAUAUCAUAUUUUGGUCUCUAGAUAUACGCACCUGGUGCGUCUAGCUAGGUACAUGUAUUUGAUUUUCAGAAUGUAUCUUGAAUGUAUCUGGUAUCAAAUACAUGUAUCUGUGUGAUUUACAUGUAUUUGAGAUACACUGACUCUCUUUCACUCAUCUCCCUCCUAUCUCGCUCGCAUUUCUCCCUAUGUAGAGAGUAUUUGGUAGCAAAUAUACAUGUAAUUAAGUGUAUUUGACUUGAAAUCUGAUAUGAAAUUAUUAAUUAGUGAGAGUAUAUAUAAUUAUUUUAAACUAUAAAGAAAAUUAGUAAUAUGGUAGGAAUUUUUGUGUAGUUAGGUAGUUUUCCUUGAUUAUUUUACCCUUAUUUAUAUCUUACUAAAAUAUAAAUUUCUUUUCUACUAAAUAUUCAUUCUAUUUAUGUGUCAUAAUAUAUUGAUGUGUUUAUAUUAAUAUUAAGGAAUAAUUACUACUAAGAGUAUAUAAAAAAUAAUAAAUAAUUUUGUCUUAACUUUCUCGAUAUAUUAAAGUGCAUCUGAAGAUGCAUAUUUGUUCGAAAUAAAGAGGCUUACCAUUGUUGCUGGAUAUAUAGUACAGUAGCUAAUUUAGCAUUUAUAUAUAUAACAUUCCAGCAUAAGAUAAGAACAAUUUGAGUCCUUUUAAUUUGCAUGAAUUUCUUGUGGAAUGAAUAAUGAUGGCAACAUUAUCAUCAAGAAAGCACUACUGGACUGGUAUAAAGUCUGUUUAUCUAAUUAGAAGUCACAAUGACCUACUAGUAAUAUUAUCAUUACAAAAAGAGACUUUUAGUCUUAAAGUCAUAAUUGUGCUCGACGCCUUUUCAUAUGUUGAAAAUGAUAAAUAAUAGCAUCAUUGCUUACAUUUGUGAAUAUCUUACGCUCUACAUAGCAAACUAAACAACCAUUCAAAAAUUCAUUACCAAUACUAUUACGAAGUUCAUUUUUAAUGUACUUCAUGGAUGAGAAAGCUCAUUCCACAGAAGCAGUAGCAACAAGAAGAAUGAGAGUCAACUUGAUAAUUGUCUCGAUAUGUCAAAAGUGACCAGUAAAAAUAAAAAUCUAUUUUAGAAAUAAGUGACAAGUAAACACUACAAAAAACCCCUAAAUUGCCAGCAAAAUUAUCCGUUGCUAAAUUGAUUAAAUUGGUUGGCAAAUGAUUUUUCCAACCGAAUGCCAACUAAUGUUAAUCUGUUGCUAAAAAGCUUGUCACUAAAUUUUUACCAACCCAUUUUAGUUAGUUGGUAAAAUUACCAACUAAAGAUCAGUUGGUAAACACAUAAAAGACUUGUUGGUAAUUGUUGAAAUGUGCCCUUGAAAUUUUCGUUGGUAAAUUCACCAACCAAUUUUCGGUUGGCAUAUUGUUGGGAAGUUUAACUAACGAAGAGAAAAGAGUUAGUAAAUUUGGUUCUUCACUAUUCAAUUAUGUUAGUGAUAUGUUGGCAAAUAUACUAAAAUAAAAUAAAAUGUUGUUAGUAUUUGGUUAGCAAUUAUAUGACAGAUAACAACUUGGUUGGUAAGCUCGAUAGUAAAUUCACCAAAAUACAUUGGUAAUCAGUUUGUAAUUUCGGUUAAGAAAAGAAUGUGUUGGUAUUUCGUGGGUAAAUUACCAACGAAUUUUAAAUCUAUAACUAAGAAUGACUAUCUACUCAUGUAACUUACGUUACUAAUUGGUUAGUAUUUUAGAAACACAAAAAGGUCAUUAGUCAUUCGUUAGGAAGCUUACUAACUUAUUGUGAUUUUGUUGGUAAUAUAUAUUAUUUAUGGUCAAUAUUCAGUUAGUGAAUUGGUAAUGUAUAUUGCCAUAUUACUAACUAAAUGGUAAUUCGAUAGUAAAGUUUCACUUUAUAUAUUUAUAUUAAUCAAUAGCUUUUAUGAAUCUUAAAAAGUCUGAAAACAUAAUAAAAUCCAGUGAUCCUUUGAUAAAUUAUAACUUGACUAAAACAAUGCAAAAGCUAAGAUGAAGAGUUCAAAACAAAUCCAAAUACAGAAACAAACAAUGAAAGAUAUGCGUACAUUAGUUUGGAAAUUUUAAAUGACUCAUAUCAUCAUUUGAUGAUGGGUCAUGUCUAAGCUAAUGUGGUGUACCAGUUGGAGGUGUACCAGCGGGCAGUGUACCAGGGGUGGUUUAGGCAGCCCAACUAUGAGGAUGGGCAAACGUUCUUGGAGAAUCUUAUCAACUUGCUCUUGCAUUUCUAGCUGCAUUUCGUUUUUCAUUUCUUCACGCAACUCUUCUCUCAUCUCUUAGCUCAUCUCAUGUUUCAUUUCCUCCUUCAUUUCUUGAACGUAUUCCUUCACUCGAGCAUCAAAACUACAAUCUUGAGGUUGAGAAGUUGAAGCAGAUGAUGAACCAACGUUCUCAUAGAAAACAACUUGAGAACCAAGACCAUAUAUACAUUCC
rnacentral:lncRNA from 1 species